rnacentral:lncRNA from 1 species
CCAGCGGGCUUUUGGGUGUUCGCGCUCACUGAAGAGGCCGAGGGGAAGAUGGUUAGAGUUCGGGACCCAGCCAUGACCGGAAGGGUUCUUGGAGCGAGUGGCUCCCGAAGGCAACGGUAAAGGCGGCCAAGCUUGGAGGCGACUGGCAAAGGUGACCGAGCUCGGAGAUGACUAGUUGGCUUUAGGUGUAUGCGAUCGCCGAAGAGGCCGCGAAAACGGUCAGAGCUCGGGAUCCAACCACGACCGGCGAGGCUCUUCGGAGUGAGUGUCUCCUGGAGGCGAUGGCGGAGGCGGCCGAGUUCGGAGGCAACUGGUGGGCUUUUGGGUGUCCGCACUCGCCGAAGAGGCCGAGGCGGAGAUGGCCAGAGUUCGGGGCCCAGUCACGAUUGGCAGGGUUCUUGGGAGCGAGUGGCUCUUGACGGCGACGGGAGAGGCAGCCAAGUUUGAAGCUCACCGGCGAGCGUUUGGUCGAGAGAGAUGGCGUUGCAGCUUUCGUGGAGAAAAAUGUAGAGACAAAAAAUUUCGAAAGAGAAUGGGAGAGGAAGGGAUGCACGCUUGCGUCCAAAUGAGAAAAUAUUAGGUACCUUAACAGUGCCACGCAAUCCGUGCUCUGAACCAUUCAUUGCGUGACACCUGUCCAUGUGUCAGUCCACGUCUGCUUUCUCUUCUCGUCGCUUCUUUCCUUCCGAUAAUGCUCGGCUCGGCUGGUGGCUCGGCUCGACUGACAGAAGAGAGGACGGAUGAAUGGGUAAUAAAUGCGCACCACUCGCGCUUAAAAUUUCUCUCUCCUCUCACUUAAAUUUUCUGGGUUUUGUCUCUCUCUCCUCGUGGAAUAGCAGACAGUUUUCUCUCUCCUCUUUGCUCUCUCUUCCUCCUCCGACGCUCCUUCCGGUCUAGCGAUUCCUCCGACGACCGUCGCUCCCUCCCGACGACAGCCUUUCUCUCUCCCCUCGACGGCCUCAUCUCAGGGCUCCAUUCUCUAGGCGAACUUCUUCCUAAAUCGCGCUCUCUCCCGACGUCCGAUUUCGCUCGCCUCUCCCACGCCCUCCACGCUUUUGGCGGUUCUUCCCUCGCGGUUCGGUGAGGUCUCGGGUAUGCUCUCGUGCUGCGUGUCUUCUUCCUUGCUCAGCAACACCAUACUGCCCCUCUCUCUCUCUAAGUGUGUCUCUCUGUGCAUUCUUUCAUCCUUGAGGCAAGCAUUUCGACUAGGGUUCAGGCCCCCUGAACCCUAGUCGAAAUGCUUGGAAGGGAGAUUAUUGAGCAGGGAAGUGAAUAUUACUGAUGGAAAACCAUGAGGUCUUGAGAAUUUGCCUUCAACAAAGAGCAAGGUCUUGAGAAUCUGCUUCGUUUGGGUCAAGAAGGUGGGCUCCGCAGCCGCACAAGUCCAUGGUCUCGCGCUGUAUGGUCCAGGCUUGUAGCUCCGUCGACGGCAGAAGCAAGGUCUACAGAGAACUCGGUCCGUCUCCCUCGCCUAAUUCCAUUAUGUUGGUCUUUCUCGAAUGCUUUCAUGUGGGUAGUUCUUUUGGUCAGAUUUAGAUGGAGUGCUUGGUUCAUUUGCAAAUGCACAAGAUGAAGAUGUUGUGUGCCCGACUUGUUUGAUGAUCAGUAGCAUGAUUAAUUGCUUUUUGGGGUGUUGGCAAUAGAACGUCUGCUUUCAAGUGGGAGGAAAGGUAACGCCAUGUGAACAGGUUGCAAUUGCCAUCCCAAGAUGUAGGGCAUUGGACUCUUUGGAAUAAAUUGUGUGAUAUUGUGUCGAGGAUGCCUGUAGGGAGGAAGAGACUCAGUGGUUCUUGCUACAUAAAGUUUAGGGGAAACACGAAUUGAAGUUGCUUACCUUGUGUUUUCAACAAUAGAUGUGCUUUCUAGAGUUUAGGGCCAUUCAUGGGCAGGCUAUGCUGAUAAUGUACAGUGAGUUGUUGCCGUAUCUGUUGUUCCUUUUCUGGUAGAGUUAAAAUUUGGGACUAAAAAAAAAUGAUAGUUUCAAUCACGGAAUAUGGAAAGAGAAAAAAAAAGAGGCUGUUUCUGGUUAAACAAACUAUUAGGAAAAAUAUUCUCAAGACUGUCUGAAGUUGCACCCACAACAAAAAGAUACUCCUAAGAAUUAUAUUGAUGUUUUUAGAAUGAAAGAAAGUCUUCGAAAUGACAAUAAGCAAGGAUUUUUUUUUUCUGAGCUCAUAAAAUUCAAACUGAGAAGGCAACUGUCUCAUACAAGUGUUGGGAGAGUAUUUUCUGUGCUGUUACAAAUCAUAUUUGCAAGAAUGAUUUAGAAGUAAGGCAUUGCGAAAUAUUUGUUUGCCUUUGUUGUCAACUUAUUAUGUUGGAUCUACAGUCUUUCUGUUUAUCAGCUUGCAUGCUCUAGGUAUAUUCUGUUAGGGACUAGCAAUACCUAUGUUGAUGCUUUCUUGUGAAUUUUUAGUUGUCAUUUCAAAGCUGUUGUGCUCUCGUGCUUGGGAGCAGUUAAAAACUCAUUUUACUUCUUGUCUUCUUCCAAUCAAUGAUCUGUGCAAAAGGGUGGGGCCUUUUUUAAUGAUUAGACCAACGAAAGAAUUCACUAUGAUUUGAGAUGAAGCACUUGAAAUCAUACAUAUAAAAGAAACUGUCAUAUAAUCUAGUCAAGGGGAAUUAAGUGAUCAAUGAUUUUUGUGUUCAGAUUGAAUUAUCCAGGUUUAAGAAUGCAGAAGCCCCUGUUUACUAUCUCUCUCUCUCACUCUAUAGGAAUCUUCAUGGCAAGUGAAGAUGCCAGACUACAAAAGGUACUAUCCUUUCCAUCAAUAACUGAGGCUUUUUUGGAAGUGCCACCACAGCCAAUAUAUUUCCCAACUUCCAAGUGCCACAUGGAUAUGCUGCCGAGGCAAGAACAAGCUAAGCUUGCAGCUUGUCCUGGUAGCAGCAUUGUCACGGGAAGCUCUGGCAAGAGUGGGAAGCACACAGUUGCUAGUGCAAGGGCUGUGCAAGGGUUGCGCUGGAUAUCAAAGUCUCCUCAAUUGGAGUUCACCAAAAUCCAAUGCAAGUGGUAAUUCAACUAUAAUGUUAUUCAAAAGUUUUGGACCUACUGGGUGCACUGCCUGAUGAAAGCAGGUGGAUUUGAUCGGGUUCAACUGCAGGUGCAGCAACUUCCUAUAAUUCAGUACGGGUGAGAAGAUCCAGCUACCUAGAGACCAUGCAAUAAAGACAAAUCUCAUGAACUGAUUAAAUCUAGACCUUUGGCCUAUGCAGGUGGCCCUAAUCCAAAGCAGUUUGCACUAAAUAGAUGAGAUUAGACGGAUGACCUCCGGUUGCUCUUCGAGAUGGUGCAUCAACAUCACUAUUCUGAUAUGCAUGGCUGCCCCUCUGAUCACUGGACCGCUGCCCAGGAUGCUAUUGCUAAAGGAAUCCCCAUCCGUCAUCAAGGCAAUAAGAAUUUGAUAAUAUCUUAGAAUGCGGGAGCUGCGUUGAAGGGUCUCAGACUAGUCUGAUGCUAGUUUGACUUCCUGUGAGCGCAGCAUGCCAUCUAGCUCAUGUCUUGAAGCUUUAGCAUUGAGGACAUUUUCUCAUGUAAACAGCAUCUGCAACACAGCUUAUGAUAGCACAAUUUAUUUGUUGCUGGGUACGGAAUUUGUGUCUCUAACGACAUGCCACUCGGAAUCUCGGAUGGAUGGUGUCAUUCUGGUUGUAAAAAUUUGUGAUUUGAAGUAUUACUAGUUAAGAUUUGGCAAAUCGUAAGCAUGCAAAACGUCUCGUGCAUUUUAGUAUGUGAACUGGCCUAGGCUCUGCAAACAAAAUCUGCACAAAAUGGAUUAUCCAAUUCCCAACUUGCUGAUCGUCCUUACGCUGGACACCCAGUUAAAUGCUAGUUCUCCUUUCAACUAUUUCCAGCUAAGUCAAGUAGGACACAUUGCUCCUGACCCCAAGAUGCGCCCAUGGCAUUAUACUAAAAUCUUGAUCGGUUCUAAUCUAAUUAGACAAAGACAUUGCCCUGAAGUUGCAAUUGAGAAUUUUGACUGAAUCGCGUAAGCUUUCACCUUAUUCAUCUUAGAAUUGAGAGUUUAGUGCAACCUAAAAUUGCUUGAUGCCUACUUGUUUUGCGGGAAGCAUUAACGAGUUUUGUAUUGCCAAGCAAACAAAGAGAUUUGAGAACAAGUCAGUCUUAUAUACUUAAAAUCUGGCUCCACUGUUUUGACAAUUGAGAUGAAGUAUACUGAGCAAGUCUUCUACUCAAAAGAUCAUAUGUACAUCCCCUCUAUUCAAGGAUAGCAUAAAUAUGGAAUCAACUCAAACUAAUCUCUCAAGGAUAAUGAACGAUGUCUUGAGUUCAUGUUAAAAUAAUAUUUACUACAAUUCGUUCAUGCCAUCACCUUAUGCAAUAGACCAAAAUUAAACAGGUGGCGUUGAUGAAAUCAAGAAAGCAGAAUGAAUUAAACCAUACUCAUAAUCCAAAACUUGAGCUUCUCUAGUUUUUCUUCAUCUAGAAGCUGCUGAACAUUCAUUGGCAGUCUUUUUAAUGUUCAAAUGAACCCCUGGAGAAUGAUCAGCCAUUUGGUAGAAAAGUAGUCCAAUCCCAUUUGGGAAAGUAAAGUUCCCGUAACUUAAGCAUGCACAAAACUAUAGGCAGCAAUUUCCAGUAUUACAACAAAUGUAGUUCUUGCGCUGCCAGAAGAUAAGGAAACAAACCAAGAGCAUUGAGCAUCUGUCAUCCCAAAAUAUCAUUCAAACAAAGGGGAAAUCAAACACACCAAUUUUGGCUACCGAAAUUAGAAGUAUAAGAGAGUGCUCAAAGCAACCAAAGCUAUACACAGUUAAUCCAAUACAUCACAUGUUCCUGUUAUUUUUGCUUGGACUUUUUGUCAGACUUUCGGCUCUCAAGUUUCUUUCUUGCAGCCUCAAACUCUUCUUCACUGGGUUCUGAACUCUGCAUUCCACCACCAGAUUUAUUCACCAGAGAUGAAAGCAUGGAAUCAAAAUGCUCCUUUCGCUCGCUACGGCGCUGAGAUAUAAUUGCAAGAAGAUCGUCUGACUUCUUCUUCGCUCUAUCAGAAAUGGGAAACAAAGGUUAGCAUUCCAAUUCAAAAGAGAACAUACUACUAACAGUACAGUCAAGAAAUCGAAGCAAAAAUUAUGUAGAAUAGAAAGCCCAGUGCAGCUGUGUCACUCACUUCCCCCUCUUUCUAAGAGGAUCUGUAGGUGGUUCAGUUUUGGAAAUUUGCUUUGCCCACUUCUCGUAUGCCUUGGUUGUCUUCAACGUUCCUGUAGGACACAGAAACAGAGCAUGCAUUAAGCACUAUAUCAGGAUAGUGUACGCUACAUUAUCAAGCACGCAUAAGAUCUAGGCUACUAAACACCAGUAUCCUCAGACCAGCAUUAUUUAGAAACAUAAAAAGACAAAAAGGAUGCUCUCCAUAAAAGUAAAUGAGCAACCUGUGCUAAAUUUUAUCAUUGUGAAAGAAAAUUAUUUUUUAAAUAUUGACCUCGCUGUUAUUAAACUCUAUAAAACACGAUGAAGCCCAGCCCUGCUUGAAGUCUCAAAUUCCGACUGAGGUUUAAGAGUAAAUCUAACAAUCAAGAAGAGAUCAAAUUGUCAAAAAACCAACCUGCUGCUAUUGCAUCAUCAAUGAUAUCCUUAAAGCGGUGGAAAUCAAGCUUGGGAUUUGAGCAGAGCAUCGAACAGAAAAGCCUGUGAAGGAAAAGGUACAAAAGAUUUCAAAUACUUUUCUGUCAGAUAGGCAUCUAUAAGAAAGGAAAAAGAGAGGAAAAAGGACAUAUCAACCCCACCUGUUCAUGUUACCCUUGAAUUUCUCGUAUAGAUCAAUAAGAUCAUUCUUUUCAGAAUCAGAACCUCUAUAGUUUGCCUCAAACUCUUCGAUGUCUGCUUCAGUAACCACCUGGAUGAAGCCAUGUCAGAUAACUUCAAACCUAGAGAUAUUCACGCAAGAGAAUGUCAUUCACAUCAGAAAGAUGUCAUUCCGGGUAGAAUAUGAUCAACCUUGUAUACAGCUCUAAAAUACUCGUGCAGAUUCUGAGCGACUUCCCCUGCAAGGUCCUAAGUACCAGGAAGAUAGAUGUGAGAAAAAGCACUCACAAUAAUGAAAGAAAACUUUAAUUGCCCAAUAAUAUAAAUUAUCAUACUUGGGCUUAAAGUAUAUCACAAUUUAAUCAUCUUUCCUCACAUUUUAGCUAGGCCAUUUCAAAGCACAGAGUCUAUGGACCAUGCUAUCUUAAAUAUAUUCAACUAAGUAACAUAAUUUCUCUCUUUGCUUGGAGCAGAUAUUUAUCUAUUGAAUAGAGAUCAAGACUUAAUUCUCUCCUGUUUUUUGUGACUAUGCUUCUGCAGAGAUUCAGGUGGAACUCACAGCAUACAAAGUGCAACUCAUGUCGAUUUUAUUAUCCAUCCAACAUCACUUGAGAUGCUAAUUAUAUCUCAUAAGCAACUUAACUGAUCAUUGGCUGUGAUCUUUAUUUGAGAUGAGAAGCAUUUCAUUCGAAUAGACACAAAGCAAAUGGGCUAACUCUACUACAAGCAUAUUAUUAUAUCAAUUAACUAGAUUAAAACAUCAGAAUGUCUAUAUAGACUCCGACAUUCUCGGUCAAAAUAUGACAAUUCAUUGGGGUCAAAUGCACUUGCUGUAACAAAUCAGAAUGCCUCUGAACUGCAACAGUAGGUAGGGAGCCAGUCCUUCAACCCAGUCGUUCCGUGUACUCUUCCCACAUGCUUUACAAUAACAAUUUACAAGCCUCAGAAACAACCAUAGAAAGACAAAAAAAGGACUUACAGGUUUCAUUAUCAUUUUGAGAAAAAGCGUGAUGCAAAAAAUUUCAUUUUCAUAAACAAAUUGCUCUUUGUUGAAGGCAAAUUCUCAAGACCUCAUGGUUUUCCAUCAAUAAUAUUCACUUCCCUGCUCAAUAAUCUCCCUUGCAAGCAUCAAAUAGAAAAACUUGAUUUUUGCUUACUGUAAAGGUUACGCAGGAAACACUAUCAUGACCUUGCAACUAAAACAAUUCAUCCCCACCUCAAUGUAGCUCUCGAUUCGUGAAAUGUCAUUGCCUCAAUUUUGGCCAGGUCAUUAUUAGGCAACAUGACUUCACCAAUGCUUGCACCAGAAUUUUUCUGCAGAAAAAAUGAAUGCGAAAUGGUCAAGUCCCCAAAACAGGGGUGGAACGAUAGCUUUGAUUAAAAGACAAUACCUUGACAUGACUUUUGGUAGAACUAGGAACUGAAGCCACCGAUCCUUUCGAUUUCUUCCCUUUCUUGUCCUCAGAAGUCGCCGCCGACACGAAUUUGACACGCUCCUUUUGGACACCAUUUCGCUCGUUCCGAGUAAGACGAUAGAACGACCAGCCUAGAAUCUCGGAGCAGCCACGAAGCUACAACGUGCAAAAAAGUCAGCAACGUGCUGAAGGACCGAUCUGGAAAGAAAGACUAUAAAAUUCACGCUGGGUUCACGCAAAAAUGAGAGUACCCGGACGAACUUCAAAGAAGGGGUGGCGAAACCCCUGAACCCUAGUCGAAAUGCUUGCCUCAAGAGAGAGACACACUCAGAGAGAGAGAGAGGGGCAGUAUGGUGUUGCUGAGCAAGGAAGAAACACGCAACACGAGGGCAUACCCGAGACCUCACCGAACCGCGAGGGAAGAACCGCAAAAAGCGUGGAGGGCGUGGGAGAGGCGAGCGAAAUCGGACGUCGGGAGAGAGCGCGAUUUAGGAAGAAGUGCACCGAGAGAAUGGAGCCCUGAGAUGAGGCCGUCAAGGGGAGAGAGAAAGGCCGUCGUCGGGAGGGAGCGACGGUCGUCGGAGGAAUCGCUAGACCGGAAGGAGCGUUGGAGGAGGAAGAGAGAGCAAAGAGGAGAGAGAAAACCGUCUGCUCUUCCACGAGGAGAGAGACAAAACCCAGAAAAUUUAAGUGAGAGGAGAGAGAAAUUUUAAGCGCGAGUGGUGCGCAUUUAUUACCCAUUCAUCCGUCCUCUCUUCUGUCAGUCGAGCCGAGCCACCAGCCGAGCCGAGCAUUAUCGGAAGGAAAGAAGCGACGAGAAGAGAAAGCAGACGUGGACUGACACAUGGACAGGUGUCACGCAAUGAAUGGUUCAGAGCACGGAUUGCGUGGCACUGUUAGGGUACCCAAUAUUUUCUCCGUGCAAAUGGGAGAAUGGUGCAGAGUUGCAAGCCCCGGCUUCAUGUGUUGACAUGUGUCGACAUGUGUCGAAUCCUGAUUGGGCGGGCACAUGGUAACUUGGAGGCCCACCCAAUAUUUUCUGGAGAGACACGAGAAGACGGGGGAAUUUUAUAUAUAGAAAUUCAGACACGUGGGAAGGAGGGAUCCCACACAGCGACCGGUCGACUGGUCAAUCAGGCCGACACGUGCGAGAGCACUCGGGUUAUGUCAUGGCAUCCGUCAGCUGAUCUGUCUGGACUUGGCGAAUGGGUUGAGGGGAGGGGCAGUAGCGGUAAUUUAAAUGGUCUCUCGUGACUCCUUGAAAGUUUCUCUCCCUGCCCUUUUGGCCCUUCGUGAAGUCAAACCCUUUUGGCAAAAGAUAUAGUGCCAUGUUACCCCCCGCAAUGAAAUCCAAGACAGAUAUGUUAUCCAAUAAGGGUAAUUCUAGCAUGACGGUCUCACCGUCUCACGGUCAAAGAAUUAUCGUAUUGGAUGGAGCAAUAUCUGAUAAUAAGUUCUUAAUUUUGACAUUUCAAGAUUGUGUUUUAAUUUAUAAACCAAAUCAAUUUACAUUUUAAAUCUCUCCAAAUUUAAAAAUUCUCUUAUUCGCAAGUCCAUGAUCGACAAGUGCGGAGUGUGUCAAGGAAAUUUACUCAUCUUGUUGGACAUCUUGUAUUCUCAUAUCAUGUUGAUACUAGUAUACCUGGUCACAAAAUUUGAAAUGAAAUUACAUUUACUAUCAUGGAUCGAUUGUUGUGAUGAUUAAAAUAUAUUAUUUUUUAGCCAAUGAUCUCGUUCAAAUUGGCCAUAUGAGCAUAGGUUAAAAGAUCAUCGAAACACAAAUGGCUCUAUGACCUACCCACUAGACAGCAAAGAAGUCAAAAGAGGUGGAUAUUCUAGUUUUCUCCGGCGAACUUAACGGGGAUGAUUUGAUAACAUUCGGCAGCUUUACUAUGAAGGUCAAACAACGCUGGAAGGUGGUGAGAUUUGGACUAUAAUUGACCACGGUUGCACAUGAAAAUAUCUAAUAUAUUAAGUAUUUUUGGUGAUGACCAAAAAAAAAAAAAAAAGAGCAUUUUUGGGGUUAUGCAAGUAUCAAAUCACUCGUGCUAAAAAACCAAUCAAAUCUCAAAAGUCAACAAGUUACAAAAGUCAAAUACGUGUAAAAAGUCAAAACACUUUGACGCAGUUGAAGCCAAUGGGAAAAUCUACAUUAGAUGUCUAUCCAUUGGGGAUUAAAAUCCUACCAGAAGAAAAAGUAUAUGUUUUGAAAGAUUUAUGUCGGGAGCUCCAUAGGUUUUUUAUUACACUACAUCCUUUUUUCAUGAUAUUAAAGAGGUAAGAAAAGAUGCAUGAAUCCGAGGUGUUAGAAAUAUACACGAGUCAUCGAUUUCUUGACUAGUUUUAUGGCAUGUGUUUCCUCCAUCUCCUAUUAAAGAAAUUUCUUUUAUCAAAUCUCUUAGUGGAUUAUACAUAUUGAAAUUACCUCUAUGCAAAUUUUAACUAAAUGUAAAGAAAAGUGAUUUCUUGUAACCCACUCAAAUAGAAAAUUGGUUCUAGGAGAUUUUCUCCAAUCAGGGAUGGAGGAAAAUAUUAUUUUUCUAAGGAUCAGUGUUGUCACCAUGAAUAACUCAAUAGAUAUAAUGAGUUUAUGCAACCCGACCUAACCUAAGAAAAGGAAAAUUGGAUUUUAUAAGAGAAUGAAACCACAAUUAAGCUGAAGACAUACUUAUGCCAAAACAAACCUACGAACAGAGCGAGUGCUGGUCUAAUAACCACAAAUUCAUCCGAACUUUAACUCGAGUCUUAAUCAUUUGAUCAAUAAGGUUAGGAGAGUAUGUUUUAUUGUGAUAUUAGUUCAUCAUUAUCUUUCUUUGUCGUGAUUAAUUCGUGCUUAUCAAAUAUAAGAACUCACAUUCAUCAAACAUUCACACAUGUACAUAAAGGUAUAUCGAGGCAAUGAGGGAUGGAAAAGGGCCGGAGACAUCGAUCCUUUCCUUUAUUUUAGUAAAUUGAUAUACCAGAGGUUAUUGUAAAUUGCAAUUGCAGGUCAUAAUGAUUUCGAGAGAGGAAACUAAAAUGAGAAAUUAAGGGUGUUAAUUUCAAUCCCCAUAUGAGCAAUUGCGGCGUCGUUUUUGUGAAGCCAUCCACGUAUGACGGCAAAACAAUGUCAUUUUUUUAAGGAGGACGGAAAACGAUGUCGUUUAAAAGCCACGUCAACUUUUUUAUUUUUAAAUAUAAAAGUCACAUGACCAAUUUAACUGGAAUCUCUCACCGGUGGCACUAAAGUGAUCGUUUUUUUUCUCUGAUUUGACACUUAAAUGAUUCAAUGGAAACGUUUGACACCAAAGUGAGCGUCGUACAUAACUUUUUGCACUUCUAGUGUACUUUCCCCAAAAUUUAAAUUUCAACAUAGUCCAAAAUUAUAGUUUUAUUAAUAAAUUCUCUUCAAUUAAAAGAAUGAAGUAUUAAAAUUUGUAUUGAGAAUUUUGACACGGUAUUGACUCGACAUGUUGAUGUGUCCGUGGCUUGUUGAAUUGAAAUCCUCUCUCUCCUCCCCCCUCUCUUUCUCUCCGCUAAAUUUUCUCAUCUUUCAUUUAACACCAGAAGAAUUUUUUUAUAACUUUUUCAGAAAGUUUCUUUUAUUAACAAUAGUCCUAGAGAAUUAUAAUAAGAAAAUUUUCAAACCUUGCUUUGACUAUAAGCAUCUAAAUCUAUUGUGUGUGUGUGUGUGUGUAUAACACAAAUAAGGGGGGAAAUUUUUUCCUAAUCUUACGUAUAUAUAUUUUUAUUUUAAAAUUAAAGACCGAGGAAGCGCAUGAUUGUUUCCCUUGUCAAAGAAAACUUCAAAGAUCUUUCUAAUAAAAGGCAAAGCCUAAGAGAACAACAUUUGAUAUUUUAGAGUGCUUUUUAUUUAACAGAAAAAUCAAAAUUGGAAUUUUUUUUUCAAAAAAAUGAUCAGUUUUAUUGUUUAGAAAUAUUAGUCAAUAGAAAAUAUAUUCAUUAUCAGUAAUGAUCUAUAUCUAACUAUUUCGUGGAUGACGAAAAUAUUUUUCCUUUAUUCAAUUUUGUAAGUAAUAAAUUAAUCGUUCAUUAGAAAAUGUUAUCAAAGUCUUUCUUUUUUUCUUUUUUUUUUUGUGAAACAACCGAAUCCUUAGUCAAUAAUGAGAUAAAUAAUUGUCGCGACCAAUUUUUUGGGUGCACGUAGAGUUUGGCUAAUGAAUUGUUAUGCCUAAAUUUAACUCGGGUUCUCCCAAACCCAUACUAAUUCGCAACUUAGGUUCAAGUUCUUAACAUGUGAUUGAUUUUCAAUUAGGAGUCACAACUAAUCUAUUUUUGGUGGGUCGAUUAAAAACCCAAGUAAAGUAAUUGGAGAUUUACUCUACUUCUACGAACUAGAGAUUUAUGAGUUCGGGGACUUGAUUACGCUAGAUUUCUCUAACGCCCUUUCAGUACCUUUCUUUUUAUUUUGAAAAAUUGUUUGGCAUGUAGCUUGAAUUAAUUUUAAGCUAUUUCCCUAACAUGUGAGGUUAACCUCAUGCGGGUGCGCAAAUCACCAAUUUAAUAUCCAAGUAAAGCAAUAAAUAAAUUGCAGGACUUACCUCAUAACAACGAAAGCAUUUGCGUUAUUAAAUCAGAAUUCACAUCAUCAACCCUAGAUAUAAUUUCUAAUUAACACGCAAUUUCUUUUGUUUUCACUUAAUUAACGAAAAUUAUGCAAUAUGCAAUGCAAUAUUAACUAAAUGACCUAAUUCCAAUGACAUGUAAUUUCUAAUUAAAUGGGCCUAGCAAAAAUACUAAAUGACAUGCAUCUCAAUGAAUCUAACCCUAAUGAUGUGCAUAUGACAUUUCUUUUUCUUUUUCCUAAAAGAAUGCAUUUUAUCCUAAAUAAUAAAACUAAUUUAACCUAUGACAUUUUUUUUUAAUUUUUCAUGAAAUUCAAAAUUUGGUGAAAUGUGAAAAUUACCUAACUAGAUUAAGAUCCUAUAUAAUUUAUAUUAGGAAUUACGUUGAGCCAUAUCCUAAUUUAAACUAAAAUAUUAUCUUAACCCAAAUAAUCCUAAAAUGCAAUCUAUUUAAGAAAAUACCUAAACUUAUAAUAAAUUAAGAGAAAAUAUUAUCUAAAAUUAAACUAAGUGCAAUUUUACCCUAAUAUGUCCCCUAAUUUUAUAUGACAUAUGCAUGAUGAUUUUUUGUGGCUUUUCUUUCUUUCCAAAAUUAAAAUUUAACAUGCAAUUCAAAUAAUAAUAAAACUAGCAUCCUAAAUAAAUGUACUAGCAACCUAAAUUAAUUGAUUUGAUUUUUUUUUUGUUUUUUUGAUUUUUUGAAAAUUCAUGAUAAAUAGAAUGCUUUAACCUAAAUAUGCAAAUAACCUUAAAACAUGCAAUAUUCUAACUCAGACAUAUUUUAAGAUAAAUAAAGCAAUCAAGGCCAUUCAAAAUCACCAAAAAAAUAUCACACGUCAUUCAAAUCAAGGAAUAAUAUGUCGCUAAUAAAAUUGAUAAAUUGAUCUUAAGCCUUAAAGAUCAAAAUAUCAAUUUAAUUCCCACUUGAUUAAUUAUUUCAUCUAAAACCUUAUAGAUGAAAUAAAAAAACCCUGGUGCGGUUGCGAAUCAGGUGAUACAUUUAGAUUUCCAAUUAUGUAUAGAUAGGUAUUGCAACCAAAGAAAACAAGAUAUAAAAAGAUGAUAAUAAAAAAUAAAAUAACAUAAACUUGCCUAAUAAAAUAAAGCAAACAUACCUAAUUCGAUUUUUCUUUUUUUUUUUAUAAAAAAAAAAAUCUUGACCGCUGGUUCGGAGCUCCGACGAGGGUUUCCGGCGAGGGGCACGGCGAGCAGCACGUCCGGCGCGGGGCAGCGAGGAUUGACACCGGCGAGGGACUCCGACGUGGCAGGGCACCGGCGAGGGGUGUCGCGGGGCGCGAAGCUUGCUGUCAGGCACCGGGGGCAACGUCCGGGCGUGAAGUGCGGCGGUCAGGGACGUCGGGUCGCAGGGCUUCGGUUCCGGGCAGCAGGUGAGUCAGAUAUGGCGGUAGCAGCGGCGUCACAGAGGCUCGUGUUAGAAGAUAUGCGGAAUCUCGGAUUGCUCAAUCAAGGAUCCGAUUUAAUUAUUGAUUUGAUUGAAGAUUAGAAUUAUACACAUAAUCAAUUAAGAAUAGAUAUAGGCAUAGAUUGAUUCGUAAGAAUCAUUUAUUUCCUUUAUUUACUCAUAGAUUGUAUUAUAUUUACAACAAGUAUUGUACAGAUUCAUUAUUGAAGUGAAUAGAAAGAAAACUGUUCCUUCUUCAAUCCUCGCAUCUGCAGAUCUCCAUAUUCUUUCAUGGUAUUAGAGCGGUUGAGUCUCUAAACCUUCUCUGAACCUAGCUUCCGCUUCCGCCAAAAUUCCUCUCCUUGCUGUGACUUUCUGACCUGCAAAGAAUUUUUCUUCUUCAGGCAUAGUGUCACACUCAGAAAUUUUUUUACUUACCAUGGUGAAUCUGCAAGAUGAAGCAUCCAUCACCAGAAACCAAUCUGCUAGAGAGAUCAUUCCUGCUGUUGGAACCGUUCCUCAGGAAUCGACUUCGCCUGUUACAACUCAAACAACAGAGCAAGUGUUAUUUCCAACUCAGCCCGUGCAAUGGCGGCCCACACAGGCUCAGUUCAAUAUGGGGCAACCCAUGAUGGGCCAUUCUUUCCAAUGGAUUCCAUAUCCAAUUUAUGUCGGGUCAAGCCCAAACUCUUCAUCGCUUGGGUAUGUGGGCCACCAAAGCCACGUCCAAACCGAUAGGGGUCCACUAACCACCGAAAGGGCAAACUCGACCGACGGAAUGGAGCGGAUGCACGGGUCGAAUGAACCGGGUACGGGUACAAAUCCCUACCCGGGGUUUUUGAAUGCAGAUUUUUCAUUCGGGUUGAAUGAAUCGGGUCAAGGGACGAAUCCCUACCCGAACCAUACGCCCGGUUUUCUUCCGUUUCCAGCAGUGCCUUUCACUGGACGGCCAAAACCCGGCGAUCCUCUGUUCGUUUCCACAGCCGACGGACCAGAGCUGUGACUGAUCAGUCAACAACUGACCGGGCUAGAGACUUACCCCAAGUGGUCGCAAGAAUUCCGACGUGCCCUAGCGACAAAGGACAAGGAUGGAUUUCUGGACGGCACCAUCCUGGUUCCCCCCGACGAGCGUCUAGCCCGGCUCUGGAGGAAGAGCAACCGCCUGGUCUGGACUUGGAUCGGCAAUUGUCUCUCCACAGAGGUCGCGACCGGACUCCCACCGACAGAAGACGCGAAAAGGAUGUGGGACAACAUCAAGGAGAUGUGCGGGAGGUUGGAUCAAGCAAAAAUAUUCACCCUCAUGCAAGAACUCAGUGAUUUAAAACAGGGGAAUUCAACGGUCACGGCUUGUUUCAACAAGCUAUCGUCGUUGUGGAACAGCCUCGAAGCAGCAGAAGAAAAACUCGAGGGCCCCGAAUCCACACUCCGACAGUACAGAUCCCAUGCCAUCUAUCGGGCGAAUUUAUCAACUUGCAUUGCAAGAGGAAAGCAACGCGUUUUUUGCUCAUUUUAAACGACAACUUUCUUACCUUUUGCUCGCAGAUCUUGGCUAUGGAUCCCAUGCCAUCAAUCGGGCGAAUUUAUCAACUUGCAUUGCAAGAGGAAAGCCAGCGAUCUGCAUCACCAGAGAACGUGAAGAGCGGCGAAAGUAUCGCUCUUGCUAUCCGUGGGGAACGAAGAGAUGGACCUAGCAAAACCCUAGCAGAGAAGAGAUGCGGCGUGCUAGGGUUACGCGGAGAAGGAUCGCGAGCUUAUAAAAUAGAUGGAAUGAACGGCUCUGAUUGAGCGCGCACAUCCGACGGCUCACAAGAGACCGAUCUUUUAAAGGGAUCGGACGGCCCAGAUGAAAUCACGACAAGAGGAUCCGACGGACAGAUUUUUGCCACAUCAUCUAGAAAUUUCAGGCAAAAUUUUAAAGGGAAAGGUAGAUUAUUUUGUGAAUAUUGCAAGCGUUCUAAUCACUCAAUUGACAGUUGUUGGAAGCUACACGGGAAACUAGCAGAAAAAGGGAAAAGGAUUUCAGCGGCAUACCAGUUGAAUGGACCUCCCGGCCCAAAUUCUGAUCAUGCCAUUACUAUGGGCAGUACCAACAACUGAUGCAAGCUCUACAGAAAUUGGACGUUUCUGACAAGGGAGGCAGUUUUUCAGGUAUCACACAUAGCUUGAUUAACUCUAUAUCAAGGAAAGCAUGGAUUAUUGAUUCAGGGGCAACCGAUCAUAUUAUAUGUGACAAGAGUCUUUUCUCCAGAAUAAAUGAGGAGCUGAAUUUUCCCAUUACCGUACAAUUGCCUAAUGGAAAUAUUAGUCAUAUUAAUGUGACAGGAACGGUCAAUCUCAAUCCUCAAAUUAUUCUUAAAAAUGUCCUCUAUGUCCCAGAAUUCCAAUUCAAUCUCAUUUCCGUGUCAAAAGUUUGCCAAGAGAAUUCAUGUCGAGUAAUAUUCAAUGCUGAUACCUGUUUAUUUCAGACCCUUUCGACUGGCAGACUAAUGGGCUGGGGUAGUAUUUCAGAAGGACUAUUUUUUUGGUCAAGACUCCCAAGUAAUUUUGAAUUAUCCCGCUUUCCAUUGAAUAAAUCCUCCUUGUGUAAUUUGAGCUUGAAUGACAAAAAUUCUAUUAUGCAUAUGAGAUUAGGCCACAAUGCUACCUUUCCUUAUCCCAAAUGUCCUAUUUGUCCAUUAGCAAAGCAGUCUCGUUCUCCUUUCCCAUCUAGUAACUCUCGUGCUAGCAAAAUUUUUUCCUUGAUACAUGUUGAUAUAUGGGGACCUUAUCAUAAGGUUAAUUAUGAUGGAUUGCGUUAUUUUCUCACAAUAGUAGACGAUUAUUCUCGUGCGACAUGGAUUUUUCUGAUGAGAUCAAAGGAUCAGGCUUACUCUUAUUUAAAGACAUUCAUUGCCUUAUCCAAAAAUCAGUUUGGGAAAUCAAUCCAGCGGAUUCGAACUGACAAUGGAGCAGAAUUUUUCAGUCACAAUUGCUCCAUACUUUUCUCAUCUCAUGGCAUCCAGCAUGAGAGUUCAUGCACUUAUACACCCCAACAGAAUGGAGUAGUUGAGCGCAAACAUCGGCACCUUUUAGAAGUCGCACGUGCCUUGAAGUUUCAAGCUUCAGUACCAGAUGAUUAUUGGGGACAUUGCGUCCUCACAGCAGCUUAUUUGAUCAACCGCAUGCCCACCAAGAUACUCAAUGGACGAACACCAUUUGAGCUACUCUAUGGAAGAAAACCAGAUUUACAACAUCUCAAAAUCUUCGGUUGUCUUUGCUAUGUUACAACAUUGGGCUCUCGAGACAAAUUGAGCCAACGUGCUCGAAAAUGCAUUUUUAUGGGGUAUCCUAAUCUGCAGAAAGGCUAUCGAGUUCUGGAUGUAUCAACAAAGGAAUUUCUUAUAAGCCGUGAUAUAUCUUUCCAUGAGGACAUAUUUCCUUUCUCCAACAUGGAGUCACCAAAUGAGAAUCUCGACAUCAGCUCUAAUCCUCAUCGUCCUUCAUAUGACGACGCAUUCUCUCUAGAUCAUUGUUACAUACCACUAGUUCCAUCAAGGACUCUUCCCUCCAAUCCUGACAUCAUUCCAGGCGAGAUACCAUCUCUAGUGGAGAAUUCCCAAUCAUCAGCAAACCUGACAGAAGGAGAAGCCGGAGCUACCCACAAUAUUGAGGAAGAAAUCAGCCAUGAUGUCUCACCACUCAGCUCAAAGGAAACAAUUCCCACUUCUGAUGAAGGUCAUCCAAGACGAUCUCGGCGGGCAACUAGACCUCCGACGUGGACCAAAGACUAUAUUUGUGCCACUCACAAUUUUCCAGGUAUUCAAUAUCAUGUCUCCUCCUAUGUUUCCUUUCAUAAACUAUCAGAGGAACAUAGAUGUUGCAUUAGUCGCCUAUCAGAAGAACAAGAACCAUCUAGUUAUGAUAAGGCAGUUGUUGACCUUAAAUGGCAACAAGCCAUGGCAGCAGAGUUGAAGGCACUGAAUGACAACCACACGUGGGAUCUUGUCUCAUUGCCACCUAAUCGGAAACCAAUUGGGUGCAAAUGGGUCUACAAAAUUAAAUACCGUGCAGACGAAUCAAUUGAACGUUAUAAGGCACGCUUGGUAGCCAAAGGAUUUACUCAACGAGAAGGUUUUGACUACCACGAGACCUUUUCUCCAGUUACCAAGGAUGUCACAGUCCGCUCUUUUUUUACCAUCGCCGCUAUCAAUGAUUGGAGUCUACAUCAAAUGGACGUGCAUAAUGCCUUCCUCCAUGGCGAUUUAGAUGAAGAGAUAUACAUGGAUGUUCCUCAGGGUUUACGGAGACAGGGGGAGAAUAAAGUGUGUCAUCUCCACAAAUCCCUUUAUGGGUUGAAGCAAGCAUCCAGACAAUGGUAUGCAAAAUUUGCAAAUGCUCUUACAAAAGCAGGCUUCCAACAAUCAAAGCAUGACUAUGCAUUGUUCACAAGGAACAGAGGUACGUCAUCUAUCUUUUUGAUGAUAUAUGUCAAUGAUAUUCUUCUUAUGGGAAAUGAUAAGGCUGCCAUAGAAAGAUUCAAGGAAUAUUUGCAUGCUACAUUUCAUAUUAAGGACUUAGGAGCACCUAAAUAUUUCCUUGGAAUCGAAAUUGCUCGAUCCAAUUUAGGAAUCUCCCUUAGUCAACGAAAGUUUAUAUUGGAGAUUAUAUCAAAAGCAGGGCUAUCAGGAUGUAAACCAGCAGCAAUUCCCAUCGAGCAGAACACUAAGUUGACUUCUGCAGCUUAUGAUGAAGGCAUAUCCAAAGAUGACGACCCCGUACUCAAAGAUCCAUCUGGAUAUCAAAGGCUUAUUGGGAAACUUAUAUACCUGACAAUGACGAGGCCAGAUAUCUCUUAUGCAGUACAGACAUUGAGCCAGUUCAUGCAUAGCCCAAAACAGUCCCAUUUCGAUGCAGCUUUGAAGAUUGUAAAGUAUUUAAAGAAAUGUCCAGGACUUGGGAUACUUUUGUCAAAGAAAUGUGACAUGAAGAUGACGGCAUACUGUGAUGCAGAUUAUGCAACAUGUCCUAUAAGUCGAAGAUCAGUCACAGGAUAUUGCAUUAAAUUUGGGGAAUCACUCCUUUCAUGGAAGACCAAGAAGCAACCCACAGUGUCUUUAUCUUCAGCUGAGGCAGAGUAUCGAGCUAUGGCUAAGACCACAUGUCAAAUAGUGUGGAUGCGAGGUUUACUUAAGGAUCUCGGGAUAGAAGUGCAAGGACCAACCAGGCUUUAUUGUGAUAACGAUGCAACCCUAAAACUUGCAACGAAUCCUAUAGUACAUGAGAGAACCAAGCACAUUGAAGUCGAUUGUCAUUUCACUCGAGAAAAGAUACAAGAGGGCGUGAUUGAGACAAGAGGAAUUGGGACGAUGGAGCAGCCAGCAAAUAUCUUUACUAAGCCUCUAUGCCAAAGACAACACGCAUAUCUGUUGAGCAAGCUAGGUGUCUUAGACAUAUACAGACCACCAGCUUGAGGGGGAGUGUUAGAAGAUAUGCAGAAUCCCGGAUUGCUCAAUCAAGGAUCCGAUUUAAUUAUUGAUUUGAUUGAAGAUUAGAAUUAUACACAUAAUCAAUUAAGAAUAGAUAUAGGCAUAGAUUGAUUCGUAAGAAUCAUUUAUUUCCUUUAUUUACUCAUAGAUUGUAUUAUAUUUACAACAAGUAUUGUACAGAUUCAUUAUUGAAGUGAAUAGAAAGAAAACUGUUCCUUCUUCAAUCCUCGCAUCUGCAAAUCUCCAUCUUCUUUCAGCUCGCAGGCGGGGCGCGACGGUAGCGACGGGCGACUCGGGAUCUGCAGGUGGGUCGCUGGGCCGCGGCUUGCUGAGACGUCGCGGGUCGGCGCAAGCUCAUGGGUGAGGGGGAUCUCCGACGACUGGCAGGACGCCGGCAGAGCGGCGGUGGCGGAGCGACAGCAGCGGAGAAGAGGAGGUAGCUGGUGGAGGCGGUGCCGGCGCGGUCGACGGCGCUGGUAAGCGGCACCGACGCGGGCAGGGGCAGCCUCGCGAGGAAGAUGAACAGUCGUGCCCCCUUUUCUUUCUUUUUUUUCUUUUUUCUCUUUUUUUCUCUCUCUCACGUCACUCACCAGUCUUGUCUCUCUCUCCUGCUUUUCGGACGUGGGUUCACCCCACCGAAAAGAUUUUUUUUUUUUUUUGAAUUUCAGCUUCAAACCUCAAAAACCCUAAAACUUCCUCACGUAUUUUCUCUCAAAAAUUUCGAAAUCCUCCCCCUCCUCAUCCGUACGCGCACAACACCUUUUAUAGGGGAAAAAUUUAGAUCUUUGAAGCGUAUUUUGUUUCCAAAUUCACUCGUGCAUAAUUCUCUGAAUAUAUCAUUGCACCACACAUGAUAUUCUCUUUUGUAUUUUUCACAUAUUCUAUCCAAAAUUUUCCUUUUUACUCAAAAAUACAUCCUUUGGCGUAUAUUAUCUAAAAAUAUGAAAAACUUGAACGGAAUAUGUGAAAAAUCUUCCCUUCACCGGCGGCCUAAAAUAAAAUAAAACAAAAUGAAAAUAAAAUGCUUCUAAACUAUAUGCCAUGUGUGUUUUUUUUUUUUUAAAUCAACCCAAAAAAUUUAGGUGUCAACAAUAAUUUUGCUGUAAUUCUUUCAUAGGUACUCUAACCACAUCUGAUAGUCAAAAGAUAGAAAAAUUUAAAAUUUCAAAAUCUAUCAUGAUUGUGUCAAUAUAUCAUACUAAAUUUAAUUCUAUUAUUCGUAACAGCUGAAUGUAUCAUAAAUAAGUAAAUUUACUUCAAUGUUAAUGAGUAUUCCACAAUUUUAUGUCACAUUCGCCAUUGUAGACCUGGUAAAAACUCUCAUUGGAUCAUUUUCCUCUGUUGUCUCUAUUGUCUUUUUUAAAUAGCAUAGGUAUGUCGUUUCUAUUCACAUGCAAAUAUGACUUGAGAAAUCGUAGAGUAUUUACGUCCAUGAUAAAGGUUUUUUUUUUUUUUUUUUGCCUUUUGCUUUAUGUAACUCAAAGAACUGAUAAUUAAGAUUGUUUGUACUCAUCAGGUGUUUUCUUUCGUGAAAUAAACUCCAGUUAAUAUAGUAUUUGUUGAAUUGUGAACCACUUCAAGUCGAAAGAAUAUUUCAGAUUAACUAGCUGUACAUCACCUACCUAAUCUUGCCUUUUUCAAUAGGACUUAAGAUAGAUUUUGCUAAUCAAGCGAGCAAACAUAAAUGACAAAGUUUUCAAUAUGCCAAAAGCAUUAUUGCUUACUUUUCUUUAUUUAUAGAAGUUUCCAAAAGUAGAAACAUAAUCUUACUUUGGUCUUAUUCAUAUCAAUAGCCUCGGUAACUGAUUGAGGCGACUACAUCAUUCUUAAUCUUUCUUUAAAUGUUGCUAUUAGCAAUCGCAUCUGUGAAUCCGCGGUUGGUUCCAUUAUAUCUUGGGAACAAAUGAGUUGCGGAAUCGCAAGAUGUUGAUUAGCAAUGGCAAAUGAAGCUCUGGGUAGAUCUCUAGGAUACUUGGAUAAAAAUUAAGAUUGAUUUGUGGAAAAUCAAUUUGCUUUGCAUCAAUGAAGAGAAAAGUGAGGGUCUAUUGAGAAAAAAAGAAUAGUGUACUGUUCUCCUAGUUGUGUCGAAUUUCAAUGUUCUACGGCGAAUUUGACAAUUUUGACAGGAUAGACAAAAAUUAUGAAUCAAAAGUCGACCAAAAAUUAACAAAAUGCAAAAAGAAACUCACUUUGGGCUUCCGUUGACCACUUUUCUUCCUCCCUUUGGGUCUUCUCUUUUUCUUUCGUCCUUUCGCCUUGCUCCUAUGAUCUUUCCACUUGCUCCUGAAGCAAGGGGAGAGGAAACAAGGAAGAAAGAAGCCGUUCUGCAUGGGGCUUGAGUAAAUGGGGGCUUCAAUGUACAAGUCCGUCAACCUUUAAGUUUCUCUAAAUUUAUAGAAUUUUCUCAUUGCCUCGUCAAAUGUUUCCUUAUAGAUUAAGUAAGGUUCUCUAAAAUUAAGGAUAACAAUUUACAUCUUAAGAUUACCCUCGAAGAUAUGGACUCAUUUGCACAAUUAAUUUUAACAGCCUAGGAUGAAACUCCCUUUACUACUCCUUUUUUUUCAAUUUUUUUUCUUUCUUUAUCCCUUUUUAUGGUUUUCCAUAACCGCUCUCCUCCUUGAUCUUUUUGUUUUUUUGGUCGGUCUUCCUUGAUCUGCAACGCAAUUAUAUUUUUCUUUUCAAAUAAAACAUUAAAGAUCUAUCUCACAAAAGUAAAAAUCUAAGAGAACAACUUUUGAUAUCUCAAUCUAUUAGAUAAAUAUUUAAUUCUGCCGUAUAGCGGCAAUGCCUAUUAAUUAGAAGGUAGAGAAAUAUAUUGAAGUAUGUGAAUUUAUACGGUUGUUCUUAUAUACAUAGUAAAUUUAAUUCUGUCGUAGACUAUAAUAUUUAUUAUAUUUUAUUGUGGAAUUAUUUAAUGGUUAUUGCUAAUGACGUCACAUAGCCAUUUUAUGGCAUUAAAUAGGGAUCACUUAUUAUUUAAAUACUCAUUUCGCAGUCAGACAUAUCGUUAGUUUUACUAAAAUGUCGAACAGAGCUUAUCAUUUUCGGCAUUAUUCGAACUCACACCUUCCCCCACAUUACUUUUUUGCUACUACCCUUUUGGUGCCCUCUUUUAUCACACUUCACCGCGAUAAGCCACUUUUGGCAAUGAUGCAAUAUGAUAUUAUGCGAUAUAGUUAUUUUUAUCUAAGUAGCUCACUUUUUGGUUUUAUUAAAUAGUUUUACAAACUCUCCCCUAAAUUACUUCACGUUUCUGCCAAUAUAUUGCCUAAAAAAAAAAGCCAAAAGAAAAUUACCUCAGAUUUGGAGUAAAUGUGUUACGUGAGUAUAAGUUUGGAGUUUUUGGUAUCAAAAGAUAACUUGUGUAAUAUGUCGCAUGGAUAUAGGUUUAGGGUCACCAAAAAAAAAGUUCGUGGGUAAAUGUGUCAAAUUGAUACAAAUUUGGGAUAAAUGUGUCAUAUGGGUACAAGUUUAGAAUUUUUUGUAUCACAAAAAAAUUGGGAUAGAUGUGUCAUAGUGUGCAUAGUUUAACAUUUUUUGCGACUUUUUCCCAAAAGAGAAAAGUAAAGAAACUUACCUACAAACUUACAUUACUUUCACUCAGCACAAAUCUAUUUUCCCACCCAACUUCCCCGGAAUUGGGCUGUGCUCGAACAGAGGACAGCCUAGGCCUAAUGGCUGCCCCACGCCCUAAUGGACGGAGGCCUGAUUGUGCCAGCGCCGCCAAGCCCAUGGGCCUUAAUGGCUGGCCCAGACUCGUUCACACGUCUCAUGUAUGACUAACUAAGACGAUUGUGACAUUCCUGAUUUUCUUAGCCUUGAUGUAUAUCUUGUGAAUUUGCCGCUCAUUCCAUUAAAUAAAAGGAGUGGAGAAGUCUCUUGGAUAUCAAAGAACAAAAUGUGUAGCUUCAAUGAAAAAUUGAAGUUAUGUGUAGAGAUUUCUAACUGAGAUGCUUAUUAUAAGAUUUAGAUUGGCUUAUGGAAGUUUAAUUUACAUCAAGAAAUCUGAAAAAAUAAAAAUAAAAAUUGCACUAGUGGCUGAACUAUUUAUGUAAUUGUUAGGAGGCUGCAGUCUUUUCAAUUUUGAAGAGUUUGUUCAAUUGUUAACCCUAUUUUUGAGGAUCCUAAUUGGCAGGCUUGAAUUAUCUAGGAUAUUAUUGCAGCAACUUAUUUAUUUCGACAGGAAAACAAUCACGAACAAUACCUUUCUUUACUCUCUAAUCUGCAAUAGUCCGUUGUAUUUGGUUGUGCAAAAGUUUAGUGGUACAUUACUAAUAAAGAGAACCUUUAGUUAUAAUACAAACUUGCUGAGUUACAUUACCAGAAGAAAUAUUUGCUCCUCUCUAUUUUCUGAUUUAAAAUAUAAAAAAAAAAAAAAAUGCAUCGCAGGGGAAGUAAAACUACUAAUGGUUAUGGUAGUAGUAGAAACCACAACGGCAACAAAGUAUAAUAAUAAUAAUAAUAAUAAUAAUAAUAAUAAUAAUAAUAAUAAUAAUAAUAAUAAUAAUAAUAAUAAUAAUAAUAAUAAUAAUAAUAAUAAUAAUAAUAAUAAUAAUAAUAAUAAUAAUAAUAAUAAUAAUAAUAAUAAUAAUAAUAAUAAUAAUAAUAAUAAUAAUAAUAAUAAUAAUAAUAAUAAUGNNNNNNNNNNNNNNNNNNNNNNNNNNNNNNNNNNNNNNNNNNNNNNNNNNNNNNNNNNNNNNNNNNNNNNNNNNNNNNNNNNNNNNNNNNNNNNNNNNNNCAAUAAUAACAAUAACAACAAUAACAAUAACAACAACAAUAAUAACAACAAUAAUAAUAACAACAAUAGUAAGAAUAAUAAUAAUACUAAUACUAAUAAUAAUAAUAAUAGUAACAAUAGUGAUAAUAGUAAUAAUAUUAUGAUGAUGAUGAUGAUGAUGAUAAUGAUAAGGGAAAAUUUCAAAUAAUGACCCAAACUUCCAAUCUUAUUUAUAACUUGAGGCAGUUUUGUCCAAGAACAUUUUUUCUUUAAUUUCUUUUUCUUUCUUCAUCUUCCUCAUAGCUCCUCCUUUGCCCUACAUUGCCUCCAUCUUCAAUGCCAUAAUCAGGGCCCCCACUAGAGACCUCGUGAACUUCAUGUCAUCACGUAGUUGGUCCUAGUAAUGAGAAGUCGAAUUGGAGUUAUUUGCUACUGGCUCGCUCGUGCUCAACCUAAAGCUCGGAUCGACCUUCGUCUGACGAUGACGAUGCUGGAUUUUCUAUCGAGGGCAACGGUCGAUGAGAUCAAGAGCUCGAAUAGGACUUGUCAAUGGCAGCAAUGAGGCAACAAAGUACAAUAGUUUCUAUAGUUAAUGAUGUCAAACACGAUUGAUGAUCAAUCUCAAGAUGGGGUAUCGGUUGAGGAGGAGCUGUGUUGAUGAGAAUGGCAAGAGUGUGAGUGGGUGUCUCCAGACUAGGGAUUAUUGAAAGGAGCCAUUGGCAUUGCAAAGGGUAAGGGGGAUCUUUGAAAGAUCGAAUUUACGCACGAGAGGCAAACCCAAAUUUGAAAUUGAUGAGGUAAACUGUUGCCGAGGUUGAAAGAGUCGCCUACUGCAACGAAAUUGUUCUUUGACAUGAAAUUGUUGAUCACCAAGUGUUAAUUGAAUAGAGGCAUAAGUUAGUCAAACAAGAUGAUUUGGCAAUGCUUGGAUAUUGCUGCUCUAUUGUUGGCAAGUAGGACUGAAAACCGCACACAAAAUUGCAGUUGCUAGGUUAGCGAAAGGCCCGGAAUAAGUGGAGUUUGAUGCACUCUCAAGGUGAGAGAAAUACGUCGCCAAAGGGAUUAGUUGCAUAACUAGGAGUUGGACAAGAAGUUGAGUCUCAGCAAAAGCAUAUUCAUAUUAUGGCUUUGAGAUCAGAAUUUGCGAUGAAUGUUGGAAUAAAGAGAACUUACUGUUGAAAGCUCAUUUUGGUUUCGUGGAAUUGUCUACAAACUAUUUUAAGGAUCGAAAUUUAAAAUUUUCAACAAGUUAGACUAUGUUGUAAUGGCUCAUGUUAAAGAAAACCCAAUCUUGGUCAUACAACGAGAUGACAAAGAGAGAGACGGAGGGGCUGAUAAUGAAGGUGAUGUAGAGCGUGAGAAAGAUGAAUAAAGAAAAAAGAAGAAAGAGAGAAAAAAAAAUAAAGAAUAAUGUUCUUGGACAAAAGUACCCCUGGCUAUGAAUAAAAUUAGAAGUUCAGGUCCUUAAUUGAGAGUAAGUUAGCCACUUCAUGUCUUUAUUUGAGACGAUAUCCACUUUAGAUUCUUUUUUGAGAAGAUGGCUCUACUUCAUGUUCUUAUUUGAGAUUUUCCCUAAUAAUAAUAAUAACAACAACAACAUUUAGAAUUUCAUUAAACUUAUAAACAAAACAACAAAAGAAAAAAAAGAACAAAGAUAAGUUGCUCUUUGCCCCCAAACAUGUGACGAUCCAAAUUUCCAAAUAAAAGAUAACAGAAACAAUAAGAGAACACAAAAAACUAACACCACCUCCAUAGGUUCCCAUCGCCUAAUCUUAUUGUCACAAGAAAAUUCAUCCGUACUCAUUUUGUUCAUGCCAAGACAUGACUCACGAAUUAAAAGAGAUAAUUCCAUGAAAGUCAAUUUCACGAGAGGAAAAAAAAAACAAACUUAUACACAGAGAGAACCAACCAAAAAAGUGCUAAACAAAACCCUAAACUAAGAAAACCCACGAAGAAACCAAUCAAUUUGUGCACAAAGGUGGAGAUUGUCACGGAAGCCAGAGGGACCGUAAACUUCUAGGAAUCCCUCUCGUAAAGCGUGAAGCAUUAUUUUCUUCUUGGUCUUUCUAAGUUUAGUGUUCUGUUAGGUUUUGUGCGAAAUUGAUCUUCACGCAAUUAUCGCUUUUUAGUUCGUGAGGUGGCUGGAACCAAACGAGUGAAAAUGAAUUCUCUUGUGAAGAUAAGUUUUCACAAUGAAAAACCGAAGGUCGGAUAGUCCGGAAAAAUUUGGAGGUGGAGUUAGUUGUUGCCCUCCCAUAUCCUUUUUGGAGUCGGGGCAACAACGAAACAAAAUCCCAAAAAUUGAUAAGGUAUGUAUUAGUCCGGUUGUUUGUAAGGGAUUGCUCAAUGGCCAUGUUGGCAAUUUUGACGGGUAGAGAAAAACUCAAUAAAAAAUCAACUAAAACAAAUUGUAGAAAAGAUACUAAAAAGAAGAAGAAGGAGAGUUGAGAGAAUCAAAGGAAACAUCAAAAUAAAGAGAUGUAUAAUAUAUAAUUACUUGAGCGUCAAUAAUUCUCCUAACGUCAAGUCAAAAGUAAAAGUAUUUGAGAAUCUUGGAGAAUCUGCAGUGGAGUUGAAGCAAAUUAAUGGUUGUCGAAGGUGAUUGCCCAGCUCUCGAUGCACCCAAAUUUCAUGCAACUUUUCAUGCAUCAAUACCAAAAAUAGCAAAUAUAUCGAAAUUACCACGGAAUUUUAACAAAAAAACCAUAAAACGAUCCAAAUUGAACUCCGAUUGAAUGUCAGGAAAUUGAAAGGCUUGGUACGGUCGAUGCAACUUGUUAUCACAAGGAACUAGCUGGAAAACAAGACUUCUUGUUGUUGACCAAAAUUCUUACGAAAAAGCUUCUCCCUCCGGUGGCUGUGAGGGUCUAUAUAUAUAUAUAUAUAUAUAUAUAUAUAUAUAUAUAUAUAUAAGAAAAGACUGUUUAUCCAUGGACUUCCCCAUUGAAUGCACUCAAAGGCAAUUUUAGUAUGAUAUAUUAGAUUUGAUUAGAUUUAUAAUAGAAUUUUUAUUAUCACAAUUAUGGCAUCAGCACGACAGCUUGGAGAUACUGAGAUAGGCUCGUUAACUCUAGAAUCUUAAUAAUGUACUCGCACAAUAUCAUAAGCCAAAUGUCGACACCAUGACAUUAAAUGUAGUAAGUUUUCGAGGUAACUAUAUCCAAUUUAGCAAUAAUAAAUGUCUGAGAUUUGUUUAUACUAUCAUGCAUAACGAGUAUUCAUCUUCAUAUCCUAGAAAGUAAAUAUUUGAUGCGCCAGCCCUUUUUCUUACCGACUUAAGCAUUAGUUUCGUCAAUCCAAUUUGCAGUUAUCAAAAGUGGUCUUCUCGUUGAGAAUAAUGUGAAUUUUGUAUUAGUCUGGUUGUUUGUACGGGAUUGCUCAAUGGUCAUGUUGGCAAUUUUGACGGGGUAGAGAAAAACUCUCAAUAAAAAAUCAACCAAAACAAAUCGUAGAAAAGAUACUAAAAAGAAGGAGAAGAGUUGCGAGAAUCAAGGGAAAUACCAAAAUAAAGAGAUGUAUGAUAUAUAAUUACUCGUGCAUCAAUAAUUCUCCUAACGUCGAGUCAAAGCAAAUUAAUGGUUGUCGAAGGUGAUUGCCCAGCUCUCGAUGCACCCAAAUUUCAUGCAACUUUUCAUGCAUCAAUACCAAAAAUAGCAAAUAUAUGGAAAUUACCUAAGCUGUAGUUACCACGAAAUUUUCACAAAAAACCAUAAAAACGAUCCAAAUCAUCAACCUAAAUAUUCCUAAACAAAUCGCAAAUCAAUGUUGAAGAGACAUAAACUUUCCUCUCUACUCCUCCACUUUACGCUCCUUUCCCUUCGAUGCUGCUGCUCCCACAGUCGAUUUUCGCUUCACGGGUAAGCCAAAAUAUUCCUCCAUUGUUUUCGCGAAGAAGGGAAAAUUAGGUUCAUCAUCCUGAUCGCAAAACUCCUUGAUUAUCUGGGGAGUGGUUUUUCCACUGGAAAGCUCGUGAGUAUUCUCUCCGCUGUCGUCGUCUCUCGAUCCAUUCUUGGGUGCGGCCGGCAACUGUGUGGAAUGAUUUUGUUGUUGCUGUGCCGCGGUGGAGGAGCCAGGUUUCGUCGAGACCUUUCCCUUCGAUGCUGUUGCUUCGACAGUCGAUUUUGGCUUCACAGGUGAGCCAAAAUAUUCCUCCUCUGUUUCCGCGACCCAGGGAAAAUUAGGCUCAUCAUCAUCAUGAUCCCAAAACUGCAUGAUCAUCUGGCGAGUGGUUUUUCUACUGAAAAGCUCGUGAAAAUUCUCUCCGCCGCCAUCGUCUCUCGAUCCGCUCUCGGGCGUGGCCGGCAAUUGUGUCGAAUGAUUUUGUUGUUGUGGUACCGCGGUGGAGGAGCCGGGUUUUGUCGAGAAGUCGUCUCCAGAAUGCGAGUUGUUCAGAGACAUGAUUAACUGAAAGAAUGUAGCUAUGGAGUAUAUGAAAAAUUCUCUUUCUUUGGUGGUUUGGGGGGAUUAUAUACCCAGACUACAUGAUUCCUAAAUCUAAUAGGUAAAGGUUUUCUAAUCUAGUUAUGAAGCCUAGUACAAGUCGCUCUUUAAGUGUUUGAAGUCUUUAUUGGUUUAAAAAACUUAAUUGGAUAAGGGAUUUUUUCGGUUGUGCUUAUCGCAUAUUUUGAUAUAUUAAAAUUGGACUCUUUCUCACUUAACAUAUUGAUUGUUAUUGUUUGCAAGAAAGGAUCCACUGAAAUAGAUAAGUUCCAAAGGGGUGGAGUCCUAGUUCAAGCCCAAUUUUGCCUAUUAGAAGUCGCAUAUAAAGGAAUUUUAAUAUAUUACCUUUCGAUCCUAAACAGAAUAAGGUUUGUUUCUUUUUAUCCCUUCUUUCUGGCGAGGUGCUGGAGCUCUUCUAAAGUCAGGUGCAAGGUGCUGGAACUCUUCUUUAUUAACAGGAAUUCUGCUGAUUGACGGUCCGAGUUCACCUGGCUCUAGCAAAAACGGGGGAAUGCCAAAGGACAGCAGAAAGUGAUGUUGAAGUUUCUUCUGAAUAGUUUACGUGAAAGGCAAGAAACGAUCUGCUUUCUGGUCAAGCUACUGCUCCCAUGGAGCAUGUUCUUAGAUCGAUUGAAUUUUAACUUAACAUCGAUUUGAAGGCAAUUGAUGUUGAGUUAUCUUUUUCCUUUCAAAAUGAAUUAGUUGAUUUAGUAAAAUCAAAGACAAUUUAAGCCAAAUCGGAUUCCUCUAAAAUAGGGGCAACAAAUGAAUAGACUCGUUAAAACAUGAAAAGACUCUAGCGAAAAAAUGUAUGCGUUCAAAUUGAUUGGCGCGGAAUAUUGAAUUUGAUAUAAUAUGAAUCAGUGCAUGGUCAGGAUAUUUUAAAUAAUAAAGAAUAACAAAACUAAAAAUGGAUAACUCCAUAGUUUAACAUUCAUAACUUCACUUUCUGACUAAAUAUAAACCAAGAGAGGUGCGCAUGUUGAGUUGUGCCGUGAUCUCUCUUCUUCUUCUUCUUUUCCAGUGGAUGGAGGCCUCUCUGGGAUGUCUAGCGCCGUCGACAGUGAUGGCGACGCAAAUACGAUGUUUCAGUCCCCCACAAUUGUCGUAUGAAAAUUUGAUUGCGUAGAUUUCGAAUGCAAUUGCACUUACUGUAGCUUUCGAGGCUGUGGUCCACUUUCCACUGGAAAUACAAGCGCGGCCGGACCACAAACACCGCACUCUUCUUUCACAUGAAUAAUUGCCUUCAUAUGAAAACGAGGCGCCUGAAGUAAAAACAAGCUCGGAAGACUGCGUCACAUCACGGUGAUGGAAUCCUCCAUCUUCUUAGCCAUGCCUUGCAACCCCACCUCAAAUUUCCUCACCAAAUCUUCCAGCACGCACCCUUCCGCCAGAUCGACAGCGAACAACCACUCGAUCCUACACCAGCCUUCGCCGUCUCCAUUGCCAGAGAUGACUUUGACCGUCGACGCGUAUGAAGUGAACCUGAUGUUAGAGUUGACCAUCUCGUAGCUUUAUCUUCGUCCAAGCGGAUCUACACUGAUGAGUCGCUCCUUGGACCAGUUGAUGGGGCAAUUCUCACCGGUGUCACUUGUGCCUCUGGACGAGAGGGAGAAGCUGGUGCAGUAUCUCACGCAAUCGGGCUCGCCGUUCUUGCUGUGGAUGCCGUAGCAAUCGGACAGCCUGGGAAUUGUGGAGGUUGAAGAAGUCCACGAAGCGUGGCCAUAUCUGCUCUACACUGGCCUUUGUGACGCUCGUAGAGGCCUUGCCUUCCCACCCGUAACCUAGUUGGGACCCCGUUUGAUCCAUGUUUUGUUCCUCCUCUAUGCCAAAACAUGCACGAAGAGAGUAAAUACACACCUCAUUUACACAUACCCAUAUAUAUACAUAGCAAGAUAAUUAAACAAAUUUUGUAUGAGCAGGUGUAGGUAGAAAAAGCACAUUUGGCAUUGACUGAUGUCUCUACGGCAACUAUUUUAAUGUUCGACAGAAAUCGAGUAAUAAAUUCUUCAAACAAGAAACCUACAGGGUGCUUUGGCGAGGUUGUCGACGUAGAAAGUAGGGGGAUUCAGUUGUCCUGAUCAAUUUAGGUAUUGGUUGUAAUAUCUUUUCAAGAAAGUCGUUUUCACCGAAAAUUAACCUUAUGGUGUUAGACUUUUUAUUUAUUUUUUCAGGUGAGUACAAGAGGGUACAAAAUAUUUUUUGAAAUAUUAGACGAGGGAAACGAAAUUUUUAAAAAUAAUAUGUUUUCAACAGGAGCAUUUUUUUUUUCGUAUAAUUUUCUAGAGUUUACAACACAGUACAUGUUUGUGGGACUGAUGAGUAUGGGACUGCAACAGAGACUAAAGCCUUGGAGGAGAAGUGCACACCGCGGCAGAUUUGCGACAAGUAAUUAUAAUUUCUCAUGAUUUCUUUAUAUCAUCGCCGUGUCACAAGAAUGGAAGAUGCUGUGAAAUGCGUGAAAAGCAUAAUGAGUUUCUUCUUCUUAAUUGGACAUGUCUUCGGUAAAAAGAUGGAUGUGUUCUUUUAAAGGCAUCCCAGGUUUUUUAUGUUCUUGUUUGUGCACAUGGUUUUGACAGCGGUGUUAUCUUGGAAAUAUGGUGCAGUGGGUCACGGCAUUCAUCUCUGUAGGAGCGUUGUUGACGUGAAAAUUCUUUUGUUUACAUUCAUUUUUUUUUUCCAUAAAAUUGAUUUCUUAUGAGAUUUCUUAGUUCUAUCUUCUCUCCUGUCACGCCUCAGAUACCAUGCUGUGCAUAAACAAGUCUGAUUGGUUCAACAUAAGCUUUGAUAAGUUCGGACGUCCAUCAACCCCACAGCAGACUGAAGUUUGCCAAGAAAUUGUUUGAGAACAAUUGCCUUCUAAAGAGCAAUCAAUGUGAGAAGUGUCGAAAGCUUUUGAAUCUGAGUUAAUUGAUCCUAGGUGUAAGGUACCACACAUUUUCACUAGGUUUUAAAUUGUUCAGUAUAGGCCAUGCUUGUACAAGAGGCCAUCUGCUAUGCACUUUAAUGAACUGUGAAUGCGACACAGAUUACUACUAUUCAAGACGAUAUCAAUGCCUAGCUAGAAUGCAGAAAUUAUGGACUUGUUUUCAACAUAUAACAUCAGCCAUUGUCAUAAGAGCCUCUUUCUUUAGCUCCUCUGAAUGUCUGUUUUGCAUCUUUGACAUUACUGAGAAAUGAAAUGAAAGAAACAGAUGCUGGAGCAACUACUUUUUCAUGCAUGCUUUAAGUGACUUUAACAUAUUGUCCUGUUUUUAGGUGCAAUUUAUCUUAUUGCUGCUUGUUUUCAGGUUUGUCAGGCACCUCCGAGAAUCCGAGAUACAACCACUUGUUCCUCAAGCUCCCUCUGCUGAAGGAUAAAUUGGUGGAAUAUAUUAAUGAGAUGUCGGAAGCUGGAUCUUGGAGCCAGAAUGAAAUUCACGCAACUAAUGCAUGGAUAAAAGGACUGAAACCUUGAUGUAUUACAAGGGAUCCGAAGUGGGGAGUUCCUAUACCCCAUGAGAAGUUUAGUUCAAAUAUUUUGAACUCUCGUGCUUCAACAACUGAAAUUCUGGGUGAUGUCGUGACAGGGUUAAAGAUAUCACAACUUUUAUUUGUUUUCUUUCUAGUCUUCAUUCCUUUGAAAAAUGAUCUUGGCAUGUGCAUUUGCUUGUCUGUUGAUGCAAUGAGUAAGGUAUUCUAUGUUUGGUUCGAUGCACCGAUUGGCUACGUCUCAACAACUUCAUGUUACACGCCAGAAUGUGAGCAGUGGUGGAAGACUCCUGAGAAUGUGAAGUAGUUUCAGUUUAUGGACAAGGAUAACGCGCCAUUUCACAUCGUAUGUGUCCGACUUUUCUAGUUUUUCUUUACGUCAACAGCCUUUAAGGUUUAUUAAUCCUUUGAUCCCUUUUUUUUUUUUGGGUAAGAAGUAAGAAAUUAUAAUGAGCUUUAACCAACUAUACAAGAGGAGGUCACAGCAUCAAAAAACUUACACUCAAAACGAACAGAAAGCAUAGUGAGUGGAAGGGUGUUGAGACAAAAAAGCUGCCAACAAGGCAAACAAACUGGCCACAAAAGGCAACAAGACAAUAAGGCAAGGCCAAACAACGGUCAACCAACUCCCAAAAACAAAAGGCAGGAUGAACAUGGUCGACAGUCAGAGCAACCCGUGUUGGAUGCAAAUUGCGCAAUCCCAAGAUCUCCAUAACCAGAAUAAUAACAUGUAUAAUAGAGUAGAAAGAUUAACGCAUAUGUUUUGGAAUCAAUCGUACUUAAAGCGGAAGCAGAAAAGGGAUUACCCACUUAUCAGGGGAUUAUUCACGUAUCAAGUCAUCCUCCUCUAUUACCCUCCAUAUCACUAACUCAAUGAGGUGGCCCCCUCACGUUUAGCGUUAGGUAAACGCUCAUUAAGUGAGGAUACAUAUGAGAAUUAGGGUUAGAGAAGAAACUUGAACACUAUUUAUAGAAUUUCCAGCUAGGCCCCCUCAUUACGGGCCAGGCUCAAUUCGGCUCACACUAACCAGCCCCAUAUUAGACUAAUUAAGAAACAUUCUAUCUCACCUUAGACCAACCCUAUUUUACAGUAACCGUAAAAAUAAUAAAUUACAAUAUCAAUUAAUGUAGUCCACAUUAGGAAAACUCUUACAUUCUCCCACUUGGACUAAAUUAAUUGAAAUCGUACCGUAUGUGCGCACAUUAGUCCAGAGAUAAUUCUUAAUAGUCAAUCAUAUCUCAUAAAAUCUUAAACACCGAAUCAUCACGGUAACUGCAUGUGUAUACACAGAGCCUUCCAUGGUCACGAGUGCUCUCAACUUUAUUGAUAUGGAUUCAAUAUGGUAAUGUGUCAAAUGGAUAACAUCUCUCAUAGAGAUAUCCCAUUUGUCAGUCACCAUUCUCUUACCUUAAGCGUCACAAAAACUUGUGCCAUUAGAGAAUGCUUUAUGGUUCCAAUGAACCCACAUAUAUCUUAUUCUUACGGUUAAUCUUUAUUUAUGUACAACAAGACAUAUGGACAAGGCUAAUAACCGAAUGCCCCUAGCCUUCACUUAAGGUUUAUAUAGUACCUUGAGACUUUAUUAAUAUGUAUUCAACAUAAUAACAACACAUUCAAAUAUAUUUAAUUGAAUAUAAGAGUUGAUACAUAUCAAACCGUUACAAAGUGUAACGAAUCACAGAUAAAACUUUUAUCAAAGUAAAGCCAAAAUAGCUUCCACUAAACAACAGCAUCUCAUAAUGCUCCUAGGCCCAUGCUAAUGACAUGUCGCUCAAAUACUCAUGGGCAUAGGCCUUUAAUUAGUGGAUUUGUAACCAUAUCAUCUGUGAAAAUAUGUUAUAUUAUAACGUCACAUUUCUGUAUCGGUUCCUUUUGGUCAAAAAUUUUGACCACCAUAUAUUUAGACCCCUUGAGACCUUUGUAGUAAAUAAAUAAUACUACAAAUUUAUUAUCUCAAUACAACCAUAUGGGUCUAUCCAUAAAGUUAAAAACAGUCGACUCCUUCAUCAGGUUCUAGAGCCUAAUACUUCAAGUAACAAGCUAAAAGAAUGUUACUAACACUGCUUACAUAGUAGAAGAUGACAUAAAACUUUAUUUACUGCGCACCUUGCUAACAUAAAUAUGCAUUAUGUUAUUGAUCACAUAUCAUCUUAAUAACCGGCAAAGUUUACAUCUGAAUAUUCUACUAGCUGCAAGAAUUGAACAUGUUUGUAAAUUAGCAUAUAAUCUCUUGUCCUCUUUAAAUAUCUUAAAAUCUUCUUGACAACAACCUAGUGAUCACAUCCUGGAUUUAAUUGAUUUUUGUCUAGAAGUUCCAUCGCAAAUAUGAUAUUUAAUCUAGUGCAAAUUUGAGCAUACAUUAUACUUUUAAAUGCAAUGACACAAGGUACACCAUUUAAUUAGAUUUUCUUAAUAUCUGAAUAAGGACAAUGUGAUAAAUUCAGUCCAUCACCCUUAACAACAUGAGCAAUUCCUGGCUUGCAAUGAUGUAUAUUGAAUAUUUCCAAAAUACGAUAAGCAAAUGUCUUUUGAGAUAAAUCUAAUAAAAUAUGGUGAAAAUAAUCCUUAUGGACCUCACAAAAAAUGCCAUGCCUUAAAAUCACUACUAGUAAGCAAAAUAUCACGUACAUAAAGUAUGAGAAAAAUAAAUUUCCUCCCACUAACUUUGCACUAUAUAUAUUAAAUUACUUUGUUCCCAAUUGAACAAAAUAAUAACACUAUGAAACUUUAAUAGUAUUGUCUAGAAACUUUCUUAAGACUAUGAAUAAGACUUAUUAGUCUACACACAAGUUUACUUGAAUCAACUGCAAAAUCCUCAAAUUGCACUAUAUAGAUUUUGUAUUUAUUUAUUUGGCGUAACUCCAUAUCAAAAUAAAUUAUUAAUGUCACGUUCACUCUGAAAUUUUUUUUAAAAGUACUAAAAAGAAAUGUUUAUUUAUUCACUAUUAACUAUCCACCCCUCUUUCAGAGUAUAACUUUUAGCUACCAACUUGGUUUUAAAUAAUACAAUCUUUUUUUUUUAAAUCAUUUUAGUUUUGUACGCCAAUUGCAACUAAUGAAAUUGUGAUCUUUAGACAAAUCAGUAAGUUUCCAAACACUAUGAUGUUUCAUAAAUUGUAUAUCGCUUUUUAUGGCAUCUAAUCACAUACUUGAUUGAGGAUAUAAAAAAAAAUAUUUAUAUAUGUUGCCAAAUUAACCAUGUAAUAGAUAUUGCAGUCAUGCUCUCAUAAAUAGACUAUAUAAUCUAAUGGAAUAACUGAUCGUCUUUCCCUAACAAAUCUCCCGAGUAAAGUUACAACCACUUUAUUCUAUACUUGAGAGGUUUGAAAAAAUUUCAUCAUAAACUAUAUCAAUAAUAGUACCUUAAACCUCAACAAGUUUAUUCUAUAGUACAGGAGAUUCCAUAAUUAUCUGUACCACAAUUAUCUAUAUAGGCAAAGACAAAGAUACGGUGCAACUGGCUUCGGGCUCCUUCCCCCUCACGAAAGGGAGAAGUUCGAAUCCCAUAAGCGUCACAUUCGCGCGACUCAAACGCGGCUGGGUCUAUGGUGGUGGCCCAAUUCACCCCGGAUUUACAUCUAGGCUGCCGGCCGAGGGUGGUUCCCAGGUCAUAAAAAAAAAAAAAAAGAUACGGUGAUUUUCCAUCGUACUAUUAUCCUUAAUAGUCUGAAAGCAACUAUCAUCUACAAUUACGUCGAACUGUAAAAACUUUACAGAAUGUGAUUCCAUAAUACUUGUACAUUAUUUAGGGUCAUAAAAUUGAUACACAUUUUUAACAAUUUAGGUAAAAUACAAAAUAAUUCCGAGUAAAUCUAAAUUCGAACGCAUUUAAUAUUGGAUUAGAUAACAUCACUUCUGUAUGACACCUCUAAAUUUAAUAUGAUUCAAGUAAUUUAUGUCAAGUCUAUAACUCAAAAGAAGUUUAUGAAAUAACUUUGAUAAGAAACAUAUUUUGUAUGUGAAAAUGUUGUUUUCAAAAUAUCAGCCCACAGAAGAUCGGAUAAAUUAAUCUUACUAAUCAUACUCAUCACUAUUUUUAUUAUGAUGCAAUAUGCCUUUCGGCCAAAUCUUUUUGUUAGGACUUUCAAGCAUAGUAAUUAAGUUACCACCCCAGAAUCUACCAAGUAUUUGAAAAAUGACCCUUUAAGCUAUUUCGCAUUGUCAUACUCGCCGAAAUACUCACGACUACUAUUAAGUCUAACAACCUCUUAAGACUAAUUGUAAUUGUUUUAUUCUUUAUCUCGGUAAUUUUACUUUCACAAUAAUUUAUAGAAGUUUUUAGAUAAUCGUUAAGAGUAGACAGAAUAUCAACAUUGUUAACUUUUCUACUCUUCCUUUAGACAUGUGUGAGAUUAUUCCAUAAAUAGAAAUUUUUUGAAAACAUCUUCAACCAUAUACGAGAUGUAUAUGCCAACUUAAACACAAUCUUUGCAGAUGUGUCCUAAUUUCGGUAUUAGAUAAAACAUAACUUCAAGCCAUUAAAGCUUUCAUCAUCUUUUAGCAGUGCAGUCAGUAGACAAGCCACUUUUCAAUUGUUCCUGAAUGAAACGCUUCAUGGACAGUAAGCAAUUUCUAUUGCUUUUUUCCUAAACAACAAAUCAUAUGUCCACUACUUAAAAUUUGAAGCAGUAAAAACCUCAAUAAUAAUGGAGUUUAUCAAUUACAAAAAAUGUGACUGAAAAAACAAGCAAUGUAUAUAAUUAGCAUCAUGUGAGCACCGUGUAAUUUGACGUACAAGUACACAUCUUGAGAGUUACACGCAUAAUCAUAUAAUCAUCUUUAGGUAGAAUACAUGAUAUGCAGUUAUACACUCCCCACACGAUAAUGGUUAUGAGAAUAUAUUCCAAUUUUCGUGAAUUCAUCACCUUUGGGCAUAUGAACCAUUAGGAUUAGUUAUUUCUCCACCACACCAUCAUGUAUCCCUCCAUGAACUAAUACACAAUCACUUCCUUUGGGAGUAUGACCACGCAUUAGACUAGGAGACAUCUUAAUCAACAUACGAGACCGAAAUUUCUCAGACCCAAUCAAGCAUGCCACUUUAAAGGUCACUGCUCAAUUGAAUCCUUGAAACUCUCUCAUACCAUAGAUAUAAACUUUACUUUUCACAUUUUACCAAAAAAAAAAAAACCACUGGCCGUGGUGGCUCCGCUGGGUAGGCUUCAGUCCUUUAAGGGAAGGUCAGGAGUUCGAACCCCUUGCAACACAAAUUGCAAGGAGGCUGGUGGGUUAUUAAGUAAUUGACGCGUGACGCUAAGGUGGUGGUUUCCCCGCUAGCGACCGGGGUGGUGGUUUCCCCACUAGCGACACCUGGGGGUUUACAUGAUGGCUAUUAGCCAAAGCGGUUCCUCCAGCACAAAAUAAAAAAUAAAAUAAAAUAAAAACUUUACUUCUCACAUACACCAUGUGAUUUUAACUUUAGUGAUAGGGGCGGUAAAUCACUAAAAUCACAUAUCAUGCUAAUUACAUUGCUUUAUUCAUUAAUAAAAAUUAAUAAUACAUAUAUAUUUAUAUAUAUAUAUAUAUAUAUAUAUAUAUAUAUAUAUAUAUAUAUAUAUAUAUAUAUAUAUAUACAUGACAGAGAAUAAAACAUCUCUUAUGCAUCUCGAUUAUAGAUUACCAAAACAACAUAAAAAAACAAUACUGAUUUAGAAGAUCUCUCACAAAUUAACAUCAAUAGUAAUACAUGAUACACCAAAUCGACAAACCUGACAGUUGAUCCAUUAUCACUCAUGAGUUUCAUAAGACAAAAAAUGACUACAUUGCCAAAAACUAAUUUAUUAGCCAAUUUUUUUAAGUAAAAAAUUAUCAUUGUAAUCAACCAAUAGCCUAUUAAUUGAGUCAAACUAAAGAACCAAAUAUCUAAACUUUAAUAGUAUAUACUAUUACUCUGUGUAAAUGUUGUCAUACUCCUUAACUAUAAAAAAAUAUUCAACUUAAUGAACAUUAAUCAGUAACCAAAUGAGUGUACAAUAUGCAAUGAUUUAACUGACAUGCAUUACCCACAUUCAGCAAAUAUGUUAAUUAGUACAAUCAAUUUGGUCACAGGUUCUUAAGACGUAUAUCAUUCAAAGGUUACCAAUAUGUAAAGGAUGCAUGAGUAACAAAAGUUUCAUAACAUUUUAUUUCUCAUCACCUCAAUACAUAAUUCAAUUACUAUCCCAUAAUGGUUGUAUCUCAUUAAGCCAGUUUCAAUUGAUAAUAAAAUUUUAUUUUUAGUAACGAAUUACACCAUUAUAAUGUUUAUGUGAUAACAUACCUGUAACCUAACACUUGUAUUUCCAAAAUCACAGAAAAUACAAGAAAAAUCCCUUAAAAAUCCAGGUUUUUAGGGUUUUAUAUUUAUUUUCCCAUUCAAAAAAACUUCAAAAAGGAAAAAAAAAUCCCCCCGGAGGUAGGGGAGGUUCAUUGGAUUCAAACCCCCCGGGCCAUUGGCCGGUCGGCCGUUCCCGGCUCCCCCACCCAAGGCCUAAGUGGGGGGGGGGGGGGGCACCCACGCUACCCCCCCCCCCCCCCCCACGCGUGGGGCGCAUCUCCGACGCCUUAGCAGUGCGUGGCCGCGCGUGUGGGCGCGUGAGGCCUCCCUCGGCGACGCGCCGCCGACCUUCUUGCUCGUAUUGUCGAGCCCAGUCCGAAUUUGUGAUUUAAUUUUAAUUUUAUUGAAUAAAAAAUUUCGAAAAUCUCCAAUUAUGGCAAAAUCUCUGUGCGUUCGAGUUCUAGGGUUAUGGAGGCUUUGAUACCACAUGUUGGACGCAAAUCGUGCAAUCCCAAGAUCUCCAUAACCAGAACAAGAACAUGCAUAAUAGAGUAAAAAGAUCAACGCACUUGUUUUGAGAUCAAUCGUACUUAAAGCUGAAGCAGAAAAUGGGUUACCCACUUAUCAGGGGAUUAUCCACGCAUCAAGUCAUUCUCCUCUAUUACCCUCCAUAUCACUGGCUCAAUGAGCCGGUUCCCUCACGUUUAGCGUUAGGUAAACGCUCCUUAGGUAAGGAUACAUAUGAGAAUUAGGGUUAGAAAAAAAAAUACUUGAAUACUAUUUAUAGAGUUUCAAGCUAGGCACCCUCAUUACGGGCUAGGCUCAACUCGGCCCACACUAGCUAGCCUCAUAUUAGACUAAUUAAGAAACGUUCUAUCUCACUUUAGACCAACCCUAUUUUACAGUAAUCGUAAGAACAGUAAAUUACAAUAUCAGUUAAUGUAAUCCACAUUAGGAAAACUCUUACAACCCGAGCCAGACUUCGACGGUGAAACAGCUUCGAAAAGACUAGACUCCAAGCCCACGGAAGGACACGGCAAUGAGACGAAGGAGGCGAGAAGUCUCCAAGUAUCCCGUCUAUCCCAAGGAGGGUCGAGCAUCAGUCAUCAAAAAAAUAACCACCAGCCGCCAGAUUAGUGAAGCGUCAGUCACAGCAUCAAUCCUUUGAUCCUUUUUUCUUUCACUUUAUCAACAAUCUUCAAUGUCCUAUCUCUGCUUUGUUGGCUGAUGCCAUUACCUCUCCUCACUGAUACUAAACCUGUUGACGUUGACAUUAGUCGCAUGCUGUUGUUAACUUCGACGAAAAUCUUGGUUUUUAUUAGAGUGCGAAGUCACCUUGUGGAAUGUUUUUUCCUGAAUGACCCAUUCGGCAGUUUGCAAAAUUUAAUUGUGAUGUUGGGAUGACGAAAAUCGCAAUUGCUUAUUUUUGUUGACCUUAUUAUGUGACUGACAGAAAUUUCUAGUCUAAACUGUGUGCAACCAAUUCUAUAGAAUAGUCCAUCGGAGAGUUUUAAUUUUCAAGUUAUGCCUUGGUGUGUGUGACAUUAACUCGAAGCGAUAUUUCUCUUAGUGUCCAAGACAAGGUCCAUUUUCUACUGGGUUUAUUGGUUUCUAAUGUGAAUUCUCCUGUAAUUUCUGUGACAUCCUGAAUUUCGACCCCGUCCCGAAUAUAUGAAAUGGUCAUUUUGCCGACGCUCCUAUGGUCCUUUUUCUCUGAGCUGAUCACUCACGAGUUAACCAAUCUAUUGGGUGAAGCCGUUAAGGGAUAUAACUGCAGUAAAAUCCCUAAAAGCUAUCCGAUAGGUCGAAUUGGACUAGAAUUGCGUUCGGUUGAUUUUAACCACAAGAUGGAAUUCGGUUUCGGAUAUCGGACAUUCGAGCAUGUCACGGUUCAUGUAUAGGACGUCGUCUUGUCUUUUGGAGAAAUUCCAUCCAGUUCGGGAUUUUUACGGAAAAUCGUUGCGGACGAUUCGAAAAAUUAACAAAAAUUCGGAUGGACCCAAUUAAAGGAAAUUAGAACUUCCAAGCCGAGCUUUUGAGUGUCAGGGACUUGUAGAAAAUUGUAGGGGAUUUUUCUCCAUCAAAUUUGGACACCAAAUUUGGGAAAUUGUCAAAGAAAUUGGAAGUUCAAAUGUGACUUUAGAACCAAGGGAGGACAGCAUUAUUUUGGCUUCAAAUUGGAUAAUUUGGUGGAUAUUAGUGCAAGAAAGUAAGUGGGAACAUUAGAUAUUUGUUUGAGGGCUUUAAGGAGACAAGGCAUUUAAUUACUUGGCUAAGAUGGUUGACUAUAUUUCCCUCUUAGCUGGCUUCCACCACACGAUUCAAGCCCCCUUCAUUCGGACUCUCUCAGCCGCACACACACCGCAGCGUCGACUCCUUCUCUUCCGUGUGCUACUUCGCUUUCAUUUUCUUCUUGUCACUUCACCGUCUGCCCAUUCGCCAUCCACCAAAGCUUUCAUUUUUCCCUGCUCCGCUCACUCGGCCUCAACCCCACGAUCUUCAGUCCAAGCUACAAGCACGUUUGCAAGAUUUCCCCCAGGCGGCAACCGAAGCUGCUCUCCCACUAUCUUUGGUCUUCUGCCGCAGUAAAUCGAGUCAACAACCCAACAAGUUCCUCCACCGAAGAUGACUUCUCACGUGCCCUUCAUCCGCCGAGGCUCCUCCAUAUGCACGUGUCCUCAACUGAUCAACGCCAGAGAAUUUAGCCGUGAGUCCAGCAGAUUCGGGGUCAGCUUCUAUAGAUUUGUUGACCGUGAGCCCCACGUUCGGCCGUCCACGACGCCACCAGCUUUCAUUCCCCUUCGCGCUUCUACUUCGGUCUCAUUUUCCUCUUUCAUGAAUGAACGCCAGCAUCAUCGCCAAAGCUGCUUCCCCUUAAACCCUCAACCCUAAACCCUCAACCCUAAUUCCUAAAUCCUAAAUCCUAAACCCUAAAAACCCUAAUUCCUAAAUCCUAAACCCUAAAUUGUACAAAAUUGUCCGAUGUUUCAAAUGAAGUUCUUUGUUUUGUCUCCUUCCUCAUCCUUUUUUAGCGCAUUUUCUUCUUUCUUCUAUUCUUCGCCCUUGUCCACUUCCAAUUCUUCUUCCUCCUCUUCUUCUUCCCCAAUCUUUCUACAGGAGUAUUUUUCGAUUCUUCUCUAAUCUCUAAGUCAUCCUCAAAUGUGCAACUUUCCUCAAAGGUAUCCAGCUUUUCGAGCACAGGUUGACAGUCAUCACAUAGCCAAAUAACAUCUUUGUUGAGAGCUUUAGGCAUGGUUCUAAGGCAAUACCUAAAAAGAAAGGGAAAAAGACAAUCGUAUUUCAAAUAGUGAGCAUCUUUUACAUGAAUUGAGCUUGCAUAUGGUUGUGUACAUGUAUCGCAUAGUUCUAUGUGAGCAUGGUUGCCUAAGACUACGUGAUGUAAUUAUAAAGGAGGAUGUGAGAGCAUUAAUGUGACUAGAUUUGGUUUUAGUAAGUAUAGGUUUCGAUUAGUUUCUAAGGGGAAAAUUGGGUUCAAUUUUAUGAUUUGAGCCUAGUUUGAAUUUUGAUUGGAACAUCCCAUUUCAAAUGGCCCAUAUUCGAAGCGGGCCCAAGGGCCCAGCUCAAGUCCUCAUUUUCCCAAUAAAAAUGUAGAAGAUAGCUUUGAAACAGGUCUUGAUUAUGUGGUUAAAUUAUUAGCAUUAUUUUUAGUUUAAUUUCAUUUAGUUAGUAUAUAUUAUUUAGACAUUUUAGCAUGUGCCCUUGACAUAGCUUAGUUUUUGGUGCGUUGAUCUUCUAGACAAGAAAUUGUAUUCAAUUUGAAUAUAGCCUUCAAGACUUAAUAACAUGUCCAUAUAUAUUUUUGUUCGGUACUUUAUUGAAUUUACUUCUGUAUGCUUUAUUUUUUAUCAUACUUGUUGUGGUUACUUACUUUUUCUUGAUUGUGCAUUUAUACAUGGACAUGGUUUAGUGGUAUGGGUUCAUAAGCUUACUUUAUAUGCAUAUGAUCUACCUUAGAUUUUGGUUCGUUGAUUUUUUAGGCAAGAAAUUGCACUCAGUUCAUCAUAUGCUACGAUGAUGAAGACAUCAGUUCCACUUGUAUUUAUUUUUUCUUUGUUGGUAAGUAGCUGUGUGGGAAGUGUUUGGCAAAAGCACAUGCCAAGGUCAACAACAAUUUGCUGAGUGGAACUACUUUAAGGGUUCAUUGCAUAUCCAAGAAUGACAAUCUUGGAAUUAAUGAUAUAAUACACAAGUGGGGAUUCUCAUUUGUACCCAAUUUCAAUGAAGGUAUGUUGUUAUUUUGUAGCUUUUCAUGACCUAAUUGAUUUGAGUAGUUGGAUAUAUAUGUGCAAGGCAGGGACUAGAGUGUAUGCGAGAGUGUAUUUGGAAGAUUUCGCCCAAAGGUCCUUGUAGGCUCAAUGAAGUGACGGGGCAGUAAAAUGUUUGUUUUUUUUUUUGGAAUCCAUUAAAGCUAGUUAAAAAGAAAUUGUAAAUGUUGGACAAUUUAUCAAAACAUAGACCUUCAUGACCUGCCAAAGCUAGUUAAGGCUCAAUCAAGGGAAGACCAAGAUAUUUCACUCGUAAGUGGCCAUUUUGGAAUCCACUCAAAGCCACCACCUCUUCCGCAUAUUGACCUUCAUGACCUGCCAAAUGCCACUCAACGUUUUUGUGGAUUAAGCCCUGAGGCCAGCAGACAUUUGCUUGAAUCUCUAGAACAAAUGCUUCUCAUUCAGUGAAUCCUUGCCGCCCUUAAAAGUGAUCACCUAAUCAUCUGCAAAAUCCAACUGAGAGGGUUUGACGUGUGAGUAAAUAGGAUGAAACUUGACUUUGCUUUAUUCAACUGCAGCAUCUGCCAUUCGAGAAAGUAUCCCCCAUGACAAUAACAAAGAGGCAUUGUCUCCAAACCCUUUUCGCCUUUAAAGAAGCCUUGAAGAUGUCCAUUUAGGGAGAUGGGGAAAUGAGGCCUGGGAAUACAAGCUUUUAUCUGUUUCCAAAUUGAUUAGGAAACUGCUAGAUUUCCCUUACUGCAAGGACAGAUUUCCAGCUGAUAGACUCAAAUGCCUUCAUGAGAUCAGCUUUGCUAAUUUCUCUUUAGGAUACAAUAUCCCUAGGCAAGUUCCUGUCAAUUCAUGAGCCGGAUUAGCAUUAUCACAAUAGCUCCUCCCUCCAACAAAGGCAGCGUGUUUACAACUUAUAAUUUGAUGAAGUAAUACAUUUGAUUUAUCAGCAGUUACUUCUUUCUUACAUUUGGCAAAAUCAUAUCAUCGAGGUCUUUUUCCAUAAUUAAUCGUAUUAUUUCUUUUUUGCUACAAAAAUAUUUUAUGAAUAUUGGAAUAACUUUGUUUCUGUAAGAUUUUCGGAUAUCAUUUUCUUAAAAUGGAAAAUAGUAACAUGCAAAAGUGGGAAAAAAUAUCAUUCUUUUAUGAUAAUAAUUAAUAACUUGCUAUUUAUGGGAAUAUCCUAUGCCAUCUUGAUAUAAACUUGGAAAUAUGAGUGUUAUGAUAUGAACGCACAAUGAUUGUCUUGUAAUAGAAUUGUACUGAAAAUCUUCAAUGACAUGAAUUAGAUGGAUUGAUUUCAAGUUAUACGAGUUGAACUCAAUAUCGCAUUGACAAUCAAUUGGUUUUGCAAAGUGAUACUACUUUGGCAAGAAUACAAUCAACUCGCAGCUAAUAUUAUCACUCUUGUUGAGAGUGUUUGUAGAAACCUACUCUCCAAUCUGAUUAUAAACUUGACGGUCCGUCUAACCUUAGACGUGCCUCCACCAAAUGGGCUUAAAGUCAAAUUCGGAUCGUCCUAGACAAUGGCAUUUAAUGAUGAAAUCCGACCCUACUCGAUUCACCCAUUGCAGGCUGUCUUUAUUGAUCGCGUUUGCUUCAUUUGCAGGGUCACUUGGUAGACCUACUAAUCCUAAUGUAUUAAGAUUAUCGAAGCAACUUAGAUUUAGGACACGCUAAAGUAGCUUUUUGGAAUAAUCUCUCAAUGCCAAUGCACGGAGUCAGCCUUUAACCUGACCAGCAAUUUGUUUCGUAACGCAAUGACAGCAAGUCAACACGUCAGGCACAGCAAAAGUUAAUCUGAACUAGAACUAUCGCGUGAUCUAACAACCAAAGCAAAACGAAUUUUUUCCAUGGAUUUUGCUGCUUCACUUAGAGUACGACAGCAGCCUCCUGAACCGACCAUUUCUUGAUAUCCUUCCCUUAAAGAUCACUCCUGCGUAUACACGCAAAUUGUGCAGCAGAAAAGAGCAAAAACAUCGACAUGAACCCAGAAGAGAACAAAUGAAAAUGACUGUUAACUAUAUUGUUACGGAAAGAGUAGAACACAAAGCAUGAAUCCCAGCAAAUGAGUUGCAUCAUAAAGGUCACAAACUGAUCGAUUCACUGUACAUUUGGAUUGUCCCGUACUCACUCCAUCGCCCACUUCUUCCUCACACACCGGCGACGGCAAUGAAAGAACAAACGAAAGGUCACAAACUGAGUCUUAAAACUCAGAAAAAAAAUUCGGCACAUUCUGGUUUUCACAAGUGUCUUUCAACCCUUCUGCAGAAUCAAUCUAUCAUAAGCAAUUGACUCGUCUACUCAGUGGAAUAAGACUUUCUACAGCAGGGACCCAAUCAAAAUACCUUGCUAGGUGAACAAAUUCGAAGUAUUCCACAAUUGGGUUCCAGGAAGCUCGUUCUUCCUUAUCCAAAUCCAUUAGUAGUUCCCCGUUCCUGGUGAACCCAUGCAGUCGGGAUACUUGUCUACCAUAUCGAAGAGUAUACUUCUUUGUCCAAGAAUUGGGGACGCCAUACUCCCCCAUAGUCCAGACCGAACAAAUCGAUUGCGGUUGAGGUUGCCCAUAUGGCUCCUCCCAACGAAGAGUGCACACAGUGAGGAACUCAUUCAAUACUGAUAAAAUGACUUCUCUAUCGACACUAACUCUGUCCUUAAGCUCUUGUGACAGAGGCAUCUCAUCAAAAACCUCAUUGGCUACAUCAAACCAGAUAAUAGAUCCAUUUUUACGAUCCAUCUGCAGAUCAUCGUCCUUGGAAACGAACCAAUGUAGGUUUCCUUUCAAGAAGACCGCAGGUCUGGAGCCAAUUAAUGAAGGAACUUCACAAUCUAAUCUUGUCCAGGCCUCUGUGUAGAGUGAAAAGAUCUCGCCCAAGCGUCGAUUAUCAUCAAUUGGAUCAUGGAGAAUCCUCACGAUCUUGUAGUCUUUUUUUGAAGCAUCAAAGGCAAAUCCCACAACAAUACGACAAGUUCCUCCCGAAGUAAAUUCACGCUCGGGACCAGAUCUUGGGAUGACCUUUCCCCUUUUUGUGAAUAAAUUCCACAUUUCGAAUGAUUUUCCAUAGCUUUCUCCUCUGGAAACUCGCGUGACGCAUAUCAAACCGUCACGUGAAUCAACGAAGCGUAAAGCCGUGGAAGUUCUACGCAACAGGUAGGUGGCACGUGAAGGGGAAAAGGACUGACCCGCAAACAGAAAGCAGGAGGUCCCCGGAGUAUCGCCCCAACUUAGAAAGGCGAGAUGCCAAUGAGCAGAAUGGCUCAGGUGGAGGGCCACGAAACUGGGGUCAUCAACGGUGUCUCGCAAUGAGUGGCAAACGGACCUGAACCGAAGGAGCGACUUCACUGGCAAACGCUUUAAGAUGUCGGACACGAUAUCGUUAGGGAGGUCCGGGAGGAUGACAGGGAGCUUCGGGUAGUCAUCAGAGGAGGAACUCCGGUCGUCUCCGGAGGAGGCGGAGGAACUCGAGUCGUUUCCAGAGGAGGCGGAGGACCUCUGGUCGUCGUCGGAGAAGAUGGAAUAAAUCAUGAUGGUCAACAAGAGCGAAGGGCGAACCGGUUGAUCUUGGAAAGAUUUCUUCUCUUGAAGAAACGGUUGAUCAAAGAUUUUUCUGUUGCCAUGCAAGUUAGGAGAAGGCGGGAAAGAGAAAAUAUAGGGUGGCCCCGGUGCGCCAAGUCAGCGUGCGCCCCGACCAAUGAAGAAGUGACCGGGUGGCUCGACGCUGACUUGGCCACCGGGACUACCCAAGAUUUUCUCGGGGUUUAGUCGUCUCCCGUUUCAAGGUGGCUUCGAGUUCGAGAGUUGAGCAAGUUCAAGGCUCGGAAGAAAAAAGGGCACGGACCAGAGAGUCGCAGAAGAAGACGAACAGAGUCGAGAAGAGACCGUUGGAGUUUCCAGCGUUAGGUUUCACCCGACGGACGACGGACGAGUUGGUGAACCAUUACCUGAUUCGCAGUGCGCUUCGCAAUCCACCGUCCCAUCAUUGNNNNNNNNNNNNNNNNNNNNNNNNNNNNNNNNNNNNNNNNNNNNNNNNNNNNNNNNNNNNNNNNNNNNNNNNNNNNNNNNNNNNNNNNNNNNNNNNNNNNGAAGCCACCUUUUAACUGUAGAGAAGGCGGGAAAGAGAAAAUACUAGGGUGGCCCCGGUGCGCCAAGUCAGCGUGCGCCCCGACCAAUGAAGAAGUGACGGGUGGCUCGACGCUGACUUGGCGCACCGGGACUACCCAAGAUUUUCUCGGGGUUUAGUCGUCUCCCGUUUCAAGGUGGCUUCGAGUUCGAGAGUUGAGCAAGUUCAAGGCUCGGAAGAAAAGGGCACGGACCAGAGAGUCGCAGAAGAAGACGAACAGAGUCGAGAAGAGACCGUUGGAGUUUCCAGCGGGUUUUAGGUUUCACCCGACGGACGACGAGUUGGUGAACCAUUACCUGAUUCGCAAGUGCGCUUCGCAAUCCAUCUCCGUCCCCAUCAUUGCCGAGAUCGAUCUCUACAAGUUCGACCCUUGGGACCUUCCUGGUACUUUGAGACCAUUCCUCUGCUUCUCCAGGCUCUGUUGCUGACCAAUUUCUGUUUCUGCUUCUGUUGGUUUUGGUGAAUUAUCCCAUUCUGGGAAAUGGGUACUUUUUUGGUGAUUUUCUUGUGAAAAAAUCCGUUCUUUAUUUGGAUUUGUUACUGGAAGGGCAUGAUUUCUGAACUCCAACUGCGCCCUCUUCAUCUUCUCUCUCUUCUCAACUCUCUCGACUCUGCGUUCUGCUGCGACUCUGCGGUCCCUGCACUUUUUGUCCUUUGCUGUCCCAUAUUUCUGAUAUUAUUAUGUAUGCCUGAUUACUUUGACAUCAUUAUUCAGUACAUGAAUAUUGCACUAUCAGUUAAUCUAUUAUAAGUUGGCUUAACCAUGUAAAUGCGAAUUUUAUACAGUCAGCAAUAAUUGUUUUGAUGCUUCCAAUACAAUAUAGUGAAAGCCUUAAACAUCUUGGAGAACAGUGUCAAAGUUCAAAUGAUAUGCACAUGGCAUAGAACUUGAAAUUGAUUACAUUAGAAUAUGUAGACCAAGUGAUGGAUGACCUAAGAGAGAAGCUCUAGUGCUUAAUGGAGAGUGAAUAUGAUGUCCCUUCUCAUAAUUGUGGUCUCCAAAGCCCGUCAUGUGCCUCCCUACUAGCAUGUCAAAUAAAAUAUAGCAUAUCAGAAAAGUUUUCCACUUAUGGAUGUUUUGCACUCCAGCUUGACACAUAUUGAAUAGCUGACUUACCAGAUAUAACCUCACCUUUUGUUGGCUGGAAAUAUUUUUAAACUUUAUGGAAGACCUAUCCAUGCCGAAAUUUAUGUAAGGAUUUCUAACUUCUGAUUAUGGAUACUGUCUCCCAUUAUAUGAUUGUUCUCACUCACUUAAUCUUGAAAAUAGUCAAGUCAAUUUAAAUCUUGAAGAAGUGUCUGCAAUACUUUGCUCAUUAUUAUUAUUGUAGUAGUUUGUUUCUCUAUCAUGACAUAGCAGGAGUUUAUCAAGAGGUAUCAGAAAUCUGCACAGUGCACAAUCGUUUUCCUUGAAAAAUAGCAUAUACUUUCUCAUUCGGUAUAUUUUCUUAUCUUUCGGAUCUUUUAGGAAGAAUAACUUAUUACACUUUAUCCUGCUUAAAGUAAUUGCAGGACAUGCUUGGGAAUUGGAGUAUAAAAGCAAAUGCUCCCGGGGACAUUCUAUUUGUGGCUAUUUCAGUUCAGCAUCCCAAGCUUGGUAACUACUUCACAGCUACCCUGCAAGCCAAAAGAGUUUCCUCAUCAACUGUGUCAAAUCAUGGAACAUUCUUCUGGUUGAUGCCCCAUAAGGUGGCAUUAUGGAUAUACUAGCAUGUGAGUGAAACUGUCUUUACAGUAUGCCUGUAUGUUUUUUUAUCGAUUUGUGCUGCGAGUCUCAUGCUUGUUGAGAUUCUUGUGUCGGUAGUGUUUGGAAGGAUGUUUCCUGGAUUGUCCCUGUUUCUGUUUGAUUUUUUGUUAUAUUUAGAAAGGUUGUUGAUCAAUCUAUGGAGUGGAUGCUCGUUGGUGCAUGAUCCUAGGGAGAUACCCAUGUCACGAUGCUUCAAUUUCAUCUUAUUGAAGCAAAUUUCGAUUGGUCGUUGCAUGAACUAGGGUUAGAGAUCUUCUGGGAAAGAACACUAGGUCAGGACAAUGUGAUGGCUUGCCUUGAAGUCCUGUGUCCGGAGGUAGCAUUAUGAUGUUUCAUAAUCUGUUGAAUGUCUUUCAAAUUCCACUUAUCAUGGGAUUAUCAGAUUUGGUUGCUCUUUUCCUCAUAAAGGUUGGAGUUGGAGUUCAUUAAUGGUUAGAUUUGUUAGGUUAGAGCUGAGAUAAGCGACUGCUUUUGCAUACUUGAUGUCAAUGAUUGUUUUACCCGAAAAAUAUUUUGACUUGAGUCGAUUUUCUCAAACAGGGGGGAAAAGUUUGAGUUGAAAUGGUCCUUCACUAUCCGUGAAGAUAUACCGUCCUUUAUGUGCCAUUCAUUAUGGUUGCUUUUGAAUAUUUGCAGGAGGGGCAUAUCGAAGUUCUAUGAUGGCAAGUCGAAAUCUUUCACAAGCUUAGCAGAUGCUUCUGCUUCUUCAUCUGUUAAAGAGAUCGUGAAACCGGAAAAUGCUUACAGCAGAAGGCGCAGAAAUAUCUUCGCAUCCAGUCACGUGUCGGACAGAAGCCGCAAUUUUUCCCUGAGAAGCAACAUGGUGGGGAUAUCUAAGAGAAGACCGCUCACCUCGAGCAACGGCGCAUUGGUCUUGAAGGUUGCUGCUAUGUGCAACUCAGAGAGUUUUAGUUCCGCGAGUGAAGACUCUAGUACGAGCUCAGCAUCACGAUCUCCUCCUCAGCUUCCGCCUCUUCAUCCACGUAGAAAGGGUUCUCAUAACCAGAUAGCUUCUCCUCAAUGGAAUUUUUCGCCUUGGCGGUCAUACUCCUUGGCUGAUCUGCAGCAGUGUUCGAGCCCAUCGAGAGAAAAUAUUGGGUGGGUUUAACCCAACACGUAGGCGGUGAGUUAAACCAUUCAGCGACCGACGCGUGGCGCCACGUAGACGAGGGCGUCAGACGUUCAAAAUUCGCGCGGGCCGCAUGUGGAGCCCACCACUCUGACGCUCCCUGCUCUGCUCUCCUCUGCGACGCCUGAGCCCCCCGUCAAAUCGUCCUCUCUCUCCUCUCUCUCUCUCUCUCUCCCUACUCCGUUCCGUUCCGUUGCGGAGGAGAACAAAAAGGUCGCACAGCUGCUUCUCUUCCCCCUCCUCUGCUCUCUCUCUCUCCAUUCUCGCCGACGAGCUCUCUCUCUCCAUUCUCGACUCCGACGCCCCCGACUCCGAGGCUCCUCAAGGCGGUUGCCUUGGACGCCGACGACACCGCCUCCGCCUCCGCCCUCUCGCGACUCCGAUGCCCCCGACUCCGACGCUCCUCAAGGCGGUUGCCUCCGACGCCUCCGACGCCGCCUCCGCCUCCGCCCCCGACGCCCUCUCGCGACUCCGACGCCCCCGACUCCGACACUCCUCAAGGCGGUUGCCUCAGACGCCGACGACGCCGCCUCCGCCUCCACCCCCGACGCCUUCUCGCGACUCCGACACUCCUCAAGGCGGUUGCCUCGGACGCUGACGACGCCGCCUCCGCCUCCGCCCCCGCCUUCGCCCCUGACGCCGACGUCAAGGCCGACGCCCUCCGCUUCCGCUUCGGCGAGGGACAUCGACGACCUGCCGAAGAACGCGGCCAACUAUCCUGUCGGUCCUUUCGGCACGAGGUUAGCCUCAUAGAGUGGAUUGCGAAUCCGAGAUCUGCAUUUUAUCUCUUCGACAUGUAUUCUUACCAUGAGAUGUGAUAGUUUGUGUCUAUAGACUGAUCUAUUUACACUUGGAGUGCAUUAUUGGUCUCAUGCUGCUUUUGAUAGUUGUAUUUUACUUAUUAUUUAAUCAUUAUUCGUUUGAUGCGCUACAGUAACGUCUCGCGUUUGAUGUUUAUAUAUGGAUCUUCGCGCUGAUGAGUUCCUUUCCAUUUUGUGAAGACAUUCAAGUCAGAAGACUGUGGUUAUAGGCACUUCUAAAUAUUUGAAUGGGAGAGUUUUUUGGUUUUUCUGAGAAUGUUAGAUUAGUUAAUCGCUAUAUGUUCAAAUGGUGCGGAUGUUUUGUCUUUUCUGUUUCUGAAUGAGCGCUUGCUGUGAACUCAUGCUGUCACUUUGCAUUCAAUUUUGUCGAUCCAGUGAAACAAAGUGAUAAAUACAAUUGACUGUUGUUUUUCCCUAUUUGGUAAGUGCUUAUCACAAAAUGAAAUCAUUGGCUCAACAGGACCAGUAAAGCUACAUUGAGCAAUAAUUUUGAUCAGAACAGUAUAGAAUUUUUGGUCAAUUAUGCAUUGUGAAAGUGCGAUUUGGAGGCUUUACGUGCAUUCUUAUGAUAUUGGUCAGUAAACAGAAAAUGCAACUCAGUGCUAGGAGUUUAUAAAGUUGUAGAGGCAUGUCGCUUGGUGGCUGAUUGUUCAUUUGCGAGUCCAAGUUUGACAACCAACGAAAGCUGUUUACCAUUGAUUAUCGAGUUAAGGUAGGAGCCUGGAUUUCCUGGAGAAAAUGGUUCCUCAAUUACUACAGACAUCAGCAUAAAUCCUCGCUAAUCAUUUGCUCCAUCAUGCAAGAACGAGGACGAAGCAGCUGCAAAAGAAAAGGAGAGAGAAUGCCACGAUGAACACCGAGUAAAGUACUAACUUCUCAAGCAAAGAAAGAAGAUGCUUCCUCUAUGUUCUUCCCAAGGUUAGUCGUUCUUCACCCCCACAAAAAAGGAAAAUUAAAGAUUUAAAUGCAUGAAGUGUUUUAUAAAUAUCAGCGGCUCUGUUUUUUAACUUCCCAUCCCUUAGACCUGAUAAUGGAAUGUUACAUAUUUUUUUCCGAUUCGGGCGUCAUCAGAAUUUUCCUUGGGUCAUUUCUGUAUGUGGUAGAAUAUCGAUUCUGUCUCGUGUACUUCUUUUCUUGCGGAGUUUCUGGUGUUUCAUCCAAGGUUGGUUGGGUCUCCUAACUUCAUCUGGAUUUGUGCAUGAUAUCGAUCUCAUUUAAUAUUUGCCUCGGAAUCAUGGGUUGACAAUUUGACAUGAUUUUAUCUUCUUCAUUAUGUUGUUGUUGUUGUUGUUUUCUCCAAUCCUGAUAAAUGAUCUGGCAUAGCUGUAGAUGAUUCUUGUUUUUAGUAUGGUCAGUUCGAUCUGGGCAGUGACUUUCUGUUGAUUCAGUUGCUAUGGAAACUGAAUGAAUGGAUUGCCCAGUUCUUCUAUCCUUUUUCCCCGAGUGUUCGUUUCAAAAUGAGGUCCCAAGGUAAUGGAUACAUAUCAUUAUAUUUGUGUUGGCCUGUAUUAGGACAUGAACAUCCACAGUUCUAUACAGCAAGAGUUUGAUUUCUGCCUUGAUUUCCCUGUUUAAUUCAAAAAUUUCUUCUCUGCUUGGAAAUUGCUGUGGCUCGAAGAAUUGUCAGUAACAAUCAACCUUUUGAUCCCAAAUCUCUCUUUACACAGUUAUGCAUCAUAUCAGAGGCUGCAAUAUGCAAUUGUAUAAUAUCUGUCUCAAGUCAUCUCUGUUCUUUUCUUAUAUUUCUGGGCUUUUUUUUUGGCAUUUGUUGUCGAUUCUAGCAAGUACUCUUUUUUAGUGCUGGAUUUUAGGGGAGAGAAGAAAAAUAACCGAAUCAUUGGCUGGAAUGUGGUCAUUUUGGCACAUUGCAAUAUUUAAAUUUGUUGUUGGGAAAUGCAUAAUGUAAUUGCAGAGCCAGAUGUCCCUGCGUAGAAGGGUUGAGGAUUCUAUUAUGCCAAGCCUACUGUUGAGUGAUUCGACCCAUGCAAGCAUAACUGCUAAUGGUGACAUGAUAUUGUCAAUGUGUUCUGUGACAUGUCAUAUCAGAUUCAUAUCCACUUUUUGAUAGAUUGUUGACAAUGGUGAUAGGCAUGAUACAGAUUGGAGUUCAAUCCUUGAUGUGAAUAAUCCUCCAACAUGAUGUCUUCUGUAAAUCAAUCCUGGCAUUUUCAUGGGUUCUUGUUUGGUUCCAGAAAAAUUUUAGCAAUAGUUUUGAGCAAAAGGAAACUGUGAGCUAGACGUUCUUUUGCCAUGGUGCGAGAGUGGAAUUGCAUCUAACAAUGAUCAUUGUCUUGAUCCUUCCUAAUCACAAGGGCACACCAUAUAUCACAGCUUAACUGUUAUCGCCCAACAGCUUGUAUGCAUUUCUAGGAAUGGCUUUGUACAUCAUGAAUCCAUAAGCUUGAUGGACUUCCGUUUUCUUGUUCUAGUUAUGGGAACAACUUGCGUUUUGUGCCAUAAAACUUCGACUCCCACUUUUUUUGCCACGAGCAUCUGUUGUCUAGUUAAGGGUUAACACCCUGAUGCCAAUGUUAUUAGAAUCUCACUUUCUCUUAUUUGACUUUCCAUCGUGCUAGGAAAGUUUCAAUGUAUAGGUUAAUCUAGCCAGUUUGUUGGGAGAAACAUGACCACUGGACUGACUCGUAAAGUUCGGCUAGUCAAGUGUCCAAAAUGUUGGCAGCUUCUUCCAGAGCCAGCGGAGGAUGGACGGAUGUGUUAAAUUCACUGGUUAUUUUUUGCUUUUCAGAUUAAUAGAAGCUAAGGAUGUUGUCUAUGAAUGUGGACAAAACUGCGGCUGUGGACCUGGUUGUGUGAAUCGGGUGUCUCAGAGAGGCAUACAAUAUCGUCUCGAGGUUGUAUUUUGAUUGAAUGAUAUAAAAUCCUCCCCAAUGACAUCUCAAGCCACUUCUUUUUCUCAGAUUGAAUUCUGCUCAUGGAUUCCAGGUGUUUCGAGCCCCACGAAAGGGUUGGGCUGUUAGAUCAUGGGACUUUAUACCUUCAGGAGCACCAGUAUGUGAAUACAUUGGUAUUCUCAAUAGGGGUGAAGACAUGGAAAAUGCCUCUGAGAAUAACUACAUUUUUUAGGGCAAUUGCUUGCAAACCAUGAGGGGUUUUGGUGGAAGGGAGGUUAGCAUCUGAUACUCUGCCUCUCAUGACGAAAUUCCACUUAUUAAAGUUAAAUGCACACAUGCAUGUAAACAAGCUACAUGCUUUCAAUCCCAUGCAAGUUUGAAGAAAAAGAUUUCUAACACGGGUAUUCGUUGAUAUAUAAGUUGCAUGGGAAUAUUUUACUAUAUGCAACAUGUGAUUAGAUGUUUUUGUAUGUAUUUUAGGAGCACCAUAUUUGAGGACAGGGUGACUUAAUUACUAGUUCCUAAAUUAAUCUGGCUAAUUAAUAUUUCCAUAAUGAAUAGGGGUAAGAUAAAGCUUUUAAAAUGGGUAUGAUGGUAAAUAUAGAGUCAAGGUCAUCGAAAUAUAUUAAGUACAUGAACUUGAUAAGGGCUUAGCAACCGUUCAAGUAUCCAUGAGCUUGAGCUUAACUCCAGAUCAAUAAUGAGCUGGUAAAAUUCUAGAAUUUGGCAAGCCCAACCCUGAGUAGUGUACAACUAGCUUGAUUUGAUUACGCCAUGAAAAAUCUUUGUUUUUGAUGGAGUUAUAGGUGUUCUUUUUCUUUUUUUAUCAAAAAGACAUUUAUUGGGAUAUGCUGUCUCUAUAUGAACUAUACUCUUGCAUAUGAGUCCAAAUAUUUGUGGGGAUUGGUAUGAACUUGUGAUGAUACAAGCUUUUCCUUUUUUUUAAUUGCUUGUGAUUGCUUGAACAAUACCUAGUCCAUUAACUGGAUAAUUACACUGUGAAUAUUGUAGUUAAAUUUUUAGAGCAAUUUUAUCAAUUAAGCAUUUCAUAGAUGGAUCUCAACUUCUCUAAAUAAGUGCUAGGCAUUUGUGUCAUGGGGAUAAAGUGAUUGGUCAUCUAAUCAAAAGUAACUUUAAAAUUUGUUGUUGCAUUGCGCUGAAGUGUUGUCCACAUCGCUUGUAUAGGGAUUUAUCAUGGCCUAUUAGCUUGAGCUUUGGGGUUAGACUUUUGACAUGGUUUUAAGAGUCAAGUUUUAAUCUGUCCUGCCAGUUUUAUGUUUAUUUCACAUGUAGAUCCCUGAUCUGCAGUUCCACGUGCAUACAUAUGGUUUCAUUCUGAUUUGCACGUGAGACGGGGUCUAAAUUUUAUUCCACCUCACUUGUUUAUGGGGUUGGGGUCUAUUGCGACCUUAUCUGCAUGAACCCUCUUUCCUUUCAGUAACUUAAGUUUUUUGACAUUGUAAUUUCUAGCCUUUUUAAAUGGGAAUGACGUAGGAUUGAGAAAUGAAUUGAGUAUUUUCAUCAUCAGCAUUAGUAUUAUGUGGUAGGUGGCAUAUCGUCUACAAUCAGCCUUUUCAGUGCUUAAAAUUGAAAGUCUUGAAAUUUUGCUACAAAUAUGGAGGUUAGUUACCAAGGUAUUUGUACAGGAGAAUAGUGCUUUGUUUUGAAUAUGUAUUUAAGAUAUCUAGAUGGUUCAAAAGUUUGCUUGGCAACUUUUUUUGUACUGCUGUCUUGAGAAUAGUUUGACUAGUCUGUUUUCAAGUUUUCCUGAAUGCUGUUCUCUUCUAUUGGCAUCUGGCCGUUUCUCAAAUUUUAACAAGAGUUAUCCAAGAUCUAUACACUGCUUUGUAGUAUUGUCUUCUUAGACUGAAAGUUGAAAAAAGGAAAAGCAUGUAACUGUGUGAAAGCUAACUCGAAGUCACUGUCAAAUGCAUUUUUCUGUCAAGAACAGCCGAAAUGUGACUUCAUGUUUCUCAUAUUUGUCAUCCAUGAUCAGAGGAGGUCACGAGAUGCAUCCUCUGGGACAGCUGAUCAGGUGGAAAAGCAUGAUGAACAGAAAUCUGAGGUCCCAGAGUUCUGCAUUGAUGCUGGUUCAGCUGGAAACAUUGCCAGGUUUAUCAAUCAUAGCUGCGAGCCCAAUCUAUUUGUCCAAUGUGUAUUAAGUUCCCACCAAGACAUUAAGCUGGCUAGGGUGGUUCUAUUUGCAGCUGAUAACAUACCACCAUUGCAGGUAAUUCAUUUUUCUCUUGUGAUGCACUCUUCGCUUGGUAGCUAUAGACUUAAUUAAAUAUAUUCAGCAGCACUGUGUCAAGUUGUAGCUCUCUCUGUCUGUACUUAUGUGUGCGCUUACGAGAUAUAGGUGCAUGCACAUAGCUGCUAGUCUGAAAGCCUUGCGUAUUCAUGAAACUGACUGCUUUUAUUUUAGUAAACUUUUGCUGAUAGAUUUGUUGAAAGUAUGGACCACUGGUUCUCGCUAAUUUUGACGAACUGACAUCUUUUAAGCGGGUUUGUUCUGAUUCUUCUCAGCAUGACUGACUCCCAGUUAUUUUGUCUGUAGGAGCUUACGUAUGACUAUGGCUAUGCGCUUGAUAGUGUUUUUGGCCCUGAUGGAAAGGUGAAAAGAAUGCCAUGCUACUGUGGUGCAGCUGAUUGUAGGAAGCGCUUGUUCUAAAACAUUAAAACAUUCCAAGUGCUUGUUCCACCUUCUGUGGUUCUUAUGCUUUUCUUGGCCAAGCAAAUUUUGUGGUAAUGUGCUAUUGCGUAAGCUUGUCUGUUCCUGUAAUCUUGUCUCUGCCGUGACAGGUUUGAUACAGUAGGUUAGAUUCUAUAGCCAGAAACGGAGAGGGAAAGCAAAUAGGUUCUGUUGUGAAAAUCAAAGAAGUGCAUGUCGUUUGUCGGCUAAGGAAGUUUUGUGUAUUUAGGAUCUGUCAUUUUCCCGUGUUACGACACUUUGGGCUUGGAUCUGUCAAACCAAAAGUUCUCCACCGGAUACUGCGGCCUGGAGGUUUCUAGGUCCUCUCACGACCACCAGUCAACUACCAAAACUGCUGGCGUGGAUGGAACACCACCGUGCAGGAACAGAAGUCAGAUUAUGACAGACUGCAGAGGCUUCUCACCUAAAUGUGCUUCAAGCUAUAUAACAAGAAGGAUGACAUUGCCAUGUGGCAGAAAACCUCAAACAGCAGUUGCUACAAUCGCCUUGCGAAACCUGAUGCCUACCCACCGAAAUGCGAUGACAGCCUUGAGCUGGACUCUGCUUGGUAUACUCCGCUCCAUCCUUGCGUGGUUGUUCCGGAUCCAAAGCUCAAAAUUAUCAGUCUCAAAUCCAUCCCCAAAUGGCCUGAGCGACUGCACGUCACACCUGAGCGCAUGUCAGAAAUACAAGGAAGAGCGCGAGUGCUUUCAAGCACGAUGAUAGUAAGUGGAAGGUGCGGGCAAAGCACUACAAGAAAGUACUACUGCACUUGGGACUGAUAAAAUAAGAAAUGUCAUGGAUAUGUACAAUGUCUAUGGAGUUUUGCGAUACUCUGAUUGAUGAUCCAUUAUGGGUAUGAACGUUGCUUGUCUAAAGGGCAUACUCUUGCAUCAAGCAUUUAUGUGUGCAUAUAUUGGUACUAAUAAUUUUUGAACUUCAAUCUAACUUCUCAUUUGNNNNNNNNNNNNNNNNNNNNNNNNNNNNNNNNNNNNNNNNNNNNNNNNNNNNNNNNNNNNNNNNNNNNNNNNNNNNNNNNNNNNNNNNNNNNNNNNNNNNNNNNNNNNNNNNNNNNNNNNNNNNNNNNNNNNNNNNNNNNNNNNNNNNNNNNNNNNNNNNNNNNNNNNNNNNNNNNNNNNNNNNNNNNNNNNNNNNNNNNNNNNNNNNNNNNNNNNNNNNNNNNNNNNNNNNNNNNNNNNNNNNNNNNNNNNNNNNNNNNNNNNNNNNNNNNNNNNNNNNNNNNNNNNNNNNNNNNNNNNNNNNNNNNNNNNNNNNNNNNNNNNNNNNNNNNNNNNNNNNNNNNNNNNNNNNNNNNNNNNNNNNNNNNNNNNNNNNNNNNNNNNNNNNNNNNNNNNNNNNNNNNNNNNNNNNNNNNNNNNNNNNNNNNNNNNNNNNNNNNNNNNNNNNNNNNNNNNNNNNNNNNNNNNNNNNNNNNNNNNNNNNNNNNNNNNNNNNNNNNNNNNNNNNNCAUUGGACAUUUGUCCAUCAUUACGACAUCAUACUAUCAAGUAAUCAAUGACUAAAUUGCGGAGAAUGAUCAAUAAAUCUGUGAUGUCCUACUCCUUUGGCACUUGAGUUCACUAUUAAAUAUAAGAAUUAGAUCCAAAUAUGAUAUGAAUGUGGAAAAAAUGUCUGCUCAUCUUUUCAUGCCCUGCACCUUCACUACUAAUUCACAUCUUGGUGCUACUCAUAAGCAUCGUUUAAGUAAACAUCGGUAUGAAAACUUUCUAAUGAAAAAUAAGUAUUGGUGGACGUUGUUAUAUGAAACUCCAUAAUCAUUGACAAAGAAUUAUUUACGAUACAUUUUAUAAAAUUAAUUUAUUAAAGUACGAAAUAUUAUCAUCAUUUGACUAAAUAAGUAAACACUUUCAACCAUCAAAUAGAUUUUUAAGUCCUCCUUGUUCUCUGCAAUCUCAUUGAACAUCUCAAUGCACUUCUUGACAAGAUUUUUCCUUAUGACCUUCACAAUCUUCUUCUGUUGCAGCAUCUCACGAGAAAUGUUGAGGGACAAGUCAUCGGAAUCAACAACUCCUUUCAUGAAUCCAAGAUACUCUGGAAUGAGCUCCUUGCAGUUGUCCAUAAUGAAAACCCUCCUAACAUAGAGCUUGAUGUUGUUCAUCUUCUUGUGAGUAUCGAAGAGGUCGAACGGAGCACGUUUUGGGACGAACAAAAUAGCCUUGAAUUCAAGCUGCCCCUCAACAGAGAAGUGCUUCACGGCAAGAUGGUCUUCCCAAUCAUUGGUCAAGCUCUUGUAGAAGGAAGCAUACUCCUCCUUGGUGAUCUCCUCUGCCUUUCACAGCCAAAUGGGUUUCAGUUUGUUGAUGAGCUGCCACUCAUGAGAAACAUCCUUAAUCUUCUUCUUCUUGGACUUCUUUUCUUCAUUCUCCUCAUUGACGUCCUCAACAUCUCCUUCCUCUUCCUUCUUGGGCUCAUCGUCCUCAUCAUCACUGAUCUCUUUCUCGGUUGUCUUCUCAGUCCAUAGAUAGAUGGGGUAGCUAAUGAACUCGGAGUGCUUCUUCACAAGGUCCUUAAUCCUUCUUUCUUCCAGGUACUCCAGCUAAGGAAAACAGAGACGUGACGCUGUUAGCAUCACGUAUCAUCCAAAACCAAUGCAAAUCUUCUCCACCAAUUCAUAAAAGCAACCGUAAAUGAACUCACCUGGUCCUCCUUAAGGAAGAGGGUGAUCUUGGUCCCUCUGCCGAGUUGCUCCCCACUCACAUCUCUCGUAACGGUGAAGGAACGACCAGCCUAGGACUCCCAGAUGUACUGCUCAUCAUCAUUGUGCUUAGUAGUCAAAAUGACUUUCUCAGCCACCAAAUAAGCAGAGUAGAAACCGACACCAAAUUGACCGAUCAUGCUCACAUCAGCUCCCGCCUGCAAUGCCUCCAUGAAUUCUUUCAUCCCUGACCUCGCAAUUGUACCUAGGUUGUUCACAAGAUCUGUCCAAUUCAUCUCAGACGUUAAUAUCUACCAACAGUCUCACAACAUAAACAGUCUCACAACAUAAAGGAACUCAGCGUAACAGUAACCGUUAUAGCAUAGGAACAUAGCCAUAGCCAAAAGACGUGAGCAAGAAAAUUGAUCAAUCUCUGUCAGCCAAUUACAUUACCUCCAAUGUACGCAUUUAUUGAAGGGUCCUGAUGCUAUUCUUCUCGAAGUCUCUACUUGAAACAUACACUAAAACAGAAUAGCCCAGAACCACACAUGAUAUAACGAUCUCCGUGUGAGAUUUACAUGGAGAUGUGUAUUUUGGGGGCCAGUGAUAGGGUGCGGUGGCUUAAGUAAGAGCAUAUGUGCAUUUACCACGGCGUGCAUGCUGUUAAGCAUUUAGCUGUCUGUCUGUUGCUUCGUCACUUGUCUGCAGCCUUUCCACAGUUUGGUAAUUUGAUCUGACGCUCUUAUGAAAAAGAGGAAGUAUUUUCAUUUCCAAAAGGGCUAACAGAUAACAUAGCACAUGGGAACAACUUCUUUUGGAGGUGCUUUCCCCUUUUCUCUUUGCUUUUUCAGGAUGUAUAAUUAAAAAUGAACAGAAGUUACAGGAGGCUCUAACUUAACGUACCUCGAGCAGAGUGAUGUAAUAGAAAUCUUCCAUAUGUUGCAUCAGCGCACUUCCAUCUCUAAUUGCACGAUAUAUGUUUAUUUCAGUUUCCAAUAUCUUUUGUAUGAGUUCCUUUUCACCUUUCAUCUGCAAAAGAAGUUUGAGACCUGUCACGUUGCACUUGUGCACCAGCAAUGGGUUUAACUCACCAAUUCAUUUACAGUUACUAUCUCAACAUACAGUAGAGUAAAUAGACACGAGCUGUUCUGUCCAAGGUAGUUAAUGCAGACAUCUAAUCNNNNNNNNNNNNNNNNNNNNNNNNNNNNNNNNNNNNNNNNNNNNNNNNNNNNNNNNNNNNNNNNNNNNNNNNNNNNNNNNNNNNNNNNNNNNNNNNNNNNNNNNNNNNNNNNNNNNNNNNNNNNNNNNNNNNNNNNNNNNNNNNNNNNNNNNNNNNNNNNNNNNNNNNNNNNNNNNNNNNNNNNNNNNNNNNNNNNNNNNNNNNNNNNNNNNNNNNNNNNNNNNNNNNNNNNNNNNNNNNNNNNNNNNNNNNNNNNNNNNNNNNNNNNNNNNNNNNNNNNNNNNNNNNNNNNNNNNNNNNNNNNNNNNNNNNNNNNNNNNNNNNNNNNNNNNNNNNNNNNNNNNNNNNNNNNNNNNNNNNNNNNNNNNNNNNNNNNNNNNNNNNNNNNNNNNNNNNNNNNNNNNNNNNNNNNNNNNNNNNNNNNNNNNNNNNNNNNNNNNNNNNNNNNNNNNNNNNNNNNNNNNNNNNNNNNNNNNNNNNNNNNNNNNNNNNNNNNNNNNNNNNNNNNNNNNNNNNNNNNNNNNNNNNNNNNNNNNNNNNNNNNNNNNNNNNNNNNNNNNNNNNNNNNNNNNNNNNNNNNNNNNNNNNNNNNNNNNNNNNNNNNNNNNNNNNNNNNNNNNNNNNNNNNNNNNNNNNNNNNNNNNNNNNNNNNNNNNNNNNNNNNNNNNNNNNNNNNNNNNNNNNNNNNNNNNNNNNNNNNNNNNNNNNNNNNNNNNNNNNNNNNNNNNNNNNNNNNNNNNNNNNNNNNNNNNNNNNNNNNNNNNNNNNNNNNNNNNNNNNNNNNNNNNNNNNNNNNNNNNNNNNNNNNNNNNNNNNNNNNNNNNNNNNNNNNNNNNNNNNNNNNNNNNNNNNNNNNNNNNNNNNNNNNNNNNNNNNNNNNNNNNNNNNNNNNNNNNNNNNNNNNNNNNNNNNNNNNNNNNNNNNNNNNNNNNNNNNNNNNNNNNNNNNNNNNNNNNNNNNNNNNNNNNNNNNNNNNNNNNNNNNNNNNNNNNNNNNNNNNNNNNNNNNNNNNNNNNNNNNNNNNNNNNNNNNNNNNNNNNNNNNNNNNNNNNNNNNNNNNNNNNNNNNNNNNNNNNNNNNNNNNNNNNNNNNNNNNNNNNNNNNNNNNNNNNNNNNNNNNNNNNNNNNNNNNNNNNNNNNNNNNNNNNNNNNNNNNNNNNNNNNNNNNNNNNNNNNNNNNNNNNNNNNNNNNNNNNNNNNNNNNNNNNNNNNNNNNNNNNNNNNNNNNNNNNNNNNNNNNNNNNNNNNNNNNNNNNNNNNNNNNNNNNNNNNNNNNNNNNNNNNNNNNNNNNNNNNNNNNNNNNNNNNNNNNNNNNNNNNNNNNNNNNNNNNNNNNNNNNNNNNNNNNNNNNNNNNNNNNNNNNNNNNNNNNNNNNNNNNNNNNNNNNNNNNNNNNNNNNNNNNNNNNNNNNNNNNNNNNNNNNNNNNNNNNNNNNNNNNNNNNNNNNNNNNNNNNNNNNNNNNNNNNNNNNNNNNNNNNNNNNNNNNNNNNNNNNNNNNNNNNNNNNNNNNNNNNNNNNNNNNNNNNNNNNNNNNNNNNNNNNNNNNNNNNNNNNNNNNNNNNNNNNNNNNNNNNNNNNNNNNNNNNNNNNNNNNNNNNNNNNNNNNNNNNNNNNNNNNNNNNNNNNNNNNNNNNNNNNNNNNNNNNNNNNNNNNNNNNNNNNNNNNNNNNNNNNNNNNNNNNNNNNNNNNNNNNNNNNNNNNNNNNNNNNNNNNNNNNNNNNNNNNNNNNNNNNNNNNNNNNNNNNNNNNNNNNNNNNNNNNNNNNNNNNNNNNNNNNNNNNNNNNNNNNNNNNNNNNNNNNNNNNNNNNNNNNNNNNNNNNNNNNNNNNNNNNNNNNNNNNNNNNNNNNNNNNNNNNNNNNNNNNNNNNNNNNNNNNNNNNNNNNNNNNNNNNNNNNNNNNNNNNNNNNNNNNNNNNNNNNNNNNNNNNNNNNNNNNNNNNNNNNNNNNNNNNNNNNNNNNNNNNNNNNNNNNNNNNNNNNNNNNNNNNNNNNNNNNNNNNNNNNNNNNNNNNNNNNNNNNNNNNNNNNNNNNNNNNNNNNNNNNNNNNNNNNNNNNNNNNNNNNNNNNNNNNNNNNNNNNNNNNNNNNNNNNNNNNNNNNNNNNNNNNNNNNNNNNNNNNNNNNNNNNNNNNNNNNNNNNNNNNNNNNNNNNNNNNNNNNNNNNNNNNNNNNNNNNNNNNNNNNNNNNNNNNNNNNNNNNNNNNNNNNNNNNNNNNNNNNNNNNNNNNNNNNNNNNNNNNNNNNNNNNNNNNNNNNNNNNNNNNNNNNNNNNNNNNNNNNNNNNNNNNNNNNNNNNNNNNNNNNNNNNNNNNNNNNNNNNNNNNNNNNNNNNNNNNNNNNNNNNNNNNNNNNNNNNNNNNNNNNNNNNNNNNNNNNNNNNNNNNNNNNNNNNNNNNNNNNNNNNNNNNNNNNNNNNNNNNNNNNNNNNNNNNNNNNNNNNNNNNNNNNNNNNNNNNNNNNNNNNNNNNNNNNNNNNNNNNNNNNNNNNNNNNNNNNNNNNNNNNNNNNNNNNNNNNNNNNNNNNNNNNNNNNNNNNNNNNNNNNNNNNNNNNNNNNNNNNNNNNNNNNNNNNNNNNNNNNNNNNNNNNNNNNNNNNNNNNNNNNNNNNNNNNNNNNNNNNNNNNNNNNNNNNNNNNNNNNNNNNNNNNNNNNNNNNNNNNNNNNNNNNNNNNNNNNNNNNNNNNNNNNNNNNNNNNNNNNNNNNNNNNNNNNNNNNNNNNNNNNNNNNNNNNNNNNNNNNNNNNNNNNNNNNNNNNNNNNNNNNNNNNNNNNNNNNNNNNNNNNNNNNNNNNNNNNNNNNNNNNNNNNNNNNNNNNNNNNNNNNNNNNNNNNNNNNNNNNNNNNNNNNNNNNNNNNNNNNNNNNNNNNNNNNNNNNNNNNNNNNNNNNNNNNNNNNNNNNNNNNNNNNNNNNNNNNNNNNNNNNNNNNNNNNNNNNNNNNNNNNNNNNNNNNNNNNNNNNNNNNNNNNNNNNNNNNNNNNNNNNNNNNNNNNNNNNNNNNNNNNNNNNNNNNNNNNNNNNNNNNNNNNNNNNNNNNNNNNNNNNNNNNNNNNNNNNNNNNNNNNNNNNNNNNNNNNNNNNNNNNNNNNNNNNNNNNNNNNNNNNNNNNNNNNNNNNNNNNNNNNNNNNNNNNNNNNNNNNNNNNNNNNNNNNNNNNNNNNNNNNNNNNNNNNNNNNNNNNNNNNNNNNNNNNNNNNNNNNNCAAGGUUAGAAUUCUUCAUAAAAUGGAAUUCAGAUACUCCAUCACCAAUUUGCCUGGUUCAGAUAGGAUCUCUAAUAUCCUACCAAAGUCCAAUAGUGGAAAUAUUUGUUCUCCUCCCAGCAUUAUAUCUGAUUUCUGAAAGAUUGUUAUUAAACUUGUUUAUUAGUAGUUCUUAUUCACACUUCAUACAUGUGAGACAAUAUACAAGCACUGCGUGUUUGUGUCAUAUGCAUCUCAGUAGAUACUCGACUUUGACAUACAAGAUCAAAUGGACAAACAACCCCCAUGAUUGAUUCAAUGUCUUUGAAACAGAUAAGAGGUUUACUUUGUAUUUCAAUGUCGUCUUUUCCACCAAUAUAAUAAAGCAAGUUUAGCCUAUUAGAAAGGGCUGAGCUGGAGUGUGUGCAGACUUAGAUGUCCAGGGUUCAUAGCGUAUUGGUGUAAACUGGUUCUUCAAGCAUCUAAGAUUUACCCAGCGACUGAUUCAUAAUAACAAAAGAGAAACAAUGUUACAACAUCUUGGAGAAAGCUCUUAUACAGUAAUUGCCAGGUACUCAAAUAAGCAAACGUUAAUAAAAAGCUCUUGCUAAUGCUCAAUGAUUCACAGAUAGAUGCUGGAAGCUAUAGGCCUAAACGAAAACUCUACCUUCUAAUUGGAACUUCUCUUGAACAAUUACAAAUCAUAUAUAGAUGUUUAUUUCAAGAAGUCAAGAGUCUUCAAACAGAAAUCCUAAUCGUCCUUUUAAGAGAGCUUCCAACUAUGUGAUUGAUAUAAAAAUGUUUCCACACUUACCUCUAACUGUAUCUUCCCUCCACCACCCAUUCCUUCUAAUUCCACAACCAUUUCAUGUGAAUCUCCUGGAAACAGACAUGCUCAUCAAGAAAAAGUACAAUUUCCAUAUGAUAGUCAUUUCAUCCAUUGCCAAGGUCAUAGAGUAUCAAAUAAUGUUUCACAGGAGAAAAACUGAUCUGGUAUAUUGCUCAUUUAUUUGACUUCUGAACCACCCAACUAAACCACCACCAGCAUUGCACAAUAAAGUUCAAAAUACAAAUCGACAACAAAUUCAAUGAUUCUCACCAUCACACAGAAGCUCCAAACAGAUUCCUGCAUUGCCCAUUCGCUUGUGUGGAGUUACCAAGUUUGCAUCCCAAGCUGCCACCUAGCAUCCACACCACAGUGAACAACAAAAAGAUCAACAAUUAUUCAGCUUCAGUUCAUGCAUUUAAGGAUAGCUGUAUCCAUUUGCUGAGCGCCAAAAUCAGCAAGGACUUGUACCAAAAAAAAACAAAAUGGUGGAGUUGCUUGCUUCGUGUUAUGUUAAUGCAAGAUAUAUGGCACAAUCAACUUGGGAUUGUAUCAAAUAAGGCAACAAAUGAGCAAAUCUCCUUAGCAUGUAAAAGAGGAGUCCAAAAAUUGAUGCAGCAGUUGGCCCCCUCAAAAUGGCGUUCAUUCAUUUAUUACAAAAGUAGCAUCACAUAUUUUUAGGAUAAGUCCUUCCUAAACAUGCCAGCAAUUCAGUCUCCAGUUAGUCCACAGAUGCAAAGUGGAAAGGAAGUAAUGGAUAUCACUCUGGUAGAGGCUUCACCUGGAGGUUUUUAGUCGAAGGGAGCUUAAUGUUAAAAGUGAAUUCCUCAUUCCAUGUUGGCUCUUUCUUCCUGUCAGCAAAUUUGAUUGAGAAAUAAAGUUGCAAUUGUUGGAACCAAAAGGAUUUGGAGGGAGAGAGUAUAAACACACAAAGAGAGAUUAUAUUACAUAAUAUGCCUUGUAAAGGCUUAAUGGAGUAAACACACAAGACACACACAAGCUUUGCUAAGCUUAAAACUCUCUCUAAAUCUCACUCUCACACUGUCUCUCUCCCUACUAAAAAUAAACUAACGUAACCCUAUAUUUAUAAGCAUCUUCACCGCCUGGACUCCACCGCCAUUAUCUUCAACGUGCAAGAGUUGAAGUUGAACCUUUCUUCUUAGCAGUCAAAAAUUGUGGGCUGCGUUUCCUUCACGUGCAAGUACUAGCAAAGUUAAACUUUGCUUUUUACUCCUUGAAGACUCCAGUAACAAUUAUACUAUUAUUUUAAUAUGUGCCCAUUCAUUCCUUCAGGGGAACACUUGCUGCCCACGUCCAGACUUCAUGCAUAAUGGGACUUCUUGUUUUUAUAUUAGGUGUUGACUCCAACAGCAAUAAGUCUGUAAAUCCAGAGUAAACUUAAUUUUUCGUCCAUAUGCAUCAUAUGCUCUCAUCUCCUGUAUUCAGUAUACAGCAGAUAACCUAAAUUGCAAUUAGCCAAUGUAAAAAGAGCUAAAGAUUAUUGCUUCAGAAGCUUCAGCAAAAUUGUUUUGCAGAAACUGAUGGGGAAUGCUAAUAAUAUGUCUUAUCAUUUAGGUCAUCGUGCGAGAAGCACAAAAAAUAAUUAGUAGCUGAUAUAUAUUGUAUUUCUCGUUUUAAAAAGUGAAAGCACCCUUUAACAUUUUAAGGGAAGGAAUUCCAUAGCCUGCACCAACUUAAUAUAACCGCUCCUUGAGUACGGCUUUGUCAACUUGGGAAAUUACAUGGGCCGUGUGGGGUAUUUUAGAGAGGAACUGCUAGCUACGUUUAGUAAAGAAGUGUGGAAAUAAGUACUUGUGGUCUAUGCGGCUGCUAGAACUGCAUAAACUCCCGGAAUUUCCGUGGCAAUGAAAGUGCUGUUUACAAAAUUUUUAGUUUUUCCCUUGUAUACACAAGUUUCCAUGUAUGCCAAAAUACUCUAUAAGGUGGUAGGAUAAAGUAAAGGAAGUACCUUGACAAUAAGUAGACACCCCAUUGGACCAAUUACAGCUCGGAUGCCCUGAAAUAUAUACAAUAGAGCAAAAUGAAUCUCAUAGACAAGGAGACAAAACAUAAAGCAAGAGAUCCAUGACAUUUUACUUGUUUAGUCAUAUAAUCAUGAGAAAACAUACAGCUAGAACAGCAUCAACUGGUGGAGAAGCAAAAACAUCACCACAUAUUGCAGCUGCUAGCAUCCCUUAACCCACGAAUCCAGAAUGAGCUGGCUCAUGGCCGCUACCGCCACCUGACAAAGAAAUAGCAUUGAUCAUUGAACUGGAGAUUCUUAUGCAUAAAUCAUGGCCCGCUGUUGAAGUCCAUCACUUUCCUUCUAAAUGAUUGAACUGUAAAUGAAUUAAUUGGGUAGAUGAAGUAGAAGCUGUGGGGAAUGAGGAGUUGCGAACAGAUCAACGGUUUCUAAAUGAGAGGUAAAAAAUGUGUUUCUGAAUAUAGAAACAUUGGCAGGAACUGAAAGAUAACAACCAUAUCACGCUGAUGCCAUGGACAUCACCGACAAAAUAAGAAUUCAAGAAAUUCAAUGCGCACAAUUAGAUUCUAAAACAUUAACAUAGAAAUGCAGGGAAGACAACAUUAACCUGAUAUAACGACGACCUUGUCAUAUGUAGCAGGCGAAAUAUCAGCCCGCAACACGACCUUCACCUGCAUUUCCACCAAUAGGAUUGGAAUGGUCGUGUAAGUUACCGAAUAAACUGUAAGACUAAUGAAAGAAGCAUAAAAAAAAAAAAAUUACGAAAGGGCGUCGGGGGCGGAGGUGGCGUCGUCGGCGUCGGAGUCGGGGGCAACAGAGGCAACGGCUUGAGGGGCGUCGAAGUCGGGGACGACGGAGGCAACCGGCUUGAGGGGCGUUGGAGUCGGGGACGACGGAGGCAACCGGCGGACCCGCAACACGACCUUGAGGGGCGGAGGCGGAGGCGGCGUCGGAGGCGUCGGAGGCAACCGGCUUGAGGGGCAUCGGAGUCGCGAGAGGGCGUCGGGGGCGGAGGCGGAAGCGGAGGCGGCGUCAUCGGCGGGGCGUCGGAGUCGAGAAUGGAGAGAGAGAGCAGAGGAGGGGGAAGAGAAGCACCUGUGCGACCUUUUUGUUCUCCUCCGCAAUGGAACGGAACGGAGUAGGGAGAGAGAGAGAGAGAGGAGAGAGAGGACGAUUCGACGGGGGCUCAGGCAUCGCAGAGGAGAGCAGAGCAGGGAGCAUCAGAGUGGUGGGCUCCACACGCGGCCCGCGCGAAUUUUGAACGCCUGACGCCCUCACCUACGUGGCGCCACGUGUCGAUCGCUGAAUGGUUUAACCCAUCGCCUACGUGUUGGGUUAAACCCACCCACAUGGAGCCCGGUCCUUUCUGACUCAAUGUCUGAAAAUGGGAGGGGAAGAGACGCACGCUUGCGUGCAAAUGGGAGAAUGGUGCAGAGUUGCGGGCCCCAGCUCCACGUGUCGACAUGUGUCGAGUCCUGAUUAGGCGGGCACACGGUGACUUGGAGGCCCACCCAAUAUUUUCCACAGAGACACGAGAAGACAGGGGGGGUUUUAUAUAUAGAAAUUCAGACACGUGGGAAGGAGGGAUCCCACACAGCGACCGGUCGACUGUUCAAUCAGGCCGACACGUGCGAGAGGACUCGGGUUAUGUCAUGGCAUCCAUCAGCUGAUCUGUCUGGACUCGGCGAAUGGUUUGAGGGGAGGGGCAGUAGCGGUAAUUUAAAUGGUCUCUUGUGACUCCUUGAAAGUUUCUCUCCCUGCCCUUUUGGCCCUUCGUGGAGUCAAACCCUUUUGGCAAAAGAUAUCGUGCCAUGUUACCCCCCGCAAUGAAAUCCAAGACAGAUAUGUUAUCCAAUAAGGGUAAUUCUAGCGUGACGGUCUCACCGUCUCACGGUCAAAGAAUUACCGUAUUGGAUGGAGAAAUAUCUGAUAAUAAGUUCUAAUUUUGACAUUUCAAGUUAUUGUGUUUUAAUUUAUAAACCAAAUCAAUUUACAUUUUAAACCUCUCAAGAUUUAAAAAUUCUCUUAUUCACGAGUCCAUGAACGACAAGUGUGGAAUGUGUCAAGGAAAUUUACUCAUCUUGUUGGACAUAUUGUAUUCUCAUAUCAUGUUGAUACUAGUAUACCUGGUCGCAAAAUUUGAAAUGAAAUUACAUUUACGUAGCAGAGUAUGAGAAUGUUUCUGUUUCUCAUUAUUUUUGUUCUUUUGUUCCCCGAAACAAAAAAAAAAAAAGAACAGAAAGCUAUUUGGUAAUGCUAAGUUGUUUUUUAUUCCCCCGAAUAGAAAGUUAGCCUGGGAAUAGAUUUGGAAUAGAAACGAUAAGUAAAAAAAAGUUCCUUCUUGUUCCCAGGAACAAUUUUUAAAAAUAAGCUAAUUUUCUUUUCUUUUUUUUCUUUUUUUUUUUUCUUUCUUGCCGCGGCUACCGUCAAUCACCCAGAGCCACCGCCCACCGCCGGCCACUACCGCCACCGUUGCCGGUCGCCUGCCACUGUCGCCGUCACCGCCGCCGUUCGUUGGUCCCCAGCAGCUGCCGGUCGCCAGUCGUCGGUCGCCGGCCGCCGCUGCCACCAGUCGCCGGCCGCCACCAUUGCCGCCAAACGCCAUCACCACCAUCGAAUGCUGCCGUCGCCGCAAGUCCAUCGGUCGCCGACGACCACCGGAGGCCGAUGGGCUUGCAGCGAUGGUCGGCGGUGACGGUCAGCGGCCGGCGAUCGUGCAGCGGCGGCGACGAUUCAUGAGUAAGAAUAAAAAAAGAAUAAAUACAAAAAAGAAAUUGUUGCGUUACCAAACGUAUUUAUAUUCUUUUUUUAUUCCAAAAGUAGAAAUUUUGUGUAGUUACCAAACGGGUUCUUUUACUCAGAAAUUGUUCAUCGGAACAAAAAUAGAAAAGAACUAUUUCUGAAGAAGAAAAAAAAAAUUCUUCCCCGGAACAAAAGCGUUAUCAUGCGCAGCCUUACUAUCAUGGAUCGAUUGUUGUGAUGAUUAAAAUAUAUUAGUUUUUAGCCAAUGAUCUCGUUCAAAUUGGCCAUAUGAGCAUAGGUUAAAAGAUCAUCAAAACACAAAUGGCUCUAUGACCUACCCACUAGACAGCAAAGAAGUCGAAAGAUGUGGAUAUUCUAGUUUUCUCCGGCGAAUUUAAUGGGGAUGGUUUGAUAACUUUCGGCGGCUUUACUACGAAGGUCAAACGACGCUGGAAGGUGGUGAGACUCGGACUAUAAUUGACCACGGUUGCACAUGAAAAUAUCUAAUAUAUUAAGGAUUUUUGGUGAUGACCAAAAAAAAAAAAAAAAGAGCAUUUUUGGGGUUAUGCAAGUAUCAAAUCACUCGUUCUAAAAAACCAAUCAAAUCUCAAAAGUCAACAAGGACGGGUCAUAGUAGUUGUUGAAGUUGUCGAGCCCCACGAUGCCGUCGCCGCGCUUCUUGAGGGCGAGGGAGACGUGGGUGCCCACGAAUCCGGCGUUGCCGGUCACGAGGACGUAGAGCCCGUCGGGGCGGUGCACCUGGGCGGAGUCGCGGACGCGCUUCUCCCACUGGAUGCCGCCCCACGAGGCGGUGAAGUAGCAGUUGCCGGAGUCGAUGAAGCUCUGGAAGCUCAGGUACGAGGCGGUGAGGGCGACGAGGAAGAGGGCCCACAGGAAGAGGGUGCUGGUGGAGGCGAAGCAGUGGUGGAACUGGCAGUCACCGGAUUGCCCAUAAGUGGGGACUGUGUUUUUUUAUUUAACGAUCGGCGAGCGGCUGUGCGCGUUGGCGAUACCUUUCCUCGGCUUACUCGAGGCCGUGUUCGUGAACAUCUCGCUCUGCUUCGACUCCGACCGUCCUCAGAGGCACUCCUACAGCCUCGACGAACUCUCCCGCAUCGCAAAGAACACGCCAUGUCUCUCUCUCUCUCUCUCUCUCCAUCCGUUCCUGUACUGUCGUUGUAUGACGGAUUAGCCGGAAUGAUUUACGUGUCGUCGUCGCCGUCACACCUUCAACAAUAAAGGUAUGUGUUUAUAUUUGACCUAAUAUCCUAAAAAACCUCCAACCUUGAUUUUUAUCCUAACUUUACAUUUUCUCUUAUAAUUGGGACUAGAAUUAGAGUUGGGGUUUUUUUAUGAAAAAAAGAAAAGAAAAGAAAAGAGGGGCCGCUACUUUAUAUUGCUUUUGCCUUAUAAAUAAGAGGGGCCGGCCCAACAGGCUCUGAAGGAGCAGCGGCUAGCAAAAAGAUAAGCCUCAGCCUCACCCUGUCUAUCUUAUCUCUUAUUCUAUUGGAUCCUGCAAGCUGAGGCAGAGCAAUGCUGCAUUCAGUUCCGGCGCAUAAAUCUGUGAUUUCAGGGUUCGGUCGGUCGAAUGGGCAAAUCUCCCUUCUUGAAUCAUGGUCGACUAAAUUUCAGACCCGUUUCCCAAUCAGGUGCUGCAUUACUUCCUCCGUUUGGAGCGGGAGGGGUGGAUUCAAGAGGCACGUGGUCGUCCAAGGAGCCCAUCCAAAUUCGGACCAGGAAGAGGAAGACCAAGAAGAGUUUCGAGUAAUGACAGCAACGAGGAGCCAGUACAACGACAUUGUCAUAGUGGACACUGCAAGAUCCCGGUUCCUGUUGUUGGACUCCACCCACAACGUUCACAGCAUGGUGAACAAAGGAGAAGACAAAUGGAGUGGUUCCUACUGGGACGAGUUUGCCAGCCUGCCAGCCAUAGUCCCCGAAGGCCCCAUCGCCAUCUUUGGAUUAGGGGGCGGGACUGCUGCUCAUCUGAUGCUGCAACUGUGGCCUUGGUUGCAGAUUGAAGGGUGGGAGAUUGACAAGGUUCUGAUUGACAAGGCCCGAGAGUAUAUGGGGCUCUCUGAUUUGGAAAAGCCUACUCGAGCAGGUGGGAUGCUCAGUGUUCACAUUGGCGAUGUCCUUUCUCCUGUGGUAAAGGAUGAUGGAGGAUAUUACUCAGGGAUAGCAGUCGACUUGUUCACGGGAGGCAGGGUGUUGCCGCAGUUGCAGGAGGUCGAGACUUGGGUGGAGUUCAAGGAGAGGUUGAUGCCCAGUGGCCGCAUCAUGGUGAACUGUGGGGGAAUUGAUGACACCGAUCCCACAGGAAUCACUAGAAAGUGGGAGCUGAAUUCCACAAUCAAGGCAAUGUUGAGUGCAUUCCCAGGAGAGUUGAGCUGGAGAAGAACUGCACAGGCAGAAGGCGAAAACUAUCUAGCCCUCACCGGACCUUCGCCUGAUCUUGAUUUGUGGUCUUCCAGAGUCCCCGGUCGUUUGAGCAAGAAUGUCAGAGAAUGGAGGCCUUGCAUUUGACUUAUCUUGCCCGAACAAAAUUGACCUGUAAAUAGCCCUCAUUUCAUGAUAUGUUUGAGACGUGCAGGAACCGUGUUCUAUCCAUAUUACUAAAGAGAUCAUUUGCAUCUGCAUCUCCUCUCUUCAUUCAACUUCAUCUUUGUUCGAAUGUACCAUCCAUCAGCCAGGUAAUGGUACUGGAUGCCUCCUCCACUUCUCAUGCUAGAUUCUACAGGGGUACGAUUAGACUUCACAGCGGUCCACAGCAAUGUUUCGUUCUGAAUGGUCUUCCCGCAAACUUAUCCCCACUAUCUGCGGAUGUGUAUUCCAAUUUUUGACAGCAAAUCAUUUAGUUCUGCUAUAUAAGCAAUGCUUAUCAAACCUAUACGAGUCAAGACUUUGUCCUUACAAUAUCCACAAAAGGAAAUGAGGAAGGGCAUAUUUCUGGUAUAAAAGAACAAGAAAGGGGACCUUCUGGACGUGAUUCCAAAAGGGAACCGACUUGAUGACGAACGCCUUGAACGUGAGAAUCCAAUGGGUGAGUACGUGAAAGUUUUAUAGAACCCAUCACGCAUUAAUGAAUGGAAACUCGGGAUAAUUUCAGGAAUCAUGUUUGAGACCUCCUAUUUUAAUACCCAUUAGACUACACUUUGUUCUCAACAUGAGAUUUUUUGCAUCGUAGUUAUGUCAGGGUUCGCACCUGCGCUGUGUGCAUAAUCCACUUAUUCGGAUCUACAGGUGAUUAGUUGGGGCUAUGGAAGUACCCUCUGAAGUCCUUCGGAUCUAACGCCACUACUCGCUAAGCAUUAAUUCAAUGGAGAUUUUGCCAAAAAGGUCUUAAGAAAAUCAAGCAAUUAUACGAAGAAAAGAGGAAGAGAAUUUGGAAGCAACAUGUGUAUCCCAGUCAAUCAAACAAUCAUCAAGAGCCUGCCUUUCACCUUAAGAACAAUUUUAACCCACUUUUCAAAAGUCUAAAAAAAGCACAGCGUUCUACCCCGCACGAUAAUUUUGGCAUCUGUCAAACUCCGUCGAGAAUCACUGUUUUUCAAAUCUUAAUGGCUUAAAUCGUGGAAAUUUGCUACUAGCAUCAAUUUCGCUUUGUUGCACGUUCGAUAAGAAAACACUUUAGAUGAAUAAUUAAACGUUGUUGGAUUUUGGGUUUUAUUUCCAGUUAAAACAAGCUCUAUCUCCUCCCUCCCCACCUCAAUUUCAGCUGAACCAUCACCGGCAUGACACUGACCAUCAUCGCUUCCGGACACGUUCACUUGCCAUCGUCGCUAGCCGGGACAGCAUUCGCCAUGCCCAGUCGCAACAAUAAGGCCGCUGAUGGAGCCACCAACGAUCGCUGUCAUGGCCAUAUCACCACAACCACUCACAUCUUUCUCCCGCAUAUCUGUCUAUAGAAGAAAUUUUGUGCCUUAAUUCAUGUUCCAUAAGAAAAUUGUCCGAAAUAUCUAAUGUUUAUUGUACUUUAACCAAUUUACUUUUAAAUAUUUUAAAAAUUUUCUAUUGAGUCGUAAAUACUUUCACAUUUUGUUAAUUGAGUUCAUUCGGACAAUUUUAGAUGGGAAUUGCUAAUAUAGAUGCCAAUCAUUCUACGUGACACGACCUAUUGAGGUCAAAAAUAUGUAAUGACUCCUAUUAUACUUUCUUGUGAUAGUUGCUCAGUCCCAGGUUGUGGUGUUUCCUAACUACUUAUUGAUUUAAGGUUUUGUUCAUCCUACCGACAUUUCGUGUGAUGGACGUUGAGAAACAAGGUGCAAUUCGCACCAAUACUGAACUUUGACAUAACGAACAUGGUCCCCUCCUAUGGUUAAGGAUGAUCACACUAAAUUAAAUACAUCAUAUGAAACAAUGGUAACAAUUAAGAAGAGUUUUACUUUUCAACACAAAUGUAAGAUAUGGGUCCAACCCAACAGGCCUUAUCCGAUUGUAUUCCCCAUGAAUUUUAAUUCACCAAGGUCACCAUGAGAAGAUUUUUUAAUUUAUAAGAUCAAAAGUAUAAGGAAUUUGUAAUAGAUAAUUUGUUGUAUGGGCAAUGUUAAGGAAGACAAUGCUUUUUAUUUUGGAUGGAAUUUCUCAAGGAUUACGACUGUGAUAUUUUUGACCACCCUAGGAAAACCAACAAGGUGGCUGAUGCUCUUAGUUGGAAAUCAACUAUCGCACAAGUGAUGGUCUGGGAAUGCAGUCUUCUUGAAGGAAUUCAACAUUUGGAAUACAAAUUUGACGUAAAUCAGCUUUCUAAUCUUUUGGCUACCCUUAUAAUUGAAUUGGAAGUGUAGUCAAAGAUUAAAGCAUUACAACAAGAUGACCAUGAACUUCAAAAAAUUCGAGAAGGAGUUUCAAAAAAGAAAAAGGUAGAUUUUUAAGUAACUAAAGAUGGAGUAUUGAAAUUCCAUAGACGAUUGUGCAUACUCAACAAUGCAAAACUAAAGAAAGAAAUCCUAUCAAAUGCUCACCGAAGUAACUAUAACAUACAUCUAGGUAGUAUAGAGAUGUGAUGGAAUCUCAAAUAAUAAUAUUGGUGGAAUGGCAUGAAGGUUGAUAGUGCCAAAUAUGUCGCCAAAUUUCUAAUGUGUCAACAAGUAAAGGCAAAGCAUUGCAAGCCUGGUGGAUUACUUCAACCUCUAGAAAUCCCAUAAUGGAAAUGGGAACACAUCACAAUGGGCUUUGUCAUGGGACUUUCAAGGUGCCAAAGAGGCCAUGAUUCUAUUUGGGUAAUAGUCGACAGGCUGACUAAGUCAACUCAUUUCUUGGCAGUACAAAAGGAUUUCUUAUUGGAAGAAUACACAAGGCUUUAUGUCUAAUAGAUAAUUUGAUUUCACGGAGUGCUAGUGACAAUUAUUUUGGAUAGAGACCCCAAGUUUACUGUCACAUUUUGGAAAAGUCUUCAGAUGGCUAUGGGAGUGAAACUUCAGGAUAACAUAGCUUAUUAUCCACAGACAGAUGGCCAAUCUAACAAGACAAUCCAAAUGCUCAAAGACAUGCUACGAGUGUGUGUGCUUGAUUUUAAAGGAGGUUGGGAAGAAUAGCUACAUCUCAUUGAAUUACCCUACAACAAUAGCUACCAGUAGAGAAAUGGGAUGACACCACUCGAAGAGUUAUACGGACAAGCUUGCAGAACUCUAGUUCGUUGGGAUGAGGUCGAGGAAAGAAGGAUCCUGGCUUAGAGUUAGUCUAGAUGUCAGCAGAUGCAAUGAAAGUGAUUAGAGAAAUACUUAGAAUUGCCCAAAGCCGCUAGAAAAACUAUGCAGAUAGACAAUGCAGUCCUUUAGAAUUUCAAGUUGGUGAUCACUUCUUUCUUAAAGUGUCACCUAUGAGAUGCAUGUUGCAUUUCGACAAGAAAGGAAAGCUAAGUUUGAAGUACAUAGGACCUUUCAAGAUCUUAGAAGAAUAAUGAAUUUAGUUUACAGGUUAGCACUUCCGCCCAGACUUGCUUAGGUGCAUGACAUGUUCCAUGUAUCUAUGUUAAAAAAGUAUGAGCCAGAUCUGGCACAAGUGCUAAACUCUGAAGAGAUAGAAAUGAACGACAUAGUGUUGUAUGUUGAAAAGCUUAUGUGGAUUGCAUAUAGAAAAGAGCAAGAGCUGUAGAAUAAAACCAUUCCUUAGUUAAGGUUAUUAGGAACAGCAUGGGAAAGUUAGGAAUCGAUGAGGCUUCGAUAUCGGCAUCUAUUUAAGGAAUCAGGUAUGUCUUUGAAUUUCAAGGAUGGAAUUUCUUUUAGAGGGAAAGAGUUGUGACAUCAUCAACUCGAACCCCUAACUAGACCAUGAGGAAUGGACUAAGGAUUGGUACAUCAGUAACGAGUAUAAGUUGUGACUUAAUGCUAGUAAUUGUUCACGAGCCGACUAGAUGGUUAAGGGCAAGGCAACUCAAGAACAAGGUUGCGAUAGAUCAUAGUGAUUGAUUGUGAAAGGACCAUUCCACCAUAAGGAUUGUUAUGGACAAUCACGUGCCAUCAUGAGUUAGUUAAUGGAUGGGUAUAGAUCGAUUCAACUCAAGUAUAUACCGGUCGCGGGUGACAGCACGAUCAAUGUAUUGUUUGUGAAUGACCUUAAUCUGAUCUCAAACGACCAUGAGUCAGGGCAAGUUGAUUGAUCCUACUUGAUUAUAUGGCAACUAAAGAUUAUUCAUGGAUGGACCAAUCUCAAAAGAAAGUCCUAUGUAAAACCUUGAACAGGCGUCGAACUCAGUUCAAGUUUGACCGCGCGAGUUUUGCCAAUGCCGCCCAUAUUCAUGUAGGUCACAUUAAUGCUAUUCUCCAUUGAAACUUAGCCAUGAACCUUAGUCCGAUUGCGAGUGUUGAUUGUAGAUGCUAUCAAGACAUUCCUAUUCAGUUGAAUUAAUUUUAGUGAACCAAUGAGUAGAUUAAUCGGAGAAAUGCACUAAUUUGAAGACAUAAACUUUAGUGGACCUAGAGGUCAAACCAAUUUAGCCUAUUAAGAUUUAAAUUGAGAUGAGACAAAUUUUGGGAGACCAUUCAAAUGGUGUAGGUGCCACUUCGGUGUUAGGGGUGAGCAACAGUCUAGGGUUGACCCUGGACCGACUCUGGACUGGCCCAACCCUGCCGGUCCUGGUCCGGUUCCCAAGGGGACUGGAUCAGUCCUUGGUCCUAAAAUUCCAGGACCAACACUGUACGGGUUGGUCCUUGGUCCUAAGAGUUUUGGGUCGAUCCAACCCUGAACCAACCCUGUAUAUUAUAUUAUUUAUAAUUCUUUUUAUAUAUUCAAACCUAAGUAAAAUGUCUAUUAUAUUAUAUUAUAUUGAUAUAUUCUAUCAAUAGCACUAAUAGUAAUUUCAAUUUAAAACUUUUGUUGAGUAUUAAUUAUGUGUCAUUUGUUACCACCCACCUGGGUGGCGUAGCUGGCUUUGAGCCUCCUCCCCCUCAUGAAGGGGAGGGGUUCGAAUCCCCAGCGCGUCGCAGGGUGACUUACCCGCUGGCGUGAGUGUGGUAACUAGCUUGCGUCAACCCUAGGGUUUGCCCGCCGGCUGUCGGUUUACGGGUUUCCCUGGGUCACCAAAAAAAAAAAAUUUAUGUGUCAUUUGUUUUGUUUUCGGUGUUUAAAAGUUCAAGUGAAUUAACAAGAUGUGAAGUUAUAUAUUCAUGGUUUAUAUUAAGUAUUUUGAACUCUUAUGGUUUAAUUGUAUUUUACUAAUGAAUUUCAACUGCACUUUACUUUUCAAUUUGUGUCAAAUGGUAGAAGUUUUUUAAGAGUAGAGUAGUAUUGCAGUUGCUACGUUGAUUUGCUAGUCAAGUGGUGUGAAGCUCAUUUUUUGGUUGGGUGGACUCUACAUGAUCGAAUGCAAGAAAACACUUUUGCAUAUGGUGUUAUGAAUAUUAAACAUAGAUGAUUACAAGAACUUUCCAUCCUGUUUCAUAUCUCGAUGAGCGGUUAGAAGGUAUGAAAUUUCUAUUAUUGUGUCAUAUUAAAUUUGUUAAAUAUGUAUUGGUAUUUAUAGUUUAGUUGCACAAUGCCGCAUUGUCGAUAAAUGUGUAAUUUGAAUUUGUAGGUUUGCUUUUUUAAGGAGUAUAAAAAAUAAAACGAAAAAAAUUAUUGAUCAGUCCCGGGUUGACCCUGGAACCGGACCGAACCCAUUGGGUCGGUCCGGUCCUUGGUCCCAGGCUCAAUAGGGUCGAUCCUUGGUCCUAAAAAUUGUGGACCGACACUGUACGGAUUGGUCCUAGGGUUAGGGGGUGGCCCGGACCAACCCGGACCAUGCUCACCCCUAUUUGGUGUAGACAAGGGGGAAUGGACCAUUUUACCCUUAUUGAACCUAGCCAAUAAUUGAGAAAUCGAGAAGAAAUCUUGGCCCUUGAACUUGGAUGACGAUCUUGGCAAAGAUGGAGGAUUACAUCUUGUCCUCCAAGUUUGAAGCCAUCAUGAAGAGAGAGCAAUAAUGCAUGGUGUAUUUAAUGUGAUUGACUCAUUUCUCUCUCUCUCUCUCUCUCUCUCUCUCUCUCUAACUCCCCUUUCAGCCGAGACCCUCCUCUCCUCUCUCUUUUUCCCUUUCUCUCGCUUGUUCGCUGCCCAUUGCCCACCUAGUUGAUGCUCAUUGCUCGUAUGCCACUACAUGCCUGUCUGCUCAUCCGUCAAGUUGUUGCUGUCGCCGUCCUCAUACCGCUGCUAUGUUGCCAUCCUCUAGCCCCCAUCGAUCGCCUCUCAUCUCAUCACGGUUGUCAUAAGUAGAUUUGUUAAAUGUUGGCUAGGCUAUUGCAUUACGUAAGUCGGAUUUAGAUCCGUUUGUAGAGUUGUUAAACCCAUCCUAAGUUGAACAAACUUAUGUGACUAAUUUUGUAUGGUUUGCUCAUGAUUUACUUGGACAUAAUGAGUGAGGAGUGAGCAUGAUUCAUGGACAUAAUUUGUUUAAGCUUAGAUUAUUGCUUGGGCUAAGAGAUUUACUGUGAUUAUUGCUUGUGGACCAUUUAUUAUUGUUACUUAGGUUUAAUCCUCAUGUUUGAUUGUCUUGGUUGGUUGUAUAUGGUUAUGUGAUGUGGUUUAUUGUAUGUUAUGACUAUCGUGAUUGAGUCGUCCAUCUAUGUUGUUAGGAGAUUUGAUAUUUAAGCAUUAUGGUUGCAAUAUGGAUGUGGUCUUUGCAUGUAGAAGUCCAUAAGUCAUAGUCAAUCCUUGAGUUGAAAUCAAACCUCUGAAUCUAGUACAAUGUUGGUUCUUGGGUCACUCUUUUAGUUUGGCAAUAUUGAAGCGUAUCGUUCUGUCGCAACCCUAACUCCAUCUCUAGGGUCAUGAGCAACAAGAGUUAUUUUCGCGACGUCCCAGACUCGUCACUGUCUAGAUUCUUUUUAUCUUGUUAUUAUGCACAUGUGAAAACGUGAACAAAUAACUCCCUGGACAAACAACAACUGGAAGACUGGGACAUACAUCACACAGAACAUAUUGAUUUAUGUUAUAACAAUACUUUUAUAAGCCCUUUCUCUACGAGCCCUCUUUUCUUUUUACAUCACAAUACAAAUUUUCCACAUGGGCCAAGGGAAAUCUUAUCUCCUCUAGCGUGACUGCCGCUCCCAAAACUAACGUAAGAAUUCCAUGCCUACAAGACCGAAAGAUGAGGGGUGAGUUUUGGGGAAACUUGGUAAGUAAAAUUCCUAGUUCUCUACUAGUAAAGCAUCUCAUCAUCAAAAUCUAACAAGUACAGAACUCGCAAACAAUGUUGAUGGCAGAUCAAUCGCAAGUCUAUUGCCACCUCUCGACUAUCUAUAUGUGAUCCAAUUUUAACUAACCAAAUAAGUCAUUUCACCAAACAAGUUUAUCAACAGCACAUAGUAACAUGUUCAAUAUGUUAAUUAACUAUAUAAAUGGUUAUUCCCAUACUUUUAGGAGCUUCCAACUGUAGAUUGGGCAUCUGGCCUCAGGCUAGGCAUCCCAUACUCUCAGCGGCUUCUUGGCUCAACUAGGGCAUCCAACUAUCAAGCUACGUAUCUUAUAUUUUUAGAGGCUUCCUGGUUCAACCAAGGCAUCCGGCCAUCAACCCAAGCAUCCUAUACUUUCAAGAGCUUCCUAGCUCAACCAAGGCAUCCCAUUCAAUGAACGAGAUAUCACCGCCAAUGCUAUGAGACGACAGACGCUUUUUCCUCUUUAAGUGCACACACAUAAGUGCAUUACACAAGUCGGUUGUUAUCUUUUCUCUUAGCCAACACAUGUAUGGCCCGAAAGCAUGCCCAUUCGUUUAUGUGCCAUGAGUUCUUGUGCUACACUAUUUAUGCCGAUUCAAGGCCUUAUGAUUUGGAUGACCUUGCCUUGUGAUGAACUCAAUCCAAGCGAACCUCGGCUUCAUUCCCGAAUGUACAUGACACAAGCAUACGACCAAACACAAUUGCAAGUAAAACCAAACAAAAGACAUCACACACCACCCAUGGCUUGACGGAUGAGCACUUAGCUAGCCUCAACAAUGAAAUCUACCUUCCAAGGAGAGAAAAAAGGAACCUUACUUACCUUGGCAAAAUUGAGAACUAACCUAGAUAGCUUGGUGAGUUGAGGAUGCAAGGCCGAGAGAAAUGGCAUGCAAGAAAGGAGUAGGAGGAUAAGUGAACUAAAGAUCGGAGAGAGUGGAUGAGGGUGGUUCUCCUAUUUAUAAGCCAAGCUUCAUUAAUGACCCUAACUUAUUCUUCAAGGAAAAUCCUAUCGUCAUGAUUACCAAAUCUUCUCAUUGCCACCUAAUUUAGCGAGUCAUACCUUCAUUUAAGGACUAGCCUCCAAGGAACACAUGGUACUUAUUCUCCAAGUCACUCCUAGUUGGUCCACCUAAGCUUGUGAGUCACCAUUUCAUCAUUACUUGGCCUAACUUAAUCUCCAAGGAAAAUCUUAUGCAAUAAUGAUCAAAUCCUCAAAUGACCACCCAAGCUAGUGAUUCAUCCCUUCAUUUAAUACUUAAGAUAUGGCCAUCACAAGUCUUGGAUUUUUGGCACAUUUUUCAUUUUUUUUUUUUUUUUUUGCUCAUUAAGCCAAGGAUUCUAGAACCUUCCAUGGUAUGGCUCACUUAAGCCAACUUGCCAUCUAAGUUUCUUCUCUUUAACACACUAAGGUCCAAAAGUAUUUAAUACAUUCUUAUCUUCAAGCCAAGAAAUCUCUAGAUUAGCUUGCUCCUCAAGUUAGGCGUGCAGCCCUUUCCCUUCCAAGUUGGGCAUGUGACCAUCUUAUCCCGGGGUGAAAGACAGUUUCGAGCAAUUUCCAAAAUCGUCAUCGUUACCUUAUCAAACGGGCUCGAAAAAUUAUAAAAUCUUGAUAUGUUAUAGAGAAGACCUCAAAAACCAUUUUUCGUGAGGGAACUUAGCCAAAUUUGUGCUGUGCCAAGAGCAGUAAUUCAAUAAACAAAACCCAAAAAUUCAUCCCGUUGGUUUUAUAUCAAAUCAAAUCAACCACGGGUCGAACUCACGAAACUCCUAAAGGCUUCCCAUUGGUUUUAUAGAGGAUUAAGAGACAACCAUUGGACAUUAUUUAAUCAAAUUCCUUAUUUAUCAGUAAACCCUAAAUUUUGGAUAAGUGAAAUUGGGCUGGAAAUUAGAAGCCAAAAUGGGGCCCACGAAUUUGGAAAGGCCAAGGCCCAAUGGGCCACAUUCCCUUUAAAUUUUGUCCACAAAGGCCCAAAUAGAUGGAAAUUAUAGUUUUGCCCUUUAAGGCCCAUUAAGCUUGUUUAGGCCUAAAUUGGAUUAAUUAAGCCCAAGCCCAAGUUUGUCAAGCCCAAGGACAAGCCGUUUAAGACAAAUGGGCCAUUUUGGACUUGGUCCAUGUGCGUGAAUAGUAACCUACGUGAGUAGUGCCCAUGAAUAGUACCUAGCAUCUAGAAGGCUUUGACUUUUGUGGCAAGGAGGGAUAUGAUUUAUUCUUGCUCCCCAAGUUGGAAUGGAGGGCCAAGAUGUGUUCUUGCUCCCCAAGUUAGGACAAUAUGUCAAGGAGCAUUAAAUGUCCAACUACUUCCCCAAGUUUUCCUCUUUUUCCAUCAUUUCUCACUUUCUCUCUCUACCCCUUAUUUGGAUGAAUUUCCUCCAUCACUCUCCCUCAUCUCAUACCCAUUUCUCUAUUUUUUUUCCCUUUGGUUGUGGUGGCUGUGAGCCACCAUCCACCGUUCAACUCGCCGAGCUACCCUUGCCGCGAGAUCUCGUCGUGCCGUCAUUCCCGCGUGUUGGCCGCGAGUCCUAAGCCAUUGCUAGACCCCUCUCAAGUCGUGUGCUACUGUUCCUUGGCUGUUCUAGCCUUAUCGUGGGCUAUUGACCGCCAAUCUGCCACCACCACGGCUUGUGGAGCCUUACCAAGAGCCGCCACCAUGCCAUGAGCCUCGCCGCCACUUGCCGUGGCCUAGUUUUGGAAGUGAGUAGCUUCCUAACCCUUGAUUAGGGUAGUAAUUGCGCUAAGGAGUAGAGUUAGGAUUGGUUAAUGGUUAGUGUUGAUUAGAUUAGGUGAUAAGUGGAUUAAAGUGAUAAGUAGUGGUGAUAAGCUAUCACAAUCGGUGAUAAUUGGAUGGGUUAGGUUAUCACGAUAAGUGAUGGUUAUAUGUGAUAAGCUAUCACAAUAGGCUGUCAUUAGAUGUGAUAAGUUAUUGUAAUAGGCUAUCGUUAGAAGUGAUAAGUUAUCGUAAUGGGCUAUUGUUAGAUGUGAUAACCUAUGGUGGGUGGCACGAAAGCUAAUUCUCACGGGAAGGCAACAGACAACUCAAGUUUUUGGAGAAAAGUCAGUUGGAGUAGAAACAGGAUGGAAGGAAAACAAGGGAGAGAGAGGUCGGUCGAGAGAGGGCCGAAGGAGGGGAGAGAGAGAGUGAUGGGAGAGCUGUUGCACUCCUCAUUAAGGCCCAUAAAGCAUGGCCCAAGUCCCCAUGCAAGAUGACCUCAUCUUCUAUCUCUUCUCUUGCCUUAUCCACAUGCUUUUAGGGGCAAAAUGGUCAUUUCCACCUUGCACAAAUUCCCAAUCUACCCUUGGGCCGAAAAUUACGGGCAGGCCUAAGAAAUGGGCUUGGAAAUAAAUAGGAAUGGACUUGGGAAUUGAUUGGGCCCAAAUGGACUAAAGAUUGGACAAUGGGCUUGGAAGAUAAAAAGGUGGGUUGGCCCUAAUGGGCUCACUUGCUUGCCUUAGGCCUACUAUGGUGGUUGUCCCACCUUGGGCCUAAGGCCCACAUAGGCUUUGCUCGGCCCACGUCCUCUCAGGCUCAAUUCCUCAGAACGUAAAUCCUUUUUCCCCACACUCGGCUUGCCUGGCACUGCUGACUAACGAAGUAGCUUCAUCCAAAGUUCGUCCCGGACGUUCCCAAUAAUUCGAAGUCCAAUUUUGAGUUCUCAUACCAUGUCAAUUUCGCCCCAAUGCCAUUUUGGGUACAACUUAGACUGACUGGCGGCUUUGAGGAUUCACGCAUAACCGACUCGUGCUAAACCACGUUCAAGACAUCUCAACACAUGGACGUCCUUAAGUACCUAAAAUAGCGGAGGAUAGAUUCUUAUUUCAAAGUACAUGAUUACCGAGGAUCAACCUAGGGUCGUUCAUGGGCUCGAUAACAGUAAACAUAAUCACCCAUCAUUCCAUUACAUUCUAUCCAUGAAUCGACUUUUAGUCAUCCUUCAAAUCGGCCUGCCUAACUACAUGAUUGUUCUCAUGCAAGUCUCACGAUCAAGUAGUUUUCCCAAGUCAAGUUCUUUAGUUGUACGAGUUUUGUCCUCAUUAGCAUUUCCCCUCAAGGUCAAUAUCUCAGGAGUGAUCUAUUCCGAGUGAGAUCAACCAACAAUAUAUUGACGAAAUUCACAUUCAUUCAUCCCUCAGAGAGCUUGAAUUUGAGCAUGUCACAAUAAAGAUUGGGAAAAUGUCAUUAUUCUUUCAAAAUUUUUGAAAUAGUUUUAUGAUGCCACCACUCAAAUGUCAAAGAGUUUAUAUAUUACUUCGAAUGAUUAUUUUGAGGGGAUAGGUUUUUUGUAUAAAUAUUUGAAAGAUGUGAGUAAUGCUAUGGAUCCUAAGCUUAGAAUUAUGAAUAUGAAGAUAAAGGAGAAGUUUAAUAAAUAUUAUGAGAGUUUGGAUAAAGUAAAUAUGAUGGUUUUGAUUGUAGUGGUGUUAGAUCCUACAAAAAAGUUGUAGUAUGUGAAGUAUUGUUAUGAGCAAAUUUAUGAUGAUGAAGUUGAUAAGAUGCACGAUAAGGUGAAAUACAUGUUGGAGCAUUUGUAUACAUUUUAUGAGCAAUAUCUUCUUGAUCAUAAUAACUAAUAUUUGGGUGGUCAAACUAUGACUAUUGGAAGUAGCAUUGCUUCCAAUACCGCCAGAAAUGAUGGAAACGACAAGAUUAACAUCAAAGCUUGGCGAAAAAAACUUUUUCCAUCAAAAGAAAAGAGGGCGUGAUAACAACAAAUCAGAUCUUGAACAGUAUCUUGAAGAGGAUUCUGAAGAUAUUCUUGAUUUUGACAUUUUUGAUGUGGUGGAAGAGUAUUGGUUCGAAGUAUAAAAUUCUAUCAUUGAUAGCUCGGAAUGUUUUAUCUAUUCCUAUAACUACUGUUACUUCAAAGUCAACUUUUAGUAUUUUGGGCUGCGUUCUUUAUGGUUUUAGAAGUUCUUUGACUCCUAGAGUGGUAGAAGCUUUAAUUUGUACUUAAGACUGAUUGAGAACUGCUCCCAUGCCUAUUUAUGUUGAAAAGUGCCUUGAGAAUGUCAAAAAGUUUGAAUUAGGUGAGCUUAAAUCAUGCAUAUUUCUUUUUACUUAUUAAUUCUUUUGUAUAUCUAAUGAAUGAAUUCUUGUUUUUUUUUAGAUACGGAUUGUCUUACUGAGGAGAUUACAAUCAGUAAAUAGAGUUUGCAUGUUGAAGUUGAAUGACCGUAAAUGGUGAGAUGUUCCAUCAAUGACACUAAUAGUAAUUUCAAUUUAAAAAUUUUGUUAAGUAUUAAUUAUGUGUGUUGUUUGUUUUGUUUUUAGGUGUUCAGAAGCUAAAGCGAUCAUCUAAGAGUUAACAAGAAGUAAAGUUGUAUAUUCAUGGCUUAUCUUAAGUAUUUUGAAUUUAUUGUGGUUUAAUUAUAUUUCACUAGUAAUUUUCAGUUGUACUUUGCUUUUUAGUUUGUGUAAAAUGGAAGAAGUUUUUGAAGAGUAAUAUUGCAGUUGCUAUAAUGAUUUGCUUGUCAAGUGGUAUGAAGCUUCGUUAUUGGUUGAUUAGACUUUGCUUGAUUAAAUGCAAGAACCGAUUUUGUAGAUAAUGUUACAAGUAUUAAUGAUAGAUGAUUAUAGGAACAGAUGCCUGGAAAACAGUUUUUGGCCUAGAAUUCUUUUCUCUUAAACUUCUUAUCUCAUCCCAUUUCUCCGAACGGAAGAAUGAUUCAAAGACAAAUCAAAAGUUAGAAAAGUAUAACAUGGUUUAGCGAUGGAAACACUUUAUUUCUAUUAGCAAUCCUGAUCGUUUUUAUAGUUUCUUGUUUUUAGUAAGUGUGAAAUUUUUAUAGUUACCUUAUCUUAAAUUUAUGUUGAAUAUGUACUUAUGUUUAUAGUUUGGUUGUUCAACGCCAUAUUAUUGAUUGAUAUGUAAUUUAAAUUAAUAGGUUUGUCCAUUUAGAGAAUACAAAAAAUGAAACAAAAAUAUUAUCAGUUAGUCUCGAGUUAACCUUACAAUUGGAUCGAAUCCAUAUGAUCAGUCCGAUUCUCGAUCUCGGACUCAAUUAGGUUGGUCUUCAGUUUCAAAAAUUAGAGACUAACAUUGUGCGGAUUGGCUUUGAAUUAGACGCUGAACCAGCAUUAAAGGAACACUUUCCUUUAACAUGGACACACGGAAGACACCGGGGCGCUAGACAGCUUCAGCGGUAAUGCGAGUCUUUAAUAAUCGGCACCUAGCCUGAAAAUUCGGUGGACGAGAGUCGGAAUGUCCUAGAAUGUCCAGCAUUAAAUGAAGAAGGCCUUUUGUUUAUUAAUUGACUCGACGUAUGCUCCAUCUACGUGGCUUUCUCCCCUCCCCUUCUUUUGUAUUUGUUAAUAAUUGAAGAGAGAGGAUGGCCCUGUGCAAGAACGGCUAUAGUUUUCUUCCCCUCAUUCAUGCAUGCAAAUGCACGUACAUAGAGGCAGAUAAAUUUGGUAGACGUGGAUGCUGAUUGUGGGCAACUGUGCUGCCAUUUAAUGAGUUCGUAUUUGUGUCUCGUUUCUCCUAUAAAAGGAGGACCGCAAAAGAGGACCGAGGUAGAGCAAGAAGAGAGAAGACUCGUGAGCCUUCCCGGAGACGAGGUAGAAGCUCUCGACAGAGGGAGAUUUUUCCGUUGUGAUUACACAUAGUGAUUUAGCCAGUUAAAUUUUUAUGGGUAGAAUUUAUUUAAUAACUUGAGUGAGGUUUUAUUUGAAAAUUCUGAGGAGUUAGAUAUUGUGUGAGUUAUUAAGCGUAAUUGGGAGUUAGAAAACACCAAGAGGGUAUUUAAGUACUCAAGUAAUUGCAAUCUUUAUUGUAUCGUUUUUUUAAUAGUGGGAUUAUGUAUUGUUCUCUUUGUGGAUGUAGGUUUCGAUAUUCUAAUCGAAUCAUAAAAAUUUGAUGUCGGAUUUCCCCUCCUUUAUUCUAAUUAAUUUUAACCAUUUUGCUAGGCCAUCUUACUUCGCAACAAAUUGCGUCCGCACUCCUUUCUCAAGAAACCCAGUCAUUCAAGAAGCAGAGCAUUGCAACUGCAAACAGCCAAAGCCCAAACGCGUACAGAAGGAGAGAGAGAGAGAGAGAGAAUAGAAGCAUGAGUGCAUGCAAGAACCAAGCAAUCACGACCCCCAGUGAAGAUGAAGAGUUCUUGUUCGCCAUGGAAAUGAAUGCUCUGAUAGCACUCCCCUUGGUCUUGAAGGCCACCAUCGAACUAGGGAUCCUCGAAAUACUGGCCGAGUGUGGGCCUAUGGCUCCACUUUCGCCUGCUCAGAUUGCCUCCCGUCUCUCCGCAAAGAACCCGGAAGCCCCCGUAACCCUUGACCGGAUCCUCCGGUUUCUCGCCAGCUACUCCAUCCUCUCUUGCACUCUCGCCCAAGACACAGAAGGCAACCCCCUGAGGCUUUACGGUUUGGGACCCAAAAGCAAACACUUCGUCAGAGCCCAUGGCACUGCCACUUUUGCUGCCCCCUUGAUGCUUAUGCUUACCGACAAUAUCGUCACUUCUAGCUGGUUUUUGCUUCUUCCUUCCUUCCUUUCUGCUGUGUUGAAUUGGCCAUGUCCUCCAUCACAUGCGCCGUAAGUAUAUCUUGAUUAUACCGUGCAUGACUUACAGGUACUGCUUAAAAGAAGAGAUUAUGGAAGGAGGAGACAACUUCAAACUUGCCAAUGGACUGCAUGUUUUUGAGUACACUAACAAAGACAGGAAAUUUAAUGAGAUAUUCAACAACGCAAUGCAAGCCCCGACAAACAUGUACAUGAGUAAAAUUGUGGAAUCUUAUCAAGGCUUCAGCAACGUCAAGACGGUGGUCGAUGUAGGUGGUGGCAUGGGUGCAAGCCUUAGGAUUUUGCUAUCCAAGUACCCCCACAUUCAUGGCAUAAACUUUGAUCUACCUCAUGUGGUCAAAGAGGCUCCUCCUUAUCCUGGUAAAGUUUAUUUAUUUUUCCCCUUCUGCUCCAUCUUCUUUUCUAAAAAAUAUCUCUCAUAGGGAUGAACUUUAUUAAGGAAAGUUUGAUUAUGUCGCUAAGUUAUUCAUAUCAUACCCUUAACACAAUUGUUCGAGUGAGUCAUCGCAAAUCGAAUACAAUUCAUACUGUACAAAAUCGGCUUCCAUAUAGAGAUAGAGAAUGAACUCUUUGGAUAAAGCUGAGGUGUUUGAGGAUGGAUUGAAUCACUUAUCUUUUGGUGACAGGCAUAGAACAUGUGGGAGGGGACAUGACAAACUACAUUCCUAAAGCGGACGUCAUUAUCAUGAAGGUUAUUCCUGUGUUCAAAAUAUCCUUAUUAGACACUAUCAAGCUCUUCGCAUGAUAAUAUGAUUAUUUCCAUAUAUUGCGGUUUGUCGGUUUAAUAAUGGCUACACAGCUCCUGUAACCCUUAUCUACACAUCCCUUAUCCAUCACUACUGCAUCGGAUGGUUAAUUACUUGCUAAAAAUAAAACUACUCAUAUCAAUAACGUUAUAAGUGGAAUGUGUAAAGAAAUGUUAAACAACCUGGAUGCUUAAUAUGUAUCCAAAACUAACUGAUCACCGGUCGUUUUGUAGUGGAUAAUUCACGGUGCAGAUGACAAGUUAUGCGUCAAGCUACUCAAAAACUGCUGGGAGGCAUUGCCAGAGAAGGGCAAGGUCGUGAUCGUGGACGCUGUCCUUCCAGAGCAUCCCGAAACAGAUAUCAUCACGAGGAACGCCCUCCUAGCGGACAUGUCCGUGCUGAAUAUCACUCCCAGCGGAAAGGAUCGGACAGAGAGAGAAUUUGAGGUCCUGGCACGUGCAUCCGGCUUCGAUGCUCCGAAACUUGUGUGUCGAGCUUACAACAUGUGGGUAGUCGAGUUACACAAAAGGAUGUGAUCUCUUCUCAUCAUAAGCAUGUAUUGAGCUUUCCCUAGGGAAUUCUCUGUAUGUUCGUGUUGGGUUUGGACACUUGAGCCAGACCCUUAACCUUGUGUGCCAUCUUAAGGAAUAAAUUAGUGCUGAUGGAAAAAUAAUUUCAUGCUUUACCUGAACGGUCCCCAAUGUCCUAUAAUCAUUCUUUUUUGGGAAAAUUCAAAAGUCCAUUUCACCCUUAUAUACGAAAUGUCGUGCAAAAAACCAUUAAUGUCAUUACCCUUCAAAUAAGAAGAAGAAACUAAUUAAAGAUAAUUAUCUUUAAAAGGGCCAAGUACCCAAAAAAUAAAAAGCCCAUGCACAUCCUUUCACAUCAAGAACAAUUGUAUUCACUUUUUCGAAAGUCUUAAAAAAGCACAGUUUUCGGCAUCUGUCAAAUUGCAGCGAGUCCGUCAAAACAUGGGGAGCUCACCCAACACAAAAUAUGGGUUGAAUUGAGUCUGUCAAAUAAAGUCCGAUAACAUGGGUUUGGAUAGAUUUUAAGUUCAAUCCAUAUAAAAAUUAUGGGAAUUGAUCAAGUAACGGCACCGUUACUCUUUCAAUGGUGGCAGUGGCAUGUGCACCGCUAAUUCUUUUACUUAUUUCUUCAGAAAAUUUGGAAAAUAAUUUGUCACUUGGGACUUGCUCCACUUCCACCCUUAUUUUGUCACUUGUAAUUUGAUUUUUCUUUUUGUUUGUUUGACAUCAAAAUAAAGAGAGAUCAAUUAAUUUCUUUUCUAACUUAGAGAAAUUUGAAAGUUUGCAAAUCAAAAAUAUUAUAUUUGCGCUUGUUAUUUAAUUUUCAUCUUACAUGAGUUUUCUUAAGUAUAUCAUUUAUAUCUUCUUCUUUUUUACCAAUGUCUACCAUUGAAAAAGAAUAGCUCAAUUACCCCCAUGAUUUUCUUCUCCCUUCAAGAACUUCAUCCAUUUGUUUCUUUAAAUAUGAAACUAGUCAUCUUCAUCAACAACUAAAAUGGGUGGCCAGUAUUGCACCGUUACUCAUUGGAAGUAACAAUACCGUCAUACUAACAGUGUCCUAAAAUUAUUAAUAAGUGUCCACAAAUUCUAACACUCACCAAAAUGUUUAAUCUCCCCACAACAAACACCAUCGGUCAUGCCAGCCAUAAUAGUCGUAGGUGCUCUCUCUCCACCCCCCCCCCCCCCCCCCCCGGCCUCCCCCUUACAGUUUUAUAUGGUCCACCAAGGGACGUAUCCUCGAUCUUAAUAGAUCAUAACUGCUCAUAUUUAUUUGUAACCCCUAUAUAAACUGUCGUAACACACAAAACUUAAGUAUGAACAAGAUUUACUCUUUUUUUUCCUCCAGCAGUCAUAGGGUGACUAGAGAUCCGUUGCUCAAGGGCCCUCGAAUUUAUUAUUUGGGAUGUUUUGAGAGUAUUGUAUUUUUGUGUGCUGGAUCAAAAUAGGUUAAUGGUUGGGUAUGUGGUUUGAUUGGUUGAUUCAAUCUAGGUUUGAAACAAAAGUAAUGGUUAUAUAAAAAAUGAAGCUCCUAGAAAAUAGGAGGAAUCAAUCUACUAGAGCACAUCUCCUCUUACUUGCCCUAAACCUUAAACCUUGAAAUCCUAACUCUAAACCCUAUUGCCUCCAUUCAAUAAAAAAAGGAGAGGCCUUAUGUGAUUCAUUUUGCUGAUUUUUUGUUCAAGAUAGAAUUCCAAAAAACAUAGACCAAUCCAUACUUUGAACUAAUAACUAUAGAACAUAAUAAGAGCGUCGUCUAAUUCAAUUCAUCAUCAUGAAUAGCCUAUGUAGCUUUUGAUAACUCUUCUAGCCAUGCAUUCUUUGGAAGCUUUGAAUUCUUUCCAAUCUUAGGCCUUGACUCACCCACCAUGGAUGAACAUUAAAGAAGAACCUUUAGGUUUCCGGGACAUUGAAUUCUCAUCAUGGUUGUGGUAAUAUCUGCUCCUCUUCAAAUUUUUGACGAUAUGAAAAAAUCAAAAGCCCCGCCAUCAAAAUCUAUGCCGUCCCUAUUCAAUCAUGGAAGCGGAAAUGCCUUAAGUGUCCCCUCUAGUCAGGAGUUGAGCCUACCAAUCACUAAUCAAUACAUUUUUCUCUCAUGUGUUUUUUCAUUUAUGGUUUGAUAUUCUUGUACUACUGGAACCACACCAAUCCAUCCUGGUUAUAGCCUAGCCUUACUAUGCUUACACAUGAGCUCCCAUUCUAGAUUGUAUUGGCAAAAUUGAUAGGGAAUUGGCUUCAUGUGUAGAUAGGGUCAAAUAUGCAAGGAAUGCAAAGACACAGACCCCUUCCUUCUCUUUUAGAUGAAUGGAGUGGUUUAGAAUUGCUCUUCAUAGACAAACUUGGGAUUUGCAAUCCAAGGUAAGAUCGGUUCAGGAUAAUUGGGUCUUUUACUAUCAUAAGGAUGUGCCAUUACUCAAAAAGUACUUCUAGGUAAUUGCCCCACAUAUUCUAUAACUAUUUAUGUGAAAAAGAAAUCAUGUGCCAAAGGGGAUUCUUAUUUGUACAUGUGGUUUAGAGUUUCGCAUCUUGUGCUCACUAGCAUGUAUGGAUCCCCCGACUCUAAUUGCUUUUCGCCUCUUCAUAUUUUUCAAUUUAUUUUUAUAAAAUCUUGGAUCUUGUUUGCAAAGGUGAACCAUCAGGAGGAAAGUUAAUGAAUUAUUAAUCUCAGAGACUUAGUGCGAACUCUCCCAAGCCCAAACCAACCACAACUUUGAGAUUUUAAUUUGUUCUAUUAAUCAUGCAAAUCAUUUUAUUACUAUAAGUUAUUAAUCAGUCAAUUAAAUACCUAAGUAAAGUGUGGAGAGCAUUUUACUUCUGCAAACUAGAUAUUCAUGAAUAUGGAGACUUGAUUGCACUAGAUAUUCAUGAAUAUGGAGACUUGAUUGCAUUAGAUAAAUUAACGCCCUUUCGAUGCUUUUUCUCUUUAUUUCUAUAUAUAUGUACUUUGCAAGUAGUCUUAGUCAAUUUUAAGUUAAGCCAUUAAUACGCAAAUGGUGGUCAUGUGAGUGCAAAAAUAAGAAUUUAAUAAUCAAUAAUUAAAGCAGUAAAUAAAUUGCUAGAGAUAAGGAAAGAACAUAAAUAUCUCAAGCAAGCGAAAGCAAAAACUCCAUUAACUCCAACACGCUAAGUGUUCUGCAAAAUGUUAACAAAACAAUAUAUGCAUGGCCUAAACAUGAUUUGUAAAUGCAAUAAUGAUUAUUUCUUUUUGGAUUUUUCUUGUUUAACAAAAGAUUAAACUAUAUGCAAUGCAACCUAUAUGUAAUUUUAAUGAUGUGAAAAAAGGAUUACUUAUGAAUUAACCCUAUUAUUUAACCAUGUGAAAAAAUUGUGUUUUCUUUAAAACACUAAACUCUAGGACACUAGAAAUGACUUAAUGACUUUUAUUUAAAAAAAGUAGUGACCUAAUGAUGAAGUGAUAAGUUUUAUAUCUUCUUUUACGAUACUUAAAUGAAAUGCAUUACAUGAGAUGCAUGAAAUGUGAUUAUUAAUGGUGUGAUUCUAUUAACACAUUAGCAUUAAAUUAAAUGAGUCACUAAUUGACAUGUGACUUAUAGAAAUAAACGUGCAAGUAUGUCAAUUGAAUCAUAAUGCAAUCUAAAUAUUCUAUUUUAUAUGUAAGGAUUAUUGUAAAUAUAGACAAGCGAAUCGGAUAAAAUUAGGUAGAAGGAAGGAAAAUAAAUGGGAUAUCGGAUUUAUGUAAUUCCGUCCAAAUAUCAGUACUUACAUCCAUAGAAAGAGCAGCACGUAAUUCCACUAUAAAAACGAGCAAUACACUAGAGAUUAUAAUCACUCAGGUAUCCAAAUACUCAUUCAGUGUUUCCCCGCCCCCCAAUUCACCAAAUAAGUCACAUAGGGUGCGUUUGGUUCAGCAUUCCCAAUAGGCUUUCAAUCUUCAAAGCCCAUUCGGGAAAUGCUAGACUAUUUGGUAACCAUUUUGAAGUAACUUUCAAGUGAAAGUCAGCAUUGGGAAGGUUAAAAGCCCAAUGCUAGUAGAGAUUAGCUUUGAGUUUUAAGCAUUUAGCUAAAUGCUGAAACUUAUUUUUAUUUUUUUCCAAAACUAUCAUCACUUAUUCUUCAAAUUUCUAAUUUUCCCUAGUUAUUACUUUUUUAAAUACCAAAAUAAUGCUAAAAAAAUCAAAAUUACAUAAUUACUAAAAAAUAAAUAUAUUUUGGUCUUUUUAAAAAAAUUAUUUAUAUAUUUGAUUUUUUUAGCAUUAUUGUCAAAAUUUGUAUUUAAAAAGUUACAUACAUUAUUUUUUUUUUCAAUUUUAACAAAUAAAUUAAAAAAUUCCAACGAAGAGUUUGGUCUCUUUUAAAAAAUAUAUAUAUACAUAUGUAUUUGAUUUUAUAGCAUUAUUUUCAAAUUUAUUUAAAAAAAUUGUAUAAAUUAUUUUUUCAAUUUUAAAAAAUAAAAAAUAAAAAAUUUCGAUAUUGGAUUUGGUCUUUUUUUUUUAAGUUAUACAUAUAUAUAUAUAUAUAUAUAUAUAUAUAUAUAUAUAUGCAUUAUUGUCAAAAUUUAUUUAAAAAAUUGCAUACAUUAUUUUUUUUUCAAUUUUAAACAAAUAAAAAUUUAAAAAAAUUCCGAUGAAAGGUUUGGUCUUUUUAAAUAUAUAUAUAUAUAUAUAUAUAGGUAUAUGUAUUUGAAUUUUUUAGUAUUAUUGUCAAAAUUUAUAUUUAAAAAGUUGUAUAAAUUAUUUAUUUCAAUUUUAAACAAAAGAAAUUUUAAAAAAAUAUUAAUAAUGCAAAGGGCUUUUCAAAUGUAUUUUCUACCAAACGGCAUUUCUCUCACAGUUACUUCUCAAAGCAUAGUUUACCAAACGGCAUUAUAGUGUUCAGCACCUUACAAUUCCUAGUGAAAUCUCACUCAAGGAAUUACACAAUUUCUACUCACAAGAAUUUAUCUAGCUAAAUCACUUAGGUGUAAUUACAACAAUACUCAACCCUCUCUGCCACCAAAGAACUUGGUGCACUCUCUUCACUCUGGCCACCAAGGACUUGGCGCACUCUCAGCCACUAAAGGAACUUGGCACACACUGGGCCACCUUGCCACAAUUCUUGUCCUACAUCAAUCACUCUUUUAUAAUAAAGAAGAGAGAGUCUUCAUCAUUCAAUGGCCAUGACCAUUGAAUAAUCGGUAUUGCAGUUCAUGAUGUUCACAUGAGUAAGAGACAUCUUGUACGUUGACCUUUCUUCCCAAAGUUCAGAAAGUCCACCUUGUAUUUUUUAAGAUUAACUCCAUGCAACUUCCUUUUUAGUUCCUCUUUCGACUAAGGUUUCCAUAUGCUUCUUUACGCGAAUUCCUUCAUUUAAUAUACAAAUAGAGGAAUUUCUUAUUUGCUGCUUGAGCAAAUCUCUUGACUCCAAUUACAGCUCCACAUAGAGCCAAGGAAAGAGAGUCAAUAAAACACGUAGGUUUUCUCCACUACUUUUCUACACAUGCAAAGAGACAAAUAAGUGCAAUCUUCUUCUUCUCACAAUUGUGGCUAAACAUAAGUGCAAUCAAUAGACUCUCAAACAUAUGCAUCUAACGUCUUUGGGGCGAAACUUGUUACUGUCUCACGUUGAAAUUUAUAUAAGCUAUCGUGCUUGAUUCCUCUCAUUAUCACGAGGGCACCUCAAACAUUCUUCAGAACUCCACCUUCGGAAAACACUUGCAACCAGCUAAGUCUAGGGCACCCAAGGAAAUUAAGUUCUUUUUCAAUUUAAAAACUUGUCUUACUCCAAUCAAUGUUCUCACAAUACCAUCAUACAUUCUAAUUUUAACAUCACCAAUACUCACAAUAUCACAUUUAGUGUUGUUUCUUAACUAGACUUUAUCACUACCCGUGCACUGAUAAGUGAUAAACCAAUUCCUAUUUUGUGUAGCAUGAAAUAAACAACUAAAAUCCAUUAUCCAUUCGUCAAAUGACAAAUCCUCAAUGACAGACAAAACACAAUUGACACAAUUAGAAUUAUUCUCAACUAUAGCUACAAUAUCAUCUAUAGACUCAACGCUAAUUUCCUUACGCUUUUCAUUUUUCAGCUUAAAACAGUCUCUUCUACAAUACCCACUCCUACCACAAUUCAAAUGACAACUCCACCAACCAUAGAUUGAUUAUGUCUAUUCUUGUUUAUACUACUUUUGCUAACAAAUGUACUAAUUAUUUCUCUACUUUCACCUACUAAAGUAGUAGGUACAAGUUUUCCAGAUUGUUUCAUACAAAUAUAUUCACUUAGAAUUAAAUCACAUACCUCAUCAAAUGUCAAGCUUCUUGACCCAAAGGAAUUACUAACAGUAGUAAUAGUAGUAUUCCAAUUAUCAGGGAAUGAAGAUAAUAAAAUCAAAGCAUGAACUUCAUCUUCAAAGUUAAUCUCAACCAAACUCAAUUGGUUAGCGACCUCAUUGAAUUCGUUAAUAUGCUCAGCUACUAACGUACCUUCACCCAUUUUUAAGUGAAAUAGACAUCACCACAAAUAGACCUUAUUGAUUGUAGAGGAUUCUCACCUUUCUUUCUUCCAUCAUUACUAAUAAGCUUCACAUCAGCUAACUCUGGCUCUAAUACCAAUUGUUGUGAAUAUAGACAAGCAAAUCGGAUAAAAUUAGGAAGAAAGAAUGAAAGGAAAUUGAACAUUGGAUUUAUGUAGUUCAAUCCGAAUAUCGAUAUCUACAUCUACGAGGAGAGCAAUACAUAAUUCCACUAUAGAAAUGAGCGAUACACUGGGAUUAAAAUCACUCCAGCAUCCAAACACUCACUCAGUGUUUCCCAACCUCCCAAUUAUGCUAAAUAACUCAUAGUAUUUAGCUCUCACAAUUCCUAGUGAAAUCUCACUCGAGGAAUUACACAAAUUCUACUCACAAGAAUUUAUCUCGCUAAAUCUCUCAAAUGUAAUUACAACAAUACUCAAUCCUCUUGGCCACCAAAGAACCUGGUGCAUUCUCCUCUCUGGCCACCAAGGACUUGGCACACUCUCAGCCAUCAAAAGAACUUGGCACUCUCUCGACUACCUUGGUGCAAUUCUUAUCCCACAUCUCUCGCACUCUUUUAUAAUGCAGAAAGAGAGAGUCUUCAUCAUUCAAUGGCCAUGGCCAUUGAAUAAUCAUUAUUGUAAUUCAUGAUGUUCAUAUGGGAAAGAAACAUCUUGUACGUUGGCUUCUCUUCUCAAGUUUAGAAAGUCCACAUUGCAUUUAUUAAAAUGGACUCCAUGCAACUUUCUUUCUCAUUCCUCCAUCGGCUAAGGCUUCCACGUGCUUCUUCAUGCGGAUUCAUUCAUUUAGUAUACAAACAGAGGAAUUUUUAUAGUUGUUACUUGAGCAAAUCUCUCCAUUGACUCCGAUUAUAGCUCCACAUAAAGCGAAGGAAAGAGAGUCAAUAAAACACACAGGUUUUCUUUACUAUUUUUCUACACAUGUAGAGAGAUAAAUGCAAAAUGAAAUCCAUACACAAUCUUCUUCUCACAAUUGCGGCUAAACAUAAAUACAAUCAUGUGUUGUUGGACCAAAGAAGAAGUCCCCCAAAAUCACAAGGUCGAGUUUCGUCCAGGUUCAAAUUCGAGACAUAUUUUAACAAUGCAUAUUGAAAAUUCAUGAAAAUAACAAGAAGCAAGGAUUAAGAGUUUGUGACAAUCGUGCAACCAUUGAAUACCGGCUUACUCGAGCAAAACUUAUGAACUUCUACGAAGCAACAUAUAUUGAUGUCAUCUAAAAACAUGACUAACUUUCUGUUUUUUUUUUUUUUUUUGGACGAACUGGACUUGAAUGUUGGUAAGAUUCAUCAUGAAUUAAGCAAUAAACCUUAUAUGAUAAACUAGCUGAGGCAACAUCUUGAUAUUUAUUUCAUAAAACCUUGCGCGCAGAGAGAGAGAGAGAGAGAGAGAGAGAGAGAGAGAGAGAGAGAGAGAGAGGGUGCUAACAAUACAACCUAGAGGAUUAAUAGGUUGUUUGAGAACUACGAAAAAUAUUUGCAGAAGAUAAGAAGUUCAGCUUUAAAUAUUAGCAAAAACAGAGUACUAUGUGUUGGUGCUAACAAUACAACCUAGAGGAUUAAUAGGUUGUUUGAGAACUACGAAAAAUAUUUGCAGAAGAUAAGAAGUUCAGCUUUAAAUAUUGGCAUAAACAUAUUAAAGAAAUCAAGUAUGGGUGCUCCUAUUUAACAAAACAUGAUAAUAAAGAUCAAGUAAUACAAAUAGUAAUGAGAUGGAAAAUUCACAAGCAGAUAUAUAGUACUUCGGCUUUAUCCCCAAGCCUACGUCCACUCCCAACACUAUCAGCCACAACAAGGUUAGAAUCCACUAAUAAUCUUCAAGAUAAGUUACAAUCAACAAGUACCGCAUUUCCAGUAGAUCACACUACUAGGACUCACAUACUUGUCACGGGUUGGUAGUUUCCUUGGCCGCGGAUUAACCCUUAUAGCUUCUUAUAACACUUGCUCAGUCCCAAGUUGUGGUGACAGACAAGGUGCAAUUCGUACCAAUACUGGACUUUAACAUAACAAAGAACAUGGUCCCCUUCGAUUUUUGAGGAUGACCACUAAAUGAAAUACAUCAUUAAAAACAAUGGUACUGAGUUUUGCUUUUCAACACGUAUGUAAGAUAUGGAUCCAACCCAAUGGGCCUUAUCCAAUUGUAUUCACCAAUGUCACAGAGAGAAGAUCUUUUCAUAUAUACAACCAAAAGGAUAAGGAAUUUUUAAUAGAUAAGUUGUCGUAGGAGCAUGAUGAGGGAGGGACUGCUUUUUAUUUUCUAAAUGGCCACAAGUUGGGUAUUUCCCCUAUUCUCAUCUUGGGAUGACGGCAAACGCAACCUCAGCGACAGUGGGAGCGGUUCUAAGAUCCAAUGAGGAACGGAACGUGUGGUUUUAAUGAACCGUAGCUGUUUGAACUUUUUUCGUGAUUCCUAUAAAAAUGUCGUAAUAUGCGAAAACUUAUAAGUGGAUGAGAACUGCUCUUUUUUAAAUCCAACGGUGGUAAAGAGAUUAGGGAUCCGUUCCUCAAGGGCACCAAGAAGUAUUUGGAGCAAGAAAUUGAUCGCCGGGUUCUUCUCGCUGAACAACGUCAUUUAGGGUCGUGUAUGCAAAUGAAACUUGUUGAGUGAGGUCAUUUUGGUCUUUUUAUACUGAUUGAAACCUAUAACAAGCCACGUCAAUCGAAAAAAAUAUUAAAAUAAUACCACGUCAGAUUUUUAGCAUCCAAAAUCGGAAUUAACAUUAAAGUGAUUGUUCUUUUUUUAAGCAACAUUUAAAUAAUCACUCAAGUGUAAUUACAACAAUACUCAACCCUCUCGGCCACCAAAGAACUUGGUGCAUUCUCUUCUCUCUAGCCACCAAGGACUUGGCACACUCUUGGCCACUAAAGGAACUUGGCGCACUCUUAGCCACCUUGCCACAAUUCUUGUCCUACAUCAGUCACUCUUUUAUAAUAAAGAAGAGAGGCUCUUCAUCAUUCAAUGGCCAUGACCAUUGAAUAAUCAAUAUUGCAGUUCAUGAUGUUCACAUGAGAAAGAGAUAUCUUGUGCAUUGACCUUUCUUCCCAAAGUUCAAAAAUCCACCUUGUAUUUUUUAAGAUUGGCUCCAUGCAACUUCCUUUUUCGUUCCUCUUUCGACUGAGGUUUCCAUAUGCUUCUUUACGCGAAUUCCUUCAUUUAAUAUACAAAUAGAGGAAUUUCCAUAUUUGCUGCUUGAGCAAAUCUCUUGACUCCAAUUACAGCUCCACAUAGAGCCAAGGAAAGAGAGUCAAUAAAACACGUAGGUUUUCUCUACUUCUUUUCUACACAUACAAAGAGACAAAUAAGUGCAAUCUUCUUCUUCUCACAAUUGUGGCUAAACAUAAGUGCGAUCAAUAGACUCUCAAACAAAUGCAUCUAACGUCUUUGGGGCGAAACUUGUUACUGUCUCACGUUGAAAUUCAUAUAAGCUAUUGUGCUUAAUUCCUCUUAUUAUCACAAUAGCACCUCAAACAUUCUUCAGAACUCCACCUUCUGAAAACACUUGCAACCAACUAAGUCUAGGGCACCAAAGGAAAUUAAGUUCUUUUUCAAUUCUGGAACUUGUCUUACUCCAAUCAAUGUUCUCACAAUACCAUCAUGCAUUCUAAUUUUAACAUCACCAACACUCGCAACAUCACAUUUAGCAUUGUUCCCUAACUAGACUUUAUCACUACCCGUGCACUGAUAAGUGAUAAACCAAUUCCUAUUUUGUGUAGCAUGAAAUAAACAACUAAAAUCCAUUAUCCAUUCGUCAAAUGACGAAUCCUCAAUGACAGACAAAACACAAUUGACACAAUUAGAAUUAUUCUCAACUAUAGCUACAAUAUCAUCUAUAGACUCAACGCUAAUUUCCUUACGCUUUUCAUUUUUCAGCUUAAAACAGUCUAUUCUACAAUACCCACUCCUACCACAAUUCAAAUGACAACUCCACCAACCAUAGAUUGAUUAUGUAUGUCAUUGUUUAUACUACUUUUGCUAACAGAUGUACUAAUUCUUUCUCUACUUUCACCUACUAAAGUAGUAGGUGCAAGUUUACCAGAUUGUUUCAUACAAAUAUCAUCACUUAGAAUCAAAUCACAUACCUCAUCAAAUGUCGAGCUUUUUGACCCAGAGGAAUUACUAACAAUAGUAAUAGUAGUAUUCCAAUUAUCAGGGAAUGAAGAUAAUAAAAUCAAAGCACGAACUUCAUCUUCAAAGUUGAUCUCAACCAAACUCAAUUGGUUGGUGACCUCAUUGAAUUCGUUGAUAUGCUCAGCUACGAACAUACCUUCACCCAUUUUUAAGUGAAAUAGACAUCACCACAAAUAGACCUUAUUGAUUGUAGAGGAUUCUCACCUUUCUUUCUUCCAUCAUUACCGAUAAGCUUCACACCAGCCAACUCUGGCUCUAAUACCAAUUGUUGUAAAUAUAGACAAGCAAAUCGGAUAAAAUUAGGAAGAAAGAAUAAAAGGAAAUUGAACAUUGGAUUUAUGUAGUUCAAUCCAAAUAUCGAUAUCUACAUCUACGAAGAGAGCAAUAUAGAAUUCUACUAUAGAAAUAAGCGAUACACUGGGAUUAAAAUCACUCAAGCAUCCAAACACUCACUUAGUGUUUCCCAACCCCCCCCCCCUCCCCAAUUAUGCUAAAUAACUUAUAGUAUUUAGCUCUCACAAUUCCUAGUGAAAUCUCACUCGAGGAAUUACACAAAUUCUACUCUCAAGAAUUUAUCUCGCUAAAUCUCUCAAAUGUAAUUACAACAAUACUCAAUCCUCUUGGCCACCAAAGAACUUGGUGCAUUCUCCUCUCUUGCCACCAAGGACUUGGCACACUCUCAACCAUCAAAGGAACUUGGCGCUCUCUCAACCACCUUGGUGCAAUUCUUAUCCCACGUCUCUCGCACUCUUUUAUAAUGCAGAAAGAGAGUCUUCAUUAUUCAAUGGCCAAUCAUUAUUGUACAUCAUGAUGUUCACAUGGGAAAGAGACAUCUUGUACGUUGGCUUCUCUUCUCAAGUUUAGAAAGUCCACAUUGCAUUUAUUAAAAUGGACUCCAUGCAACUUUCUUUCUCAUUCCUCCAUCGGCUAAGGCUUCCACAUGCUUCUUCAUGCGGAUUCAUUCAUUUAGUAUACAAACGGAGGAAUUUUUAUAGUUGUUACUUGAGCAAAUCUCUCCAUUGACUCUGAUUAUAGCUCCACAUAAAGCGAAGGAAAGAGAGUCAAUAAAACACACAGGUUUUCUCUACUAUUUUUCUACACAUGUAGAGAGAUAAAUGCAAAAUGAAAUCCAUACACAAUCUUCUUCUCACAAUUGCGGCUAAACAUAAAUACAAUCAUGUGUUGUUGGACCAAAGAAGAAGUCCCACAAAAUCACAAGGUCGAGUUUCGUCCAGGUUCAAAUUCGAGACAUAUUUUAACAAUGCAUAUUGAAAUUCAUGAAAAUAACAACGAGCAUGGAUUAAGAGUUUGUGACAAUCGUGCAACCAUUGAAUACCGGCUUACUCGAGCAAAACUUAUGAACUUCUACGAAGCAACAUAUAUUGAUGUCAUCUAAAAACAUGACUUUCUGUUUUUUUGGACGAACUGGACUUGAAUGUUGGUAAGAUUCAUCAUGAAUUAAGCAAUAAACCUUAUAUGAUAAACUAGCUGAGGCAACAUCCUGAUAUUUAUUUCAUAAAACCUUGCAAUUUAAUUCAAUUCAAUUGAUAACGUGAUCAAUUCUUAAUAGACUAUAUACCCUAGUAUCAAAUUAAUCUCCUUUUUCCUAAAAAUCAAAGAAAUCAAGUACUGUCAAACAGUCUCAACCAUCAGUCACUCCAACGUACCAUACAAGCCUAUCCACUGAUAAUAAUUGUGUAGGUUUUCUUUUAGCAGAGCUAAUUGACAUGGCAAAAGAAAAAUCUGUGCAUAAAUACACUUUGUUCUAGGAGUUUAACCAUAUAUAUAUGAGAGAGAGAGAGAGUACUAUGUGUUGGUGCUAACAAUACAACCUAGAGGAUUAAUAGGUUGUUUGAGAACUACAAAAAACAUUUGCAGAAGUUAAGGUUCAGCUUUAAAUAUUGGCAGAAACAGAUUAAAGAAAUCAAGUACGGGUGCUCCUAUUUAACAGAACAUGAUAAUAAAGAUCAAGUAAUACAAAUAGUAAUGAGAUGGAAAAUUCACAAGCAGAUAUAAGUAGUCCGGCUUUAUCCCCAAGCCUACAUCCACUCCCAACACUAUCAGCCACAACAAAGUUAGAAUCCACUAAUAAUCUUCAAGAUAAGUUACAAUCAACAAGUACCGCAUUUCCAAUAGAUCACACUACUAGGACUCACAUACUUGUCACGGGUCGGUAGUUUCCUUGGCCGCAGAUUAACCCUUGUAGCUUCUUAUAACACUUGCUCAGUCCCAAGUUGUGGUGACAGACAAGGUGCAAUUCGCACCAAUACUGGACUUUAACAUAACAAAGAACAUGGUCCCCUUCGAUUUUUGAGGAUGACCACUAAAUGAAAUACAUCAUUAAAAACAAUGGUACUGAGUUUUGCUUUUCACCACGUAUGUAAGAUAUGGAUCCAACCCAACGGGCCUUAUCCAAUUGUAUUCACCAAUGUCACAGAGAGAAGAUCUUUUCAUAUAUACAACCAAAAGGAUAAGGAAUUUUUAAUAGAUAAGUUGUCGUAGGAGCAUGAUGAGGGAGGGACUGCUUUUUAUUUUCUAAAUGGCCACAAGUUGGGUAUUUCCCCUAUUCUCAUCUUUAAAAUAUACAUGUUUGGUUACCCAUAAUGCCCCUCAGAUCACGAGUUUGGCUAGAUUUUAAGUUACUCCAUUUUCAACCCAUGUAAUAUUAUUGACGAGUGUGUCCACUAUUCUGACCCCCACGAAAAUCUUUAAUAUCCACAACCUUGGGAUGACGGCAAACGCAACCUCAGCGACAGUGGGAGCGGUUCUAAGAUCCAAUGAGGAACGGAACGUGUGGUUUUAAUGAACCGUAGCUGUUUGAACUUUUUUCGUGAUUCCUAUAAAAAUGUCGUAAUAUGCGAAAACUUAUAAGUGGAUGAGAACUGCUCUUUUUUAAAUCCAACGGUGGUAAAGAGAUUAGGGAUCCGUUCCUCAAGGGCACCAAGAAGUAUUUGGAGCAAGAAAUUGAUCGCCGGGUUCUUCUCGCUGAACAACGUCAUUUAGGGUCGUGUAUGCAAAUGAAACUUGUUGAGUGAGGUCAUUUUGGUCUUUUUAUACUGAUUGAAACCUAUAACAAGCCACGUCAAUCGAAAAAAAUAUUAAAAUAAUACCACGUCAGAUUUUUAGCAUCCAAAAUCAGAAUUAACAUUAAAGUGAUUGUUCUUUUUUUAAGCAACAUUUAAAUAAUCCAGGAAAAAAAAUGUUAGUAUCAAAAUGGGUCUUAUAUGAAACUUUUGACACUCCAUUUUUUUUUUUUUUUGGUUGAGCAGUGACUUUGCCACUCACUUACCGUUAGUUAGUCAUGAUGAUUGACCCAUGGAAGAUAAGAACUUUAAAAACACGUCCAACCACCGAUAAUUUCAUAAUAUCAAACGGGUGAUGUUUUUUGUACUCCCCAAUAUAAGUUAAUCCCAUUAAACUAGGCACUCCGUAUCUUCUCAAUCAUAACCGUUUAUAGCGCUUUUAGUUCAGCAUUUUCAGAAGAUUUUGGGCCUAUAAAGGCCCAUUGUGCCAAAAUUGAGUUGUCGGGCAACAAAACUCCGAAGACAUUCGAGCAAAAAUUAGCGUUUCUAAAAUUCUUAAUGAAAGUCCGACCCAGCUUUGGCUUUAAGGACUAGAAAAAUGCUACCUUAGAGAGUUAAUGAAUUUUUUUUUUCCUAAUUUUGAUAUCGCCCAACUAUUUUCAAUUCCAAUUAUACCCUCACUAUCAAUUUGCUUUGCAAAUUAGAUUGGCAUCAUGUGAUGAUGGUGGCGGCAAGCUCUAAUCUGAUCGUCAACAAACUAGAUUUGACACUAACAAUCCUUGCCUCAUGUCAUGCAACCUCGGCAUGGCAUCAUUUGGCAUCAUUUGGAGAGAACAACCUCAGCCCUCGCCUUGGGUUGUUGUGGCCGUUGCCUAAGAUGAGUCGUACAAUCCAUCAUCAAGCUCAUACUCUCUCUCUCUCUCUCUCUCUCUCUCAAUUGUUUUUCAAAUUGGAUAUCGAAGUCCUCUGAUCUAAAGUCUUUUAUAUUUAUGCAGAACUUUUCCAAAAUGCUCAUCCACCUUGCUCUCUAGGCAGGCAAGCGACUUUCAUUACGCAAUUGUGGAAGUGAAUGUACUGCUGACCUUCAUUGAACAAGUAUGAAAGGAAACCACAGAUGGCAGCUAGUUAGAAAAUAACCCCAACCUAUGCAAAUAGGCUUCAAACCAUUGCUAAGUAGUUUUCUUUUGUAACAAAUGGACGAAGCCCAUACGCAGCAGUUAUCUCACAUCAUCAAUGAUUUUCUCAUUCAAUCACUAUCUGCAUUUCCUCCUCCAAUUAACAUUAUGGAGUCGAGCUUCCCCUUUCUUUCUGUUUAAUCAAUUCUUGAUUAUUGAGUUCCUUGCUGUCUUGACUUUAACCACUCAACUGCAUCACUAUUUGCUCGUCUUCUCUUUCUCGAUGUUCUUUUUCCUAGAAAAUAAUCGGUUAGGGCAGCAGAAGCACCAAAUGAAUACAUGCAACGCAUACUUAUCGACGAGUACACGCAAAGUUCUGGCUCCGGUGGCCCAAAAAGCUGAAAAUGUCCAUGAUGGUAGAUUUCCGGAGGUGAUGAUAAUUUUGAAAUACUAGUGGUAAGAGAAUAUCACCACUAACUUGCUUGUCAAGUCAUUUGUUGGUAAGUUGCCAAUGUUAUGGUGAAAAGGGUUAAUACUAUAAAAUCUCAAACUAAUACAUCACGUGUCAUAUUUACCUCAUACUCCAAACUAGUAUACCUAUGCUAUAUUUACCUAAAACUAGUUCUUGCGUCAAAAAAAGUUCAAAACUAAUACACUUGUGUCACAUUUAUCUCAAAAUUUGAAUUUUUUUUGGAUAUGAAGACUAGUUGGGGGUAAAUAUGAUAGUAGUGUACCCGUUUGAGAUUUUUUGUGACACGAAAAUUAAUUUGGGAUAAAUGUGAUAUGGGUGCGCCAAUUUCAAGUUUUUUAUAUUAUGAAAAUUAGUUUGGAGUAAUGGAAUUAGUGUACUAGUUUGGAGUUUUUUUAAAGUAUUAGCCCUUGUGAAUAUACCAAAGUCGAAAGUAUGUUUAGAAAAUUUUCAAAAUACCAACAGUCAAUAAUUUAGUAAAUCGCUAAUUUCUUUUACAUUCUACAAAUAUACUUAGUACAUGUGUAUGUAUUUUUUUUUUUUCCCAAUGGAAGUUCUACUUAGGACUGGGGAUUGAAAAAAAUUAAGGCUUCCCACAAAAGAGGUCAGCGGUUACUCAUGCUUAUUUUCUAGCAACAAAUUUUUGUGAUGAUCUUAUCUACAUCCAAAAUCACCUCAUCAAGUGUGAAGGGUCCAACCCCCACGAUUACAUGACAAUGUUCAUUGAAUGACUGACGAGAUUAUUGCCCAAUUACACUUCCACAACAUUUAUAGGCUACAAAGAACUGCAAAAUUUAAAUGGAUACCCCUUCUGUCACUCAAAUUUCACCAGUCACAUGACGAGGCAAGGUAAUGCAUCAAGCAUGAACCCAGAUUCCUCACGACCGCAUGACGAAUGGACGGCUGUUUCAUUCCAAACUCAUGAGGUGAUCUUAUGGAUACCAAUAUUCAAGUCAGAAGAGAAGGAUAUGAGAAGAGGAAGAUAUUGGUGCCAGACGGCUGCAAAGACACGUUUUUGGUGAGCUUUAAUAGACUGCGAAGGCCUGCAUCCAUUGUACCUGAUACCUAAGAGGCUCUUGAGCAGGACAUCCAAGUCAUUAAAAAGAAACUUCACUCACCAUGGAGAAGAUCCCAGAGGCUGCCAUUUUCCAUGUAAUCGUUAAAAAGAAGGUUGCCAGAAGGGGACAGAGAGUAUCCUUGAAGGAGUUUGAGACAGAGCUUGAGACUGUCUCCAAGCACUGUGGAUAUUGAGAGUAGAGUCUCUUGAUGGCGACCGGCUUGCAAUUUUUAAGAACGCAUUUGUAUACUGUGCUUGAAGCCCCAUAACCAAUUAUAUACUUCUCACUUAAAUUCUCAGUCAUCCUCAUGAUAUCCUCGUAGACAUGUAGGGCGGGCCAUGUUCAUGUGUAGAAUUACCAGCUUUGGUGGUGAAUAGUAGACAGCUAGUAAGCAACAACAUAGGAGUUAAAUGCAAGAUUACAGGCUCAAUGAUUUCACUUCAGGCAAAAACUAUCGCACAGGAUUUUCAAAAAGAGCUCAUUGUCUCAACCAAGAAUCUCGUUUUGGUGAUAAUGCAUGCUUGUUUAUCAUAAUAAUGACACAAUUCAUGAGGCAAGGCAAACAUAUCAAGGUAAUUCUGCUGAUGGUAGAAGUACAUUCCCUAAAGUAAAACUGAUAAAGUUCACAGGCAUGAGCUUUUAAAGUUCAUUAAAGAAAACAUCCCCAUUCUUUCACACAAUAAGCAAGUAUGUUGCUCGAGAUGCAUGGUACCUGGUUUAUCAAAGGAUCCAUCAACGAAUGGGUUAGAAUUCUGAGGUCGGCAUGCUGCCCCCAGAAUCAUGAGAAGGAUAACAAGUGCACCAAGAGCAAUUCCCAGUAUGGCAGCUUUAGAAAUUGUUACUGCAAAUAUGAAUAGUAAAAAUACACAAAAUCACCUAUGCAACCAGAUAUUAUGUAAACAUGCAUCAGAAAGCUAAAAUGAACAUAUAUCCCUAAAACACCACCUGGGAUGGUUGGUCAUUCUUCAUAUUUAAGGUCUCAGAAAAAUAAAUUUAGGUGAACAGAAGAUGUAAAAAACCAAAAUUUCCUCUUUUUCUUGAAAUCUGAAGCACAUAUUGUUCUUUAUGUUAAGGCACGUAUUUGGCAAAGCAGCUACCACAAACACGCCUUUGAUUCAUGUUUACCUCGUUCAGUCAAGUGAGAAUUGCCACAAGGAGAAUUUAGCCAAUAGCCACAAGGAGAAUUUAGCCAAUAGCCACAGAGUCUAGGAUUCCCAACAAAACUGCACCAUCAAUUAUUGAACAUUUGAAAAAAAAAACUGGCACGCAAGUGCAUAUGAUCAGAAUUACUCAUUCAUGAAGCUUAAUAUCUAGUUUGCUUGCCUGUCUUGUGAAAAGCGGGAGGAAUUGUCAUCCAUGGGUAUUUCCCCAACCAAGUUGUUGUACGAUACAUUUCUACAAAAUCAAAUAAAAUAUAGUGCCAUUAUAAUCUAUGCAGCAUUGGGGACAACAUUGGGACAACAACAAACUUACAGAAUAGUCAGACUAGGGGAGUUCAUCAGUGAAAUCACAUCUCCAGAUAAAUUAUUAUGGUCCAGCCUCCUGUAAAGUUAAGCAUAACAUUAUCCACAUUUCAUGUGUGAAAACAAUACAAUACCCAAACCUAAUAAAGUUAACCAAGAAGUUACAUCACAAGCCAUCCAAGUAUGAGGAGCUCAAUUGUGAUAAUCAGUAAUCACAGCCGACACCGACAUGAAAACACGACAAAAGGUGACAUGAACCACUCAGAGCUACAAUAUCAACUAAGAUUAUAGGUUUUAUACAUAUCCAUGAUGCUUCUCAGAUUGCCAAACUCAGCAGGAAUAAAUCCUGUCAAGUGAUUUCUGCUCAAAUUCCUGCAAAGAGAAAAACACUGAAGUCAGCACAAGAUCAGAUGAUACCUCCCAUCUCCAUGUGACCGUUGUUUUCUAGUUUACGACACUCACAGCUUAAGAUUGUUUGACGAAAUAUUCCUACACAGAGGAGCAAUCAAAAUGGCGGAAAAGGAUUACAUCACCAAAGAAUCCCCAUGGACUCUUCUAGCAAUGAAAGAAGCACCGUGACGUGACAAACCAUGAUCGAAAGGAGUUCUAGUAAUGUUACUUACAGUUUUGCCAUAUCUCUAGCCUCUGCAAAGAAGGGGGAUGGUCCCAUUCAGUUUGUUCCCAUGCAAAUUGUUGCACGAUGACAUUAAGAGUCAAGAUAUCAACUUUCCAUAAGAAGGAAAUUUAAAUUAUGAUAACCUGCUUACAGAGAUGGUCGGGACCCAACCACCACCGGUGGGGUUCUUGGGAGCGAGUGGCUCUUGACGGCAACGGCAGAGGUGGCCAAGCUUGGAGGUGACCGGCAGAGGUGGCCAAGCUCGAAGGGGACCGGCUGGAUUUUGAGCGUACGCGAUCGUCAAAGAGGCCGAGGCAGAAAUGAUCAAAGCUCGGGACCCAACCACGACCGGCGAGGCUCUUCGGAGCGAGUGGCUCCUCGCGACGACGGCGGAGGCGGCCGAACUCGGAGGCGACCAGCGGGCUUUUGGGUGUUCGCGCUCACCGAAGAGGCCGAGGCGAAGAUGGCUAGAGUUCGGGACCCACCCAUGACCGGAACGGUUCUUGGAGCGAGUGGCUCCCGAAGGCAACGGUAAAGGCAGCCAAGCUUGGAGGCGACUGGCAAAGGUGACCGAGCUCGGAGGUGACUAGUUGGCUUUUGGUGUAUGCGAUCGCCGAAGAGGCCGCGAAAACGGUCAGAGCUCGGGAUCCAACCACGA